UGUGAAAUAUUUCAACAAAUAUCUCGUCCAAAGAUGAUGUCUUGGAAAGAGGACGCUGAUUGCUGCUCCUGGGAUGGAGUAACAUGUGAUUCGGCGACGGGUCACGUGAUUGGCCUCGACCUCAGUUGCAGUUGGCUUCACGGCAACAUCCCUUCCAACAGUAGCCUUUCCUUGCUUCCUCGCCUGCGAAAGCUCAACCUGGCCUUCAAUGAUUUCAAUUACUCUAAGAUUUCUUCUGGUUUUACUGAUCAAUUUCCGAGUUUGACACUCCUUAACCUCUCUACCAGCAAUUUCACGGGGUCAAUUCCUGCCUCACUAGGUAACAAUAUUACACAACUUGCUUAUUUGGAUCUUUCGUAUAACAGUUUUAGUGGUCACAUUCCAUCAUCUUUUUCAAAUCUUCAGCAGCUUCGUCAUUUAGAUCUUAUGGCCAAUAAUUUUGUUGGUGAAAUUCCUACAUCAUUAGGUAACAAUGUUACACAACUUGCUUAUUUGGAUCUUUCGUAUAACAGUCUUACUGGUCACAUUCCAUCAUCUUUUUCAAAUCUUCAGCAGCUUGGUUAUUUAAAUCUUCAGGACAAUAAGUUUGUUGGUAAAAUUCCGGAUAUGUUUACCAACCUAACCCAACUUUCUCUUUUAGGCUUGGCAAAUAAUCAACUGAUUGGCUCGAUUCCAAGUUCAAUCUUUGAACUUUUGAAUUUGACAUAUGUCUCUCUUUCUUUUAACAAUUUCAGUGGCAGCGUUGAGCUUUACGAUUUUGCAAAGCUCAAAAAUCUUAAAUUUCUUUCUCUUUCUAAUAUUAGUUUAUCAGUGAGCACCAAAUUAACAGUCAACUCGUCUUUCCCUAAUCUUCUGGGGUUGCGUUUAUCGGCUUGCAAUAUAAGUGAGUUUCCAGACAUCUUGAGAACUCAACAUCAGUUAGAGUGGUUGGGCCUUUCUAAAAACCAAAUCCAUGGUAGGAUUCCCAGUUGGAUGUGGGAUAUUGGAGUACAUACUUUGUGUUUUCUAAUUCUUUCACAAAACUUCCUGACAAGCAUAGACCAUCUUCCGUGGAAAGUCUUAAACUUAAUGGCAAUCGGUUGGAAGGACCAUUGCCUCCAUCUUUGGUUAAUUGUCGACAUUUGGAAGUUAUAGAUGUUGGGAACAAUCAGAUUAAUGACACCUUUCCCUACUGGUUAGACGUUCUUCUUGAAUUGCAAGUUCUUAUAUUGCGUUCUAAUAGAUUUUGGGGUCCUAUUGGUGAUACCAAAACAAGAGUUCCCUUUCCCAAGUUGCGAAUAAUUGAUUGCUCUCACAAUCAACUCACCGGUGUUUUGCCACUACGGUAUUUGGAUAGUUUUAAAGCCAUGAUGCAUGGGGAUAACAAUAGUGUUGAAGUCGGUUAUAUGAGGUGGCGGUAUUCCUCUAAUUACUAUGAGUCAAUAUUUCUGACUAUGAAAGGCAUUGACUUACAAAUUGAGAGGAUUCUAAAGACUUUUGCAACUAUUGAUUUGUCCAGCAAUAGAUUGUUAGAAAAUUGGUGGGUGAAGCAGGACCGCAGCUAAAAUGAAUUUGGAAGGAAAUAAAGAACAAGCACAAUAGAGGACACCAGGAAUUAUGUGGUUUGGCUUUUAACCUACGUCCACGGGCGAAAACAGAAGAAAAAUAUUUCACUAGUGAAAUAAAGAUUACAAGUAUUGUAAUAUUUUAGCUCACUACCCAAAACCCCAAUACACCCAAUCUAGGGGUGGGCAAAAAAAGUUGAUUAAUCAAAAAUCGAACCGAACCGAUCGGUUCGGUUUAGUUUUUAUGCGGUUUUUUUACCUCUAAAAAACCGAAAUAGUAGUAUAAUAUAAAUAGUAAAACCAAUCGGUUCGGUUUUCGGUUUUUUAAAAAAAUCAAAAAACCGAACCGGAAUCUCAAAUAAACCGAUUGUAAAAAAACCCUAAAGCUUAAAUCUAAACACUUCUGACUUCUGUCUCCCGCUGGCUGCUGCUCUGUUCGCUGGCCGCUUCUUCUGUUCCCGCUGUCCGCUGCUCGUCGUGACCUUCAACCAAAAGCAAAAACCGAACUCGUGAGUCGUGACCUUCAGCCACAGGCUCGAGUCGUGACCUUCAGCCACACUUCUGUCUUCUUCUGUCCCCUCUGCUCGUCGCCGCCGUUGCUCGUCAGUCGUCACUACUGCUGCUGCCACUGUCACCUGCCGUGUGAACUGUGAAGAUUGGUAUUUGUUUUCUGGAAGUUUAUCUCUCAGCAACCUUACGAAGUUCUCCUUUCCUUCACUCUCGAUCGCCUUCACAAUGUAAAAAAAAAAAAAGUUUUGAUUUCAAUCGAAGUUCUUCAGUGAUGGAAGCGGAUUGAUAUUGUUAUUUCUUGUAAUUGAAAGGAACCGGAACUUCUUCGAGUAAAUGCAAGAUUUGGUGAUAUUUAAUUUUUGUGAUUUUGUAAUUGAAAGGAACCGCUGCUGAAAUGUUUCAUGUUUGUACCUGUGUUACGGAAAUGGAGAAUUUAGAUAACCAUCAAAUCAUGAGUGGUAAUAAUGGAGAAUUUAGACAGUUCUCCAAUUAACUGUCUUUGGCAUUUCCAAUUAACUCUGUCUCUCUCUGCACCUUUUGCCUUGACUUACUGUCUUCUUCGCUUUUGUUUAUGCUUUCACUUAAACUUUCAGCUUCCAUGAUCAUUAUGGUGCCCAUAAAAUGCUUUACUUUCUAUGAAAAUUUGCCUGUUGGGUUGGCCAUUUAUAUUUGUACGUGGCUAGUCGAAGAAUUGCAGGUCCUCGAGUUCUUUACAUUUAAUUAGUUACAAUUCUUAAUUUAAUUGCAGGACUUGAAGUACUUAUAUAAGACAAUCAAGUCAUAUUAUUGUUGCAUGUUGCCAUGUUGAUGGGAUUCUCACUUUCUCAGUCUGGAAGGCUGCUUAAAUGGAAAUCCAAUUGAUGAAUUUGUGUACUGUGGAUUAAUAUUUUCUUCCUCAAAACAUUUUAUCCUCUUAGAAAUUAAGAUUGUAGCAAGCUUUUUUUAUUUUAUUUUACAAUUUUUGUUUGUUAACUUUUUAUAUUUGUGGUAGAUUUAUUAAUUUAAGGUUUUAAAUUUAAAAAAAUCCAAAAUAGGUCCAAUAGGUCCAUAAUCGAAAUAAUCGAACCGAACCGAAUCGAAUUAUUUUGAUUAAUCGAGUAUUUGAUUAUUUCAAUAAUUUGAUUAAUCGCGAUUAUGAUUUUAAAAUAAUCGUAAUCGAACGAUUAUGAAAAAAUUAGUAAAAAACCGAACCGAACCGAACUGCGUCCACCCCUAACCCAAUCUCUUACUCACUAGACACUCAAGAGUUUAUUAAACUCUUAAUACUCCCAACACUAAAAGAAAGCAAUGCUUGUCUCUCGAUGGAAUUGGAUACAAGCUCUAGAUUGAGAGCUUGUAUUUAUAGGCAAAACUUUGCCUCAAAUGUCAAACAAGUGGCCAUAAACUUCAAGCCAUACAACUCAAAAAUUUCAAACUUUGAAUUUUUAGCUUUGAAUUUUUCUUUUCUUUUACCAAACAUCACGGCAUCUAGAAUUUCAAAGCCAAGUGCCAACCAUUCUUGUUUAUUCAAAGCUUCUAGAUGCAGCCAAUUUUGACAUUCUCCCACUUGGAGAUUAAAUUGAAAAACAAUCAAUCUCCACACCAUCCUUUCUGCUUCGCCAUAAUUAUAUUGCCUACGUUUCUGCUAGGCGACAAGAGGAUCUACUCCAGAUAAACUUGUCAGCAUUUAUCGGCUUGGUCAAAACAUCUGCUAGGUUCUCUUUGGUAUGGAUUUUCUGCAAAUCCACACUUCCAUCUUCCACUACUUCUCGAACGAAGUGAUAUUGAACUCCUAUGUGCUUUGUCCUGGAAUGAAAGGCUGGAUUCCUUGCAAUGUGCAAGGCACUCUGACUGUCACAAUACACAAGAAUUUUAUGUUGUUUGUGCCCGAGCUCCUCCAAUAAUCUUUGUAUCCAAAUAGCUUCCUUGCAAGCUUGUGUAGCUGCCAUGUAUUCUGCUUCUGUUGUAGAUAAAGCCACAACGGUCUGCAGUUUAGAAACCCAGCUUACAGCUGCUCCUGCAAGUGUAAACACAUAACCAGUAAUGGAUUUUCUUUUAUCAAGGUCUCCUGCAAAAUCUGAAUCCACAUAGCCCCUGACAGUAAACUCUGAUCCUCCAUAACAUAAUGCAACAUUUGAGGUUCCUCUGAUGUAUCUCGGAAUCCUCUUCACAGCUAUCUAAUGCUCUCCACCAGGAUUCGUCAUGUAUCGACUGACUGCUCCCACUGCUUGUGCAAUGUCCGGUCUUGUACAUAUCAUAGCGAACAUUAAACUUCCCACUGCUAAUGCAUACGGUACUCGAGACAUCUCCUUCCUCUCCGCUUCAUUGCUAGGACACAUACUUGAGGAUAAUUUGAAAUUAACAGGAAGUGGGGUAGAAAUUGACUUACAAUCUUGCAUGUUAAAGCGUCGCAAGAGUUUCUUCAAGUAAUUCUUCUGCGAAAGUCAAAUCUUCCUGUUAUUUCUGUCUCGGUGAAUUUGCAUCCCUAGAAUCUUGUUUCCUGGUCCCAAGUCCUUCAUUUCAAACUCCCUAGCCAACUGUGCCUUCAAUUCUUGGAUUCGAUCUUUGUUGGGACCUGCUACCAACAUGUCAUCCACAUACAACAACAAAAUAAUGAAAUCAUUAUCUUCAAACCUCUUGUAAUAUGCACAAUGGUCUGAAUUGAGUCUGUUGUAUCCAAGGCUCAUGAUGAAGGAAUCAAAUCUCUUAUACCAACACCUCGGCAUCUGUUUGAGACCGUAUAGAGAUUUGUUCAACAUGCAAACCAAGUUCUCAUUUUCUAUUUCUGCAAAACCUUCUGGUUGGAGCAUAUAUAUUUCUUCUUCAAGUUCUCCAUGAAGAAAUGCAGUUUUCACAUCUAACUGCUCUAGAUGUAAGUCAAAUGUAGCACACAUCGCCAAGACUACUCUGACUGUUGUGAGUCGAACCACCGGAGAAAAUAUCUCAUUGAAGUCAAUACCUUCUUUCUGAGCAUAUCCUUUCACCACCAAUCUCGCACGAUACCGCUCCACUUGGUCAUUACCAUCACGUUUGAUUUUGUAGACCCAUUUGUUUCCAAUGACUUUUCUUCCACGUGGUAAUGGUACAAGUUCCCAUGUCUUGUUCUUAUGUAGAGCUUCAAUUUCUUCCUGCAUUGCUGUCAUCCACAAAGCAACAUCUGAGCUUUCUAAAGCUUCAUGGAAAGUUGAUGGCUCUCCAUCCUCUGUUAGAAGACAAUACGCAAUAUUGAUCUCUGUGACAUACUCUGAGUGCCACACUGGCGGUCGUCUAUCACGAGUUGACCGAUGAACUUCUAGAGCCUCAGACUCGACUGGUUCUUGUUCCUCGUGCUCUGGUGCUGCUUCAGAAGAAUCUAAAUCUUCUGGAUUAUUUUCGACAUAUACCGGUACAGUCUCUGAUUUUUCUUUUGCAGUGCUAUCAUUCUCAUCUCUCAUUUGCAGUUGAUCUUCUACAAAGAUAACAUCUCUGCUGAUGACGAUCUUGUGGGCAGUGGGGUCCCACAGACGAUACCCCUUUACUCCAUUAGCAUAUCCCAAGAAGAUACAUCUUCUAGAUUUUGCAUCCAGCUUUGUUCUUUCUUGGGCAUUGUACAUCACGUACACAGGACAUCCAAAUGCAUGUAGGUAGGAAUAAUCAGCUGGCUUUCCAGUCCACAUCUCCAUCACUAUCUUCAGCCCAAUUGCUGUAGAUGGUGAUCAAUUUACUAUAUAACAGGCAGUUUUGGCUGCUUCUGCCCAGAAUGAAUUGGGUAGACCAGCAGUCCUCAACAUAGCUCGUAUUCUUUCUGUAAGAGUUCUGUUCAUCCGCUCUGCCACUCCGUUUUGUUGAGGAGUGUAUGCCACCGUGAACUGCCUCUGAAUACAUUCUUGCUUACAGAAAGCAAGAAACUCGCCGUCUGUAUACUCUCCACCAUUAUCCGUCCUCAAGCACUUGAUCUUUUUACCAGAUUCAAGUUCCACCCGCGAUUUGUAUUCUUUAAGCACAGGAAAUACAUAUGACUUUUUCUUAAUUGGAUACACCCAACAUCUUCUGGAAUAAUCAUCAAUGAAAGUCACCAUGUACUUUGCACCUCCCAUGAAUAUAUUCGGUGAUUCCCAAACAUCAGAAUGAAUCAAGUCUAGAAUGCAUUUACUUCUAGCAAUAGAUCUACUGAAUUUUAAUUUAUGCUGCUUACUUAUAACACAAUGCUCACAAAAUGGUAAACUUACCGAUUUGAGCCCCGAAAGUAAUUUUCGCUCAGAGAGAAUCUUCAAACAGUGUUCUGACAUGUGACCAAGUUUGAGAUGCCACAUCAUCGUUGACUCUUCUCCAUUUGAUGCGACACACGCAUCAGCCUCCUGUAGUGUUUCUCCUUUAAGCAUGAAUAAAUUAGCACCGCUCUUUUCUGCCUUUAUCAAUACAAGCGCUCAUUUAACGAUCUUCAUAAUUCCAUUCUCCUCAUGAGUUUUGUACCCAUGACUAUCCAUUUGUCCCAAAGACAAUAGAUUUUUCUUCAGGCCGUUGACAUGUCGUACCUCUCCUAUUGUGCGAAUUGUACCAUCAAAUAUUUUUAUUUUGAUAGUACCAAUAUCAGCGAUCUCCAAGGCAUGAUCAUCUCCCAUAUAUACAGAUCCUCCUUAAAUAGGUUCAUAUGUGUGGAACCAUUCUCUCCGGGAGGUCAUGUGCCAGAUAGCUCCUGAGUCUAUAAGCCAGACAUCAUAUAGUCGUUUUAUGCCUUCUGAAAUAGUUGUUGCCUCGCUGUAAAGAAUUUCGCCAUCAUCUGAGGUACUUGCUACACACCCCUGAGCAUUUGAUGACUCAGGUUCUUUACCCUCUCUUCUCUUCUGAUUACUCCAACACUCCUUUUUAACGUGCCCUUUCUUGCCAUAGUUGUAGCAUUUAACAUUCUUCUUACUUCUAGAUUUUGAUCUACCAUGAUUUUGACUCCCACUAGGGCCACGUUCCGUUGAUCUCCCUCUCAUCACCGAUAGCGCCUCCGCUUGCUGCGAACUUGCUUGUCUAUUUUCCUUAUUUUUCCGCCUGCUCUCGUCAUUUAAUACGGAGGCUGCAACAUCGUCGAAAACUAGACUGUCCACUUGAUUGUUGUUCGUCAGGUUGAUGAUAAGUUGAUCAUACGAAUCUGGUAGACUUUGAAGUAGAAGCUCUGCACGUUCAUUUUCCUCUAUAUUAUGACCCAACGUUGUGAGUUGUGAAAAUAGAGUCUUCAAGGUGUUGAUGUGGUCGGUCAUAGAUUCCGUCAUUCGAAGAGUAUAGAGUUUUCUCUUCAAGAAGAUUUUGUUGUGUAGUGACUUGGCCUCGUAUAAUUUUGUAAGAGUAUCCCAUAUUUCCUUCGCUAUAUUUUUCUCUACCACACUGGAUAAUACUCCAUCUGCAAGUGCCAAGUGUAGAUCAGAAAUGGCGUUGCCAUCUAUCUCGUUCCACUUGUCAUCGGUUAUCUCUAUGGGCAUUUCUCCAAUUGCUGCCAAGCAAUUAUUUUUCCUUAAUACAACUUUCAUCUUCAUUUUCCACAACGAAAAAUUAUUUCCGUUAAACUUCUCAAUUUUAUACUUUGCCGCCAUUUUGUUGAUAAAUAUCGCACACAAGUUAGUGUACCACCUUGAAUAGUUGUGAGUAUGUGUGAGAAUGCACACCAAGAAAGUUCCUAGGAAAGACUGGAGGGGUCACAAUGGUCCCACUUAAAACCCAGACUCCUUAAGCUCUUAUCGCCCUUGUGACAGAACUUUCCUAGACAUGUACAAAAACCACACAGUUGUUUUACUCACACCACUAUUCCCUACUUUGCACCGCAAAAUUCUUGGAUCGCUCCCACCGUUUCACGUGAAUAGUACCGUAUACGUGAACAAUACCGUAUACGUGAAUAGUGCCGUAUACGUGAACAGUACCUGACUCCAAAAAAUACAACCAAUAGCUCUGAUACCACUGUUAGAAAAUUGGUGGGUGAAGCAGGACCGCAGCUAAAAUGAAAUUGGAAGGAAAUAAAGAACAAGCACAAUAGAGGACACCAGGAAUUACGUGGUUCGACUUUUAACCUACGUCCACGGGCGAAAAUAGAAGGAAAAUAUUUCACUAGUGAAAUAAGGAUUACAAGUAUUGUAAUAUUUUAGCUCACUACCCAAAACCCCAAUACACCCAAUCUCUUACUCACUAGACACUCAAUAGUUUAUUAAACUCUUAAUACUCUCAACACUAAAAGAAAGCAAUGCUUCUCUCUCGAUGGAAUUGGAUACAAGCUCUAGAUUGAGAGCUUGUAUUUAUAGGCAAAACUUUGCCUCAAAUGUCAAACAAGUGGCCAUAAACUUCAAGCCAUACAACUCAAAAAUUUCAAACUUUGAAUUUUUAGCUUUGAAUUUUUCUUUUCUUUUACCAAACAUUACGGCAUCUAGAAUUUCAAAGCCAAGUGCCAACCAUUCUUGUUUAUUCAAAGCUUCUAGAUGCAGCCAAUUUUGACAUAGAUUUCAAGGGAAAAUUCCAGAAGUAGUGGGAAAGUUGAAUUCACUCAAAAGUCUCAACAUUUCUCACAACAACCUGACAGGUGGUAUUCCUUCAUCGCUGAGAAAUCUGACAGAGCUUGAAUCUCUAGACCUCUCUUCAAACAAGCUUGCUGACGUAUCCCAACACAACUAGCGAGUCUCAAUUAUCUUGCGGUGUUGAAUCUUUCGAACAACCAGCUCAAAGGACCCAUACCAGGAGGACCCCAAUUUAAUACAUUUGGAAUUGAUUCCUAUUCUGGUAACUCGGGGCUGUGUGGAUUCCCAUUCUUAAAAAGCUGCAACAUUGAUGAGGCACCAAAACCAACAACACCAACAUGAUUUAUCGAAGGAGACGAUGCUUCAAGCUGGUUUGAUUGGAAGCUCGCUAUGUUGGGUUACGCAUCUGGAGUGGUGAUCGGCUUGUCCAUCAGAUACAUGGCAUUUUUGACUGGAAGGCCACAAUGGUUUGUAAGAAUGAUCGAAAGGAAGCAAUCCAGGAAGCUGAGAAGGGUGAUCAGACGAGGCAGAGCUGGUAGAAGAAGUUUGUUGGUGCAUCUCUAAAGGCCCAAGUGAGUAAUUAUUAGUUUGUCUUUUGGAAUUAUAAGCUGGUUUCUACUGUUCUUUAAGUAGAUAGCAUGUUGAUAUUAUCGUAAUCUAACAGUUGACUUGCAAAAAUCACAAUCCUAAUUAAUUUCAAAUUAUGCUUAUUAUCAACAUCUAUAGUGAGAAACAAAAUGAGGAUAAUGUAUAAGAAAGAAAAUUUUAACUGAAUUAUUGAUGCGAUUGUUUUUACUUUUAUUGCCAUUUCAUUAGAACAUGUCGUCACGGAUGUACAUUUUGAUGGUAAAAUGAUUUGAAGUAAUAUUGUUGCAGGAAAUUGUGCGGGGGUAACUUUGGUUUGUAAUCAUGUACUUCAAAUUUGGGCGUAGAACGUGCUAUUUCAAAGUUUGUGAGCAGACAACGUUAACUGUUGGCAUUUGGAAGUUUUUGAUAAUAAAAAUGAUCAUGUUAAUAAUAUCUUUCUUUAUUGGUUAGAAAUUAUUCAUAAAUUGUAAGUGCUUAUAUUACGAUCUAACCAAUUUCGUGAUGCCAUUGGCCAUAUUAAAACAAGAGUUCCCUUCCCCAAGUUGCGAAUAAUUGAUCUCUCUCAGAAUUAACUCACUGGUGUUUUGCCAACUCAGUGUCUUGAAAAUUCUAAAGUCAUAAUGCGUGGGGAUAACAAUAAUGUUGAUUUCAACUCUUACUAUGAAUUAAUAAUUGUGACCAUAGAAGGAACCGACCAACAAAUGGAGAGGAUUCUAAUCAUUUUCAUGCCAAUUGAUUUGUCGAACAAUCAAUUUCGAGGAAAAUUUUAGAAGUGGUGAGAUAACUUAAUUCACUUAAAUGUCUUAACAUUUUUCACAACAAGCUGACAAGUGGCAUUCCAUCAUUGUUGGGAAAUCUGUCAGAGCUUGAACCUUUUGACUUCUCCUCAAACAAGCUUAUUGGGAUGAUUCCAAUGCAAUUGGCGAGUCUGAAAUUUCUUUUCUUGCUAAAUUUUUUGUACAACCAGCUUGAGGGACAUCAACCUCAAGGACCUCAAUUAACUACAUUUUCAAACGAUUUUUAUACUGUAAACUUGAGGUUGUGUGGUUUUCAUUAUCACAAAGCUGUAACAUUGAGACAUUAGAACUGUUACUAACAAGAUUGGACAAAAGAGAUAAUAAUUCGAGCUGGUUUGAUUGGAAGUUCGCUAAGAUGACCAAUGAACCUAGUGGCCUAUGGCUAGACACAGGUACAGCACAUGGCACAAUACAGGCAGAGUUUCAUUAGGGUACCAGAACAACAUGUGUCCAUACAACACGGUAUGAGCACAUUUUGAUAGGGCACGUGGCAUGACAUGACAUGGCAAGUACGCGGGUUGAGCUGGGCUGGAUUAAUAAUUUUAGGUACAUGUGCCUAACAAGCACAGUACGAUUAGAGAUAGUAUAAAACACAACUCAUGAAAAGGUCUGCAAUAAGAACGUUUAUCUGUUGGGCUAGCACACGACUUGCAGACCAUCAAUAACAUGUGGGCCAAUACAUAUUUUAGUGAUUUUUUUUAUGAAAGUAAAAUUGAAAUUUUAUGAUUUUACAAAUAAUUUAAAUUUGAAUCUUUUUAUAUAUUUCAUUAGCAUAGUUUUUUAAAAAUUCAUUUAAUUCUUAGUUUAAAAAAUUACUCUAAUUUUUUUACAUUUAUAAUUUACUAAAUGAAUAGAUGAUCAUGAUUUUAAAAAAUAAAAUUAUAAAUAUCAUGAUUUCAUAAAUGUAUGCAUUAAUGUGAUUGUUGGUACGAAAAUAUAGAUAAGCAAUAAGAGUUGAAAAAAAAUUAUUUACUUAGGGAACAAGUUGAGAGAGUUUGAUUUACUCAUAAUUGCCAUUAUUGAGAGUGAAAAGCUUGAUAAUUGGAAUUUUUUAAAACAAUAAGCCAUCAGGAUUCGCUUGGGGGUAUUAUCGUUGUAGACCCUCCGAUACUGAAGUUAGAGAUUAAAAAUAAUAUGAUAAUAAAUAAAUAAUAAGAGAGAAAAGAGAAUAAGAGAAUAAAUAUUGUCAUACAAUAUACAUAUUUCGCAUGUAUCUUUAUAUAUAUACACACACAGACACACACCUUUGAGUGAUGAUCUCUUUAUAUAAGAGUGCUAAUAAUAAAAAGUGUUUAAAUUUUAAAUUAUAAAUGCCAUGUAAAUAUUGAAUUAACAAAUAAAAUUAUAAAUAUCAUGUAAAAGCAUUGCAGUUUCGUUGGCCAUCGCCUUGAAUUUAAAUUUUAAAAGAACCAAAAAAACAUAGUAAAUGUAAAAAUAACAUAAAAUAACAAAGCUUGAAGAAGUUUACUUCUUUAUUUCUUGCAUUUUCAAACUCUACUAUUUUAGGGCUCAAAAUCAUUUUCUAUUCUGCAUUUUAUAAAACUAGAAAUUAAAAAUACAAAAUUCUAUGGGAAUGUCAUGUGAUGCGUCGACAUUGGGUAGAUAUUCACUGUUUAUAUCUCAGUGCUGUUUUCCUCACCCCUCAUGAGUAAGCUUUGAAUUUGGUACCCAAUUUGUCCAAGAGUUAGUGAGCCAAUGAUCACUCAUUCACUCUAAUUAGAUAUUUAGUGGAUGAAAAUUGAUUGGACGUAAAAGAAAAUGCACAUGAAUAAUCGAAAUAACUUUCAAGUCCAAAAAGGCUUUGACUUAUUUGAUGCUUGUUCAAAUGGCUCAGUAUGUGCCGCGUCAACAUGUGAAAACUCAUCCACGUCACCAGCCUCAGCGCUCUCGCCACGUCAUCAUUCAAGCGGUUGUAACUGAUGAUAAUUUGGAUAAGAAAAAAGUGGCGCGAGCUUUGCUUCGUUUGAAUAGCACGGCCACGGCCAUAAUGGCCAGUGCUACAAGUGCUACUAAAGAGACAGUUCUUGACGGAGCUCACUUUCAAAUGAAGAACCGAAAUGCCCGCGUUUUGGUACUUGGAGGUACGGGUCGGGUCGGUGGAGUUGUAAAUUCAAAUAUUUUAGAAUGCUGUCAAACACGCUAGUUCUUGGAUGGAACUAUGGGGACAUGGAGUUGUAAAUUCAAAUAGUUAUGGCUGGAAUAUUUCCUAAUUUACAGUGUGUCGCUGAGAAAAUUUUGCAUACCGGCAGGGAAAAAGGUGCUGCAAUGGUCUCUACAUUGGGGAAGAAUUCUGAAUUUGCUGAAGUUAACAUUUACAAUGAAGGCUCAUUAUUAAUGGCUUUAAGAGGUGAGAUCAUUCCUCACUGACUAGAUGUAUCUUCUAUUGUUCCACAUCAAUAAUUCUUUUUCUUCUAGAGUCGAAGUAACACAGGAGUGUUUGAAAUAUUUGGUAAUCAAGUUAUACCAAGUGCAGCUCAAGUUCUUACAUUAAUCAAGUGAGCAGAAUUUCUGAGCAGAAGGGGCAUCUUUGGGAAUUAAACUGUACUGGAUGAGAUCGAAUUAAUUUUCGAGCCAUACAUCAUUGGAAAGAUAUUUCUGUUAGCUUUCCAAUGAAUUUUACUAAUCUAAAUUUGGAGUUUUCUACAGUAAGUUGUUAAGUGCAGACUGUUCAGUUUUGAGUCAAGAAGAAUAUUUCGGGACUUGGAUUUUUUUUAAUGUUCUUUGUUGUGUUUUAAGCAUACCAAUGUUUUAUUAAUGUCUAGCUUUAAUGUUGGUCUUUAAAGUCAAGUUAUUUGAAGGGUUUCUUUGUAGUAAAUCUAUGCUUGGAGGAUUGUUCUAAGAAAGCUAUUUAAGCUUAUGUAGUUGUAACCAAAGGACAGAGAUUAAUUUUGGAAUUGGAUGAACUUUGAGUUAUUAUCAAACUCUGUAUCUCUUUGGUGGAUUCCAAUGAGUGGUGAGUAUUUUUAAGCCCUGUAUCCUUAGCUUAACAACUUUAGGUGGUGAAUUUUUCUGUAUCCUUUUGUUGUUUGCUGUGGUGGUGAGCUUGUGAUUUCUUGGGUGUGUGACGUUGAUGGGUGUCGAAGCCAACAAAAAUAAAUUCCUACUCUAAAUAAAUUGUGUAUAGUAAUUGAGCAGGGUCGUGUCCACAGAGAUCGGUAAUUAUUUAAAUCCUUUUAAAAUGUAAAACAUAAAAUGGGGGUUUUGUUGACAAUAAUAAAAAUCAAAUUAAGAUAACAAGAAUGCAAAUUAAAGUUGUAAUUCAAAUUGGAGAAAGCUCUGGUUGAAGGAAUUAACUCAGCUUGAUUCGACUACUGAUCAUUGAUUCAAAUAUAGAUUAUUAUUACUUAUGAAUAGACCGGUUAUAGCUAUUGAGACCCUCUAAUAGCCAAUCUCUCCUUAACUAGUCGAUAACCAAGGUACGACCGUUGGAUAUUUCCCUAAUCAAUAGACAACCCUAGAUACGAUCAUAUGAUUUAAUCAAUUGACAGCCUGAAAAACUAGAGAGACCCAAAUCCUAAUCAACACAUAUGAUGAUUCAUUUAAAUUAGAUUGUUUAUUCUCACAACACAACUCUCUGCUAUGUUAUUUGUCACAAACAUUAAAUUCUUCAUACGAUGAAUCCUUUAAUUGACAAUAGAUUAAGUUGAUAAUUAAAUAGUGGCCAAUUACCUAAUUAACAAACAUAAUCACGAAACUAAUUCAGAGAAUAAACAAAUACCCAAAAAGUAAUAAAACAAUUAAAGCAUAAGAAAGAUCUCACAGUAGUGAUGAAUCAAAGCUUCAUUAACCUUCAACCAGAAAAAUAGGUUUAGUUCUUCAUAGAGAGAAGAGAAAAAUUAAGAUCUAGGGUUUCUUUCUUUUUCUCCAAUCCAAAUCCCCCUUUUUCACAAUAGAUUCCUCCCUUAAAUACUCUCUCUCUUCUCUUUUAGAAUUCUAUUUAAAAUAAAAUACUAAUAUCUGAAAUAUUAAAUUCGUAAUUACAAAAAUAACCAAAAAUACAAAACACGUUAAACUAAAAACUGCAGGUCCGCAGUUGACAGCACGCGCCCACGCCUUAUCAACAAAGUUCUUCUGACGCUCAUAAUUUCUCCAAGAGACAAUCCUCCUUAAACAUCAUCUUUUAGCUCAAUUUUAUCACCAAUCAAUAGAAUUGCACCUACAAAAGUAAAACACAAGUAAAACAUUAUUAUUAAGUGCAAAACAUCGAUAUUAAGGGAAGUAAAUAAUGCAAAACUAGUGCAUAAAUUGCACUCUAACAAAUUCCCCCACACCAAGAUGAUGCUUGUCCUCAAGCAUAUAACUCAAGAUUAAUCUCAAAUCUCCACUCAAUUCUCAUCUCAACUCAUCCAAAAAUAAUUUUAAGCAAGCAUACCUCAAGAAAUUAAGUCGAUCAACAUUCGAGAGACAAGGACUUUUAAAGCAUAGAAUCUCAUAAGAUAGAAUAAGAACAUUCAACCACCAAGAACAUCCAUUCAAAAUUCAAGUGCAACAAGAUUUAAUAGCCCUCUCAAUGACUUCACUCCAUGCACUCAAAGUGUUUAGGGUAUCAUUUAUGCACUCAAAUCAAAUCAAAGAAUGCUAUUACCAUAAGCUUGCUCAUAUAUCACAUCUCAAUCCACAAAACAUGAAUAAAAUGCAAAAAUCUAAGGGUCUUAAAUGGGUUGUAAUGGGGUUAAAUAGGUUAAAUGAAAAAGAAAGGUCUAUGAAAGAAAAAGAGAUCAAAAUGAGAAGAAUGAACUCAUUGAAUGAACUUAUGAUAUCAAAAUGCUUAUUUCUACUCAAGUCACCAAGAAUGUAAACUUUUUUUUUUCGAAUUUUUUUUUUCAAUUUUUCUUUUUCUUUUCUUUUUCUUUUCUUUUUUUUGUUUUUUUUUUUCGAAUCAAACAAAAGAAACGAACCUUGCACAAUUUAAUUCAAGAAUAAUGCUUGUUGAUCUUAUUGAGAAACUUUAAUACAAGGUAGAAAAGGCAACAAAAUAUAUUCACACAAUGAGUCCAAAAAUCUCCUUAAAUUGAGGCUCAAAAAGAAGAAAAAUGGUUAAGUAGACGGAGAGAAUUAGAUGGGUAAUGGUUAAGGCUCAAACAAAGGUAGCAAAUAAAGGUCUUCGGGUAGAGAAAAAAAAUGCGAGAAUAGAAAAAUGGUAAAUGGUUUGCCCUUAUCAUUUUAAUGCAUAAAAUCCCGUAAUGUGGCUUCAACAUGCAUAAUAAAGAAAGUUCUAGAAUAAACAAACUAAGAUUGAUAUUCACAUAACAAAAAUAAUUAGAGCAAAGUGGUUGCUCAUAGGCUCAAAUCCUCACAAAGUUGGUAAAUUUGCCAUCAAAUCAUGUACACUCUUCAAAUGAAUCAACCAUCAAUAGUGGUGUAGAAUGAGAAGAAGGUAUGAGUGAUAUAUAAAAGGAAAGGUAAAAAUGAUAAGAAGUGAGAAAGAUGAAAAGUGAAAGAUAAAAUGUGAGUGAUGAAAGAGUAUGAUAGAAUAAAAAUAGAUGUAAAUAAUUUGAGAUAGAUGGGAAAAGAGUAGUGAGAAAGGAAAUAAUAAUAAUAAUAAUAAUAUAUGAAGCAUACUAACUCCAAAAUCAUUUAAGGAUGAGUAGAGUGAAAAAAAAAAAGAUAAGUAGAGUGAAAACAAUAAUUCCAGACAUCAAUAAUGCAAAAAUCCCUCCCCCACACCAAGAACUUACAUUGUCCCCAAUGUAAGAUAAUCAAAGCUCACAUAAAAAUUAAAGCGUAAGGAUAAAAGAUUAAGGGCAAAAAGAAACUUCCCUGAAUUGUGAGCUUUGAUCCACAUAACGUCUAUGAGCUUGGCGGAAAUGGUGGGGUAAAUCCCACACUCUCGAAGUAUGCAGCCAAAUUCUGCUCCAUCUUAUUCAGCUUGUGCUCCAUUUUCUCUAGCUGAAUACUCAAAGGUGGUGCGGAUGUAGAAGGAAUAGUUGGCGGGGCAGCAGUGUCGUCGUCAAACUCGUCAUCAGAGGUAGCACCACUCCUAGCAUAAAGCUUCUUCGGAGGUUGAGUGGGUCAUGGUUCAGUAAACUGAAAUCUCCCCUCCUUGAAUUCAACCACACCUCUCUUUCUCUUGUUGAGUCGCGAACGCAAGGCACCCUCCGAGAUUGGAUUCCGCAAGUGGCAAAAUACUCAUGCCUUUUCCAUGCUUCGAUCUUUGUCUCACGGCUUGGCGUGAAUAUGAAAUUGUGUUCCAUGGAACCGUAGUGGGAGCGGCAAUCUUAGAUUUCUUUGCGAUGGGUGUCUUUUUCGAUGACUUGGAAGUUGAUGCUUUCCUCUUCGACAUUGUUACAAUAAUUGCACUCACGGAUUUCGAUUUACCUGGCUGGAAUACAGGGCGUACGUUGUGCGCUGGUGAGGCUUGCUUUGCGGGUGCUGUGCUGCGCUGCGUUGCGCGCUAGUGGUACUUCGUUGCGCGCUGCUGGGCUGCGAGACACGGGAUACUGGUGCUGCGCGCGCGGGGGCUUGCGUUGCGCGCUGGUGAGGCUGCGUUGCACGCUGGUGGUUCGCGUUGCUGGUUCGCGCUAUGUUGCUGGCCUGGAUCUACGCACUGCUGCGUUCGCGUUGUGUUGCGCGCGAGAGCUGGUUCGCGCUGUUGGUCUGCUGCUGCUCAGCUACGUUGCGCGCGGCUGGAGCUAAGAAUCUGGGUUGCUGGGGCUUGCGUUGCGCGAGACUGGUUCGCGCUGGCUGUUGCUUGCGUUGCGGGGUGAAGGCUGGAGCUGAGGCGCGCUGCUGUAAAACGAUAAUCAACAGUAAUUUUUGAAUUAGGGAUUUGUGAACAGUGAUUUUCGAUUUUUGGUUUUUUGUUUUUUGUUUUUUUAAUAAAUAAAUAAAUAUAUAUAUAAAAGAAAGAACAAAAGAAAAUUUUUUUUUCAUUUUUUAAAAAAUAAAUAAAUUAAAUUAAAUAAAAAAAAAGAUUUUUUUUUUUUUUUGUGAUGAAACACUUUGAGACACCAAAAAUUUCAGAAGUACUUUUUUAAUAAGCACGUGGGCACGCCUUAAAACUAUUUUACUUUAAAAAUUACAGAAGUAUUGUUUUAGUUAAGACGUGGGCACGCCUUAUCAAAAAUUUUCUUCUGGCCAAAAUAAGCAAACACAUUAUUUUAAAAAAAAAUCUGAAUCAAAAUUAAAAGAAGAUAUAACAAAAACCAAAAUAAAUAAAUCAUUUGGGUUGCCUCCCAAAAAGCGCCUUUGUUUUAUGUCUUUGGCUAGACACAUUUAUGCUUCAAUCUCCAUAAUUGGGACUCUCGAGAGCCACAUCCUCCACAAUAUUCACCGAAAAACCUUCAUAAAAAGGUUUUAAGCGAUGACCAUUAAUCUUAAAAACUUUGUCAGAGGUCGGACUCCGAAUCUCAACUGCACCAUGAGGAAAAACAUUAGUACCAAUAAAAGGUCCAACCCAGCAAGAACGUAAUUUACCCGGAAAAAGUUUAACCUUAGAAUGAAAAAGAAGAACUUUUUGACCAACAGAGAACUCCUUUCUCAAAAUCAUUCUAUCAUGAAAUGUCUUCGUCUUUUCCUUGUAAAAACUUUCCUGCGCUAUAGGGUUAAUAACAUCCACAGAAAAUACCGAAUGUUCCUCACUAGGAUAUUUCAUGGUAUCAUUCAUAUUGAAUUCUAUAACCUCUCCAUCAAACUCCAUAGUGAGAGUCCCUUUAUGUACAUCCAUUUUAGUCCUAGCAGUCUUAAGAAAAUGUCUUCCUAGUAAAAUUGGGACAGAAUUAGAGAAGUUAUCAUCUUCCAUAUCAAGUACAUAAAAAUCAGCAGGAAAAACCAACUCAUUAACUUGUACUAAGACAUCUUCUAAUACCCCAUCAGGAUAUGCAUUAGACCUAUCAGCUAGUUGAAUUAUCAGGCCAGUUUCUUUUAAUGGACCAAUAUUCAAAGAUGAAUAAAUGGAACGAGGCAUGACAUUAAUAGAAGCUCCUAGAUCUAACAUAGCCUUUUCAACUCUAACACUACCAAUUUUACAAGGGAUAGUAAACAUACCUGGAUCCUUGCACUUAGGAGGUAGUUUCUUUUGGAGAACUGUUGAAACAUUCUCCCCCAUGUGAACUUUUUCAUCUCCUCUUAAUUUUCUUUUGGAGGUGCACAGUUCCUUAAGGACUUUAGCAUAUCGAGGUAUUUGUUUUAUAGCAUCUAAUAAAGGAAUAUUUACCUCAACCUUGCGAAAUGUCUCAAGGAUGUCUUUCUCUUGUUCCUCCUUCUUAGAUUUUGCAAACCGGCUUGGAAAAGGAGGAGGUAUCACAAUAGGUAGGGGUUUCGCUCCGGUGGGUUGUGCAUCUUGAGAUUGAGGCAUCAAUUCAUUCUUCUCAAGCUCAUCUUCUACAUGCUCUGUCACUUUCUUACUAGGCUCUUGCAACUCCUUCGCACUUCUAAGGAUGACAGCACUAACAUUUUGCUUUGGAUUCACCUCAGAUUGUGAAGGCAAUCUCCCUAAUACUUGAGACUCCAGACGGCUCACUGUAGUCGCCAAUUGACUCAUUUGGUUCUCCAAGUUCUGAAUGCUUGCUGUAGUUGCCUGCUGAAAUUGUUGAGUGUUAGUCGCAAGUGAUUUAACAAUUUCUUCAAGAGAUAUACCUGACUUGGAGUUUGACUGUGGAGGUGCUGGUUGUCUUGGUGGAUACUGUUGUGGGAAUCCUGACGGUCUAACUCCAUAGCUGAAGUUGGGAUGAUCCUUCCAUCCCGGAUUGUAUGUUUGUGCAUAAGGAUCAUACCUCCUCUGAGGCAUGCCUGGAAAUCCUCCAACUGCAUUGGCUUGUUCAACGGGUUCUUCUUAGAGUGUAUGACACAUAUAAGUUGAAUGACCCAUAUUGUAACAAAUGCCACAAGUCUUCACCUGUUGCACAUUACCUACAACAAACUUUUCCACAAGAGAAGUUAGUUUAUCUAAACGUUGUUCAACAGAAGAAAUAUUUACCUCAUUCACCUUCCUUGAAGUGAGAUCUUGCCUGCUGCCAAAUUGUUGUGCGUUGGCAGCCAUAUUUGAUAUCAACUCCCUUGCUUGAGUAGGGGUCUUGUUCACCAACACACCUCCACUAGCAGCAUCUAUCAUACUCCUAUCCAUUAAUGACAGUCCUUCGUAAAAAUAUUGAAUAAGAAGUUGAUCAGAAAUCUGAUGCUGAGGACAACUGGCACACAAUUGUUUGAAUCGCUCCCAAUACUCAUACAAAGUCUCCCUAGGAAGUUGUCUGAUCCCACAAAUAUCUUUUCUGAUGUUGGCAGCUCUUGAAGCAGGAAAGUACUUCUCAUGGAACUGCUUCUUUAAACCAUUCCACGUUGUAAUUGAUCCAGGAGGCAAGUAGUACAACCAGUCUUUAGCUAGUCCAUCUAAAGAGAAAGGAAAAGCACGCAGCUUAAUCUGCUCUUCAGUCACACCUUGUGGUCUCAUACUUGAACACACAACAUGAAACUCCUUAAGAUGUUUAUGAGGAUCUUCACCUGCAAAACCAUGAAACUUGGGUAAUAAAUGAAUAAGACCAGACUUUAAUUCAAAAUUUACCUCUAAGUCUACAUAUUGAAUGCAGAGUGGUUGUUGAUUCAAGUCUAGUUCAGCUAACUCUCUAAGAGUUCUUUCUUCAGGUGCAGGUCUAUCUAGGGGUGGGCAAAAUCGGGUUCGGGUCGGGUUCGGGUCAACCCGAUCGGGUUUCGGGUUGUUCGGGUUAGACAAGAACCAAUCCGAACAUAACCCGAAUUAUUGACCCGACCCGAACCGGGUUGGAUUUAAAACGAGUUGGAUUGAGUUCGGGUCUGUUCGGGUCAGGUCGGGUCAAUUCGAGUCAGUUCGGGUCGGUUGAAAUCGGGUCAAUUCGGGUCAAUUCGGGUCAAAUUCGGUUAAUACAAUUUUGAGCUCUUUUUUUUUCCUAUUAUUGUAGUUUUUAUGAAAGUUUUAAGACAUUUUUCUUAAUUGUAGUCAUUUUUACUAAUUUUCAACUAAAAAAAGAAAAGAAAAUGUUAUUAUUAAUUCAAAAAUCAAAACACAUAAAUAUUAUUAACAUAAUCCAUAAACAAAAAUUAGUAAUUUCAAUUCAAGUUGUUCAUGCUCCAUAAACAAAAAGUAAGAAAUUCAUGAUACUUAAUUUUAAUAUAAUAUAUAAUAUCCAAUUACCCAUUCCCCAUAAUAAAUAAUAUGAUAUUAUUUGUCUAUCUAUAUCUUAUUUUUUAUUAUAAAUUAAAUCCUUUAAUUUCAAGUCCAAGUUACUUGUACUUAACAACUUAACGGAUGAUUAACAUAUAAUAUAAUAUUAAUUGAAUUUAUUAAUUUGUUUAGGGUUGAAAGCUUGAAGCUACUGCACAAGUACACAUAAUUACAUAACAUAAACACAUUAUAAUUAUAAAACAUAUACAACAUAAUACUUAAUUUUAAUAUUUAAUCUACCUAAUGUGCUAAUUUAUUCAUAAAAAAAUCAAUUAUUAAUUAUUGUUAACAAUUAUUAACAAUUAUCAAUUAAUAUUAUUUCAAUUAUUAACUAUUAUUAACAAUUAUUAACAAUUAACAAUUAUCAAUUAUCAAUUAACAAAACCCACCAAUCGACAAUUCCUUUUUAUAUAUGAAAAAAAAUAAUUUCUGAUGAGCUCAAUAAUUAACAAAAUUUCCUUGAUUUUAUUACUAAUAUUUAUAAAUACAUAAUUCGUUCAUUACAACAAUCAAAUUAUAAACAAUUACUAAAUUACAUAAUAAACUAUUUAGCAUAUAUAAUUAAUUAAUUAUAUAGUGUAUAUAUACCAUGAAGCGAAACAGGAAACACUUAGGAAACGGGUCAAAAAGUUGAAGGCUUGAAGCUUGAAAGUGGAAGGUGGAAACCGGAAAGCUUCAAAAUCGGGUUCGGGUGGAGAGGAUUCGGUCUUCAAGCAGCAGAUCGGUGGCCACGGCUCACGGCUGGACGGACGGGAUUUCACUUGGCAGCAGAUCGCGGCUUCACUUGGGAGUUGGUAGCAGCAGAUCUCGGAGAUGCGGACGGCUCACGACUCACGGCUGGAUGGGUUUGACUUGGCAACAGCUGGUCGCGACUUCACUUGGCAGCAACAGAUCGUGAUUUCAGCAGUUGGCAGCAACAGAUCGCGUCUUAUGGUGGCUGGUUGCAGACUUGCGGGUUGCGGGUUGCGGCUGCCUUGUUCAGUUGUUUCAUUGUUUGUGUUUGUGUUUGUGAUCUGUGAAGUUGUGGCUGACAGGCAGCGUGUGUGUGUGUUAGGUUUGCGUCUUUGCGAGUGAAUUGUUGAGUGCAGCGUGUGUGUGUGUGUGUGCUGUGCACUUGCAGCGUGUGUGUCACAGUGUCAGUGUGUGUGCUGUGCAGCUUGUGACUUGUGUGUGUUGUGCAGUGUGCAGCUUGUGGCUUCUAUAGUUCUAUGUGUGCAGCAGCGUAUGUGACUAUGUGUGUGUGGCUCAGUGGCUGGCAGCUUGUGACUUCUGUUCUAGUGUUCUUUGUGUGUGCUGUGCAGCAGCAUGACAAAUUCAAAUUUGUUUCCCGUGACAAAUUUCUUUCUUUGUUUCUUUCACAUCCUCUCUCGGUCUCUCCCCUUUUUGUUUUUUUUUUCUUUUCCUCCAAAAAGAAAUUGUUCUGUUCUUAAACAAUUUGUCAAAUGCUCGAAAUUUAUCAAUUGCUUGGCGUUGGGUAGAAGAUAAGAUCUCUUUUGAAUGAUUAAAUUGGACAAAAACAGAAAAGGGUGAGGAUUGCUUCAGUCAUCAUUGCACUUGCAAAAUGCCAUCUAAGGCAACUUUAUUUUCUUUAUUAAAAUUUAAAAUGUCUCUGAGAAGAAUUUUGACAGAAUGGCUGCCAACUUUUUGGAUUGGUUAUUGGUGUGAUUCGAUUGCUGUUGGAGAAUGGAGAGGGAAAUAUGCUCAAUAAGGAGUACAGACACAUGCCAGAAAUCAAUUUUUUUUUUUUUUGGGAACCCGAUCGGGUAUUCGGAUCGGGUCGGGUUUGACCCGAACCGAUCACAACCCGAUCGGGUUUGUAAGUUUCAAUCCGAUCGGGUUUCAAUCCCGACCCGAUCCGACCCGAACCCGAAAUUUAUCGGGUCGGGUCGGGUCGGGUUGGGUCGGAUCGGGUAAAAUGCCCACCCCUAGGUCUAUCCAUCACUUGUUCUUCUGAAUCGCUAGAUGGUUCAACUAAAUCAGGUACUGUAUCUGUUUCAGAAAGCAAAGGCGACGAGGAUCGUUGCUUAGCUCGCUUCGUUUGCUGUCUCAGCUGGCGAGCUGUCUUCUCAAUUUCAGGAUCAAACGAAAGUGUACCUGUACGAGAAGAACGAACCAUACACCAAGUAAAACGUAAAAGGAUUAAAUAAAUGACACCAAUCCCCGGCAACGGCGCCAAAAUUUGAUGGGUGUCGAAGCCAACAAAAAUAAAUUCCUACUCUAAAUAAAUUAUGUAUAGUAAUUGAGCAGGGUCGUGUCCACAGAGAUCGGUAAUUAUUUAAAUCCUUUUAAAAUGUAAAACAUAAAAUGGGGGUUUUGUUGACAAUAAUAAAAAUCAAAUUAAGAUAACAAGAAUGCAAAUUAAAGUUGUAAUUCAAAUUGGAGAAAGCUCUGGUUGAAGGAAUUAACUCAGCUUGAUUCGACUACUGAUCAUUGAUUCAAAUAUAGAUUAUUAUUACUUAUGAAUAGACCGGUUAUAGCUAUUGAGACCCUCUAAUAGCCAAUCUCUCCUUAACUAGUCGAUAACCAAGGUACGACCGUUGGAUAUUUCCCUAAUCAAUAGACAACCCUAGAUACGAUCAUAUGAUUUAAUCAAUUGACAGCCUGAAAAACUAGAGAGACCCAAAUCCUAAUCAACACAUAUGAUGAUUCAUUUAAAUUAGAUUGUUUAUUCUCACAACACAACUCUCUGCUAUGUUAUUUGUCACAAACAUUAAAUUCUUCAUACGAUGAAUCCUUUAAUUGACAAUAGAUUAAGUUGAUAAUUAAAUAGUGGCCAAUUACCUAAUUAACAAACAUAAUCACGAAACUAAUUCAGAGAAUAAACAAAUACCCAAAAAGUAAUAAAACAAUUAAAGCAUAAGAAAGAUCUCACAGUAGUGAUGAAUCAAAGCUUCAUUAACCUUCAACCAGAAAAAUAGGUUUAGUUCUUCAUAGAGAGAAGAGAAAAAUUAAGAUCUAGGGUUUCUUUCUUUUUCUCCAAUCCAAAUCCCCCUUUUUCACAAUAGAUUCCUCCCUUAAAUACUCUCUCUCUUCUCUUUUAGAAUUCUAUUUAAAAUAAAAUACUAAUAUCUGAAAUAUUAAAUUCGUAAUUACAAAAAUAACCAAAAAUACAAAACACGUUAAACUAAAAACUGCAGGUCCGCAGUUGACAGCACGCGCCCACGCCUUAUCAACAAAGUUCUUCUGACGCUCAUAAUUUCUCCAAGAGAACAAUCCUCCUUAAACAUCAUCUUUUAGCUCAAUUUUAUCACCAAUCAAUAGAAUUGCACCUACAAAAGUAAAACACAAGUAAAACAUUAUUAUUAAGUGCAAAACAUCGAUAUUAAGGGAAGUAAAUAAUGCAAAACUAGUGCAUAAAUUGCACUCUAACAGACGUUGUGUUUUCUCAUCUAUUGUGUCCGGUGUCACGAAGUAAAGGGAUUUUUUUUUUUCUUUUGAAGUAGAUAUUUCGUUAUUGACAAUAUUUUGAUGAUAUUUUAGUCUGUAUGUGAAAUGCUGUAACUUUGCUUCGUCAGAUGUGGAUCUUGUGGUUCAUGCAGCAGGACCUUUUCAACAGGCACCGAAAUGCACUGUAUUGGAAGCUGCCAUAGAGACCAAGGUGAGGAAAGGUAAAUGUUGUGUUUGAAUAUCUCUUUUCCAAGUCCAGUUUUCUAUGUUUUGUAUAUGUGAUAAUUGAAGCAUGUAUACAACUUUACUAUGUACCCCAGAUGUAAUCUUAUGUGUUCUUUUUUGUGUCUCCUAACAGACAGUAUACAUUGAUGUUUUUGACGAUACCAUCUACUCCCAGCGUGCAAAAUCCUUCAAGGACAGAGCAAUAGCUGCAAACAUUCCAGCCAUAAUCUCUGGAGGAAUCUAUCCAGGAGUGAGCAAUGGUGCUUUUAUGAACAUGGACAUUCUUGUCCUGCUAUCCGCACUUCUAGCACUGUAAAUGAUACGAUUAAGUGAAGAAUACGGAUAGAGUACUAAUUCUUUAAUUGAAACAUGUGCAGACUACCAAUUCUUGCUUUAGAGCUAAAACUUAAUUGUUGGUAAACUCAUAGGCCUGGCUCCAAAGUUCUUAUAUAUGGGUGCACAUAUUGGUUUGACAGAUAGUUUUAGUGACUUUAUAUCAUUAACUUGAGUAUUGCAACUAAGAUAAAAGCUCAAAGUUUUCUUUGACAAAGUCUUUAAAAUCUUGAGCUACUUGCACGACAUAAUGAUUCUUUCAGAUCUCCAAGGGCAUAUCUUGCCUGAAUAGCCAUUUUGCUUCUGCUGAAAUAAGUAUCAAUAUUAAACACUUUAGAUGACACUUAAUUAGGUAGGGCUCCUAAACUUUGAGAUGGUUUCUAUUUUCAUGCUUACAUUCCAACUAAGCUGAAUUAUCUGAUGCCCGGUCCCUGCUCUUUGGAACUGUUUAUUUAAUUUUGGAUGUUGGGAUUUUCCGAAAUUGUACAAUUUCAGGACUCAAAAUCGCAUUUGAAGUUAUUUCAAAUUCCAGCACUUUGGGAAACUUCUAAGAUUUGUACUUUACUGCUUUUAUUUUCAUAACCAAUUCUUAUUUUCUUAACACAUUUUGGAGAACAUACAACUGAAAUCAUUUUUACCUAAUAACCUAGCAAAAAGCUACUACAUCUCUCAAUGUUGACCUCUGGGCUAAUCAAGCAUUUAACUUUCCUAAUACAAUUUAUCACAAAACGAUUAUCCCUUUUCAUAUUAUCCCUUCCCAUGAGUUUCACGGGUGUUGAAAAAGUAAAAAGUACUAGUUUGAAAUUUUACAAACUGCUGGAAAAUGGAAGGUCUAACAUCUUUCUUAACAAUCUGAAAUAGACUUCGUGCAUGCUGUAAAUUUAAAUGAAUCAUAAUUAAUUUAAGAUUAUUCCUCCUCAUCUUUCUUAACAAGUAGAUUACACAUAUUAUCAAGAAUUAAAUGGAAGGCCGAACAACUUUCUCACUCAAAAGUCUUAAUUCACUCAAAAGUCUCAACAUUUCUCACAACAACCUGACAGGUGGUAUUCCAUCGUCGCUAAGAAAUCUGACAGAGCUUGAAUCUCUAGACCUCUCUUCAAACAAGCUUGCUGGACGUAUCCCAACACAACUGGCUAGUCUCAAUUAUCUUUCGGUGUUGAAUCUUUCGAACAACCAGCUCGAGGGACCCAUACCAGGAGGACCCCAGUUUAAUACAUUUCGAAAUGAUUCCUAUUCUGGUAACUCGGGACUGUGUGGAUUCCCAUUAUCAAAAAGCUGCAGCAUUGAUGAGGCACCAGAACCACCAACACCAACAGGAUUUAUCGAAGGAGACGAUGCUUCAAGCUGGUUUGAUUGGAAGCUCGCUAAGUGGGUUAUGCAUCUGGAGUGCUGAUCGGCUUGUCCAUCGGAUACAUGGCAUUUGUGACUGGAAGGCCACAAUGGUUUGUAAGAAUGAUCGAAAGGAAGCAAUCCAGGAAGCUGAGAAGGGUGAUCAGACGAGGCGGAGCAGGUAGAAGAAGUUUGUAGGUGCAUCUCCAAAGGCCCAGUUGAGUAAUUAUUAGUUUGUCUUUUGGAAUUAUAAGCUGGUUUCUACUGUUCUUUGAGUAGAUAGCAUGCUGAUAUUAUCGUAAUCUAACAGUUGACUCACAAAAACCACCAUCCUAAUUUAUUUCAGAUUAUGUUUAUUAUCAACAUCUAUAGCGAGAAACAACAUGAGCAUAAUGUGUAAGAAAGAAAAUUUUAACUGAAUUAUUGAUGUGGUUGUUUUCUUCAGGAAUUAUAAACUCCUGGAAGCAAGCAAUGGAAGUCAAAUAAUCCUCCAUUAAGUGUGUGCAUUGCUCUUCCUGGGGAAAAUGUAUUAAAUGAUAUCCCACACAUCUGCCAAUGGGCUUGUACAGGGUUUACAUCCGAUGGUUGAAAUUGAGAUCUUUUAUUAAAAGUCAAACAAUUUCUUUUUUCCUCACAUUCUCUUCUUUCGUCUGGUUCGAAAAUUUUGUUUCCAGACACAGAAAACCAAAACAUUAAUUUAUUAAAAGUCAUAAAAUAAUUAAUUGAAUAAAGAGAGAGUUUUUGAAAGGCUUCUUGUCUUCCCUAAGAACUCCUCCACUAUUCUCUCCCAACCAGCCUAAAAUUCUACAAUACAUUCGUCCAAUGGUGAUUAACACCCACAAAUAGAGCUCAAGAUGGCUAGAGAAAGAAUAAUGUAGUAGUUAUUGCCUGCAAUGAUUUCAAAGACUCUUAAGAUUUCCUCUGCUUUUACUCAAUUUCCGAGCUUGACACUCCUUAACCUCUCUUUCAAUUCCCAAGUUGGAUCAACUAAUUAGUCAGUUGGCCCAACUAUUUCCGAGUUUUCAGAAAGGAAGACUUCAAUUGUCCCCAAGGGUCGAAAAGUAAAUAUCUAAAUGGUUAUUAAUUGGAUACAGCUUCAGCUUUUGGACUGGUUUGUGGAAAUUGAAAAAAUUUGAAAAGUGUUCCUCUUGAAGAAUCAAAGUCUACUUUAUACGUAAAGAAAGGGGAUCCCAGUAAAGAUAAUCCAUCAAUGUUCAGUUACAUUCGAGCGUGUUGACUACCUUCACGAUGAAAGACUUCUAUUGUCCCAAGGAGUUUAAUCGAGUGAUUUUUUAAGUAUUCCACUGACCAACAUGAGAUUCCAAAGCAAGACUUGGAAUAAGUAUCGAGGGGUCCACACGCAUUUCCGCGAGACCUCGCUGAGUUUUGCGAGGUCCAUACAUACUGAAUAGCUUACCUCAGAAUCUUCACCUGCUGACGCGAGAAUGUUUAGAACCUUUGAGGAUGCAAGGCCAGUUACACUCCCCUUAUGAACAAAUUCAGUGGCAGCCUUCCUCAAACAUUUGCAAAAAGUUGUGUCUUGACAAGUCUUAACCUCAAUGGCAAUUGGUUGGAAGGGCCGAUGCCUCCAUCUUUGGUUAACUAUUGGCAUUAUAAGCUGGUUUAUGUAUUGUUCAUGGAGUAGAUAACCAGCUGAUAUGUUUCAUAUUCUAACAGUUGAUAUACAAAAAUCCCAAUCCUGAUUAAAUUCAAAUUAUGUUUAUAAUCAGCAUCUAUAGUCUAUAGAGAGAGAGAAAAUGAGGGCCACAUUUUAAAAAUAAUUUUGACGUAGGAAAUUAUUUGGGGUGAAAUUCAUUUGGUGCCAUUUAGGCCACUUUUUUUCAAUUGGGCGUAUGUUAUAUACUUUUUCAAAGCUGGUAACAAGAUGAACAAUGUUGCCCAUUUGCCUUUGACUCUGAUGUCCGGGGGCUUUUACGAAAUUGUACAAUUUCAGGACUCAAAAUCGCAUUUGAAGUUAUUUCAAAUUCCAGCACUUCGGGAAAUUUCUAAGAUUUGUACUUUACUACUUUUAUUUUCAUAACCAAUUCUUAUUUUCUUAACACAUUUUGGAGAACAUACAACUGAAAUCAUUUUUACCUAAUAACCUAGCAAAAAGCUACUACAUCUCACAAUGUUGACCUCUGGGCUAAUCAAGCAUUUGACUUUCCUAAUACAAUUUAUCACAAAACGAUUAUCCCUUUUCAUAUUUUAAGUUCAGUAAUAAGAAUGAGGGGGCACCUUCCAAAUGUAUGCACCUUUUUUAGUUUUAUCCCACAAAACUUUAUCACAAAACAAUGGCCUUUUCAUAUUUUCAGUUAUUGCUCAAUCCCUUCACAAAAAAUUAUGCACAUUUACAAGGGAUAGAAGAUUUUGGUUUGGCUUUGAUUUUGAUAUGACUAUAAAUACUAUUGAAAUUACAAACUUUAGAGGCUCACGAAAUAAAUAUUGUAAAUUUAAGGGGGCUAAAUCAUAAGCUUUACAAAUAAGUGGAUUCAAUUUUAGUUUGUACCUUUAUCAGCGAAUCCAAUUUUCCAAUUUUCAAACCAAAAUGUAGUUUUAAUUUUUUGAUUAAAUUUCUUUUGAAAAUGCUCAACUAAAUACUUUUUAUGGUUAGAUGUUAGUUUGAAUGAACACGUUCAUAGAUGAUUGUGUAAGCAAUUUAUUUGGUUAAUUAACGGUUGUACUCUUUAAAAAUGCGAAUUACUAAUUUUAAAAAAUUUCAGUGGUUAGUGUAUUAAAAGUGUGUUUGGAGCAUAGCAAUGCAUGUUAUUGUAAUACUAUUCACAUUAAUUUAUUACUAAACCAUGAUUGGUAAUUUAGAAGCUACAUUGUGGUGCAUAUGCACCAUAAUGCGCCAACUUUUGCCUCAAUUGAGGCAUUAAAUAUAUUUUAAUUAUAAUAAAUUAAAUAUAAAAUAAGUUAUAUUAUAAUAUUUUUAUUCAAUAGCACAAUAUCACAUUAUAUUUAUACAUUAGUAAUUAAUAUAAAAUAAUAAUUUAAUAAUUAAUUUUAUAUAAUUAACAAUAAAAUAAUAAUAAAUUUAAAUAAUAUUAAUACAAAAUUAAUAAAGUACAAUCCAACACAAAAUAUUAUACGAUAUUAUUAUAAUGCAAUGCUUAUUCAAUACUGCAUAAAGUGAUGACAUAAUACGGUGUAAGUAAAGAGUAAUGGAUUUUAGUUGGCAAUAACGUAUGCCCAUUACUAUAAAGCAAUGGCCCAACACUUGGCAUGUCAAAAACAAAAACUGUCCACGUCCUCGGACACACACUGGCGCCACGUCAUCACUCACUGUAAACUGAAAAGAAAAUUUUUUAUAAGAAAACAGUUGAAUAAUCGAAUUUCGAGUCUUUGGCGGACGUUAUUCUUUUAUGCUAAAUAUAUCUUUGAGUUAAACAGUUAUUAAAACAUUGGGGCUAGUUUUUCAUUUAACUACAAAAUUACUUUUUUUGAAACCCAUAAAACCAUUUUUAAGUGGUAAAUUAGUUCUAUCACGUCUUCAACUAUUACCAAAUUCUUAUUCGAGUUCACCAUUUUAGUAGUAAAUGCAUUAUCUAAAUAAUUUCAAAUGAUGUAUUAAAUAAAUAUUUUGAGGAACAAGGCUCAUCAUGUCUCCUCUCAUUAGUUGUAUUUUUAAUUUCUUUUUAAAAAAUUCUCACAUAAUCAAUUAAAAAAAAUUAAGCCACAAAAAAAAACAAAGUAUUUAGCUUCGCAGCUGAAUGGGGCUAAAUUGUGUAUUAUUUGGCUGGUGAAACUCUUACCACAUCGGCUAAUAUGCUACUUUUGGAUCCCUUAUUUUAACUUUUAUCAUGACAUGGCAGUGGUGGUAACAGAGCUUGCUCAUAUUGGUAGAAGUGAAAUGAUUGCAAGUAAUCUCCCACUAUGACUGGCAUUUUUAUCUUAUUUAAGUUUCGGUGAAGCCCAUCCACAUAAAAUAAUUGGCAGGAAGUGUUAAGGAGAAAAGAUAGUCCUAAUUCAAUGCAUGGGGAUGCUGCUAUCACUUUUUAUUACUAAAUAUUUUUAAAUUGGAAUAAUGUAUUAACGGAAUAAAAAUUUUCAUAAUCUAACAAUUGAUUUACAACAACCCGAGUCCUCAUUAAAUUCAAAUAAUAAUUAUAAUCAACAUCUAUAGGAAAAUGGAAAACGAGAAUCAUAUGUAAAAAGAAAUCAUUUCGUAUGCCCAUUACCGUAUUAUAUUUGUACAUUAGAAAUUAAUAUAAAAUAAUAAUUUAAUAAUUAAUUUAAUAUAAUUAAUAAUAAAGCAGUAAUAAAUUUAAAAAAUAUUAAUACAAAAUUAAUAAAGUAUAAUCUAACAUUAAAUACUAUACAAUAUUAUUACAAUAAAAUACUAAUUCAAUACCACAUAAAGUAAUAUACGUGCAUUAUUUGGAACUGGCAUAAAGUAAAAUUAAUAAAGUAUAAUCUAACAUUAAAUACUAUACAAUAUUAUUACAAUAAAAUACUAAUUCAAUACCACAUAAAGUAAUAUACUUGCAUUAUUUGGAACUGGCAUAAAGUAAAAUUAAUAAAGUAUAAUCUAACACUGUUACAGAUAUUAAUACUAUAUCAACACACAUGGAAAAACUGGAAUAGAUUUUUAUUUGGAACUGGCAAUCUAACUUCCCACUUUUUUGACAAACUUAUGUAGACAAACUAAUAAAAGAGGUAUCAGGAGGAUGGGUGUUUAAUCUUCGAAGUCCUGCCCCAACAACCUUCAACAGUUUAUGCCUGUCCUAGUUGAAGCUAAAUACAAUAGUAAAGAAUCAAUAAGAGAGAUGAAAAUAUUUAUAAUAGUGAAGGAAAGCCUAAACCAAGAAUUGAAGUAAAAUAAUAAUAAUUUAAGUGAUAAAGUCGGUGCUCGUACUCCUGUUAAUUCUAGAUAAAUCUGAUUAGUUUGACGACUUUUACCAGUUCAAAUGCUCUUCUGAUUGCUAAAUAGAAAGUUGGACGCAUUCUUGAAUUGAAUUUAUAUCAUCGUCUGACCUCUUCAAAACCUACUAUGAAAGUGAUACAAAUCAUUAAAAAAUAAAGGCAUGACCUGGACGCUGAUCAUUCUUCAUUCAUAUUCAAAGAUUCAAUCGGCCCUGAUAUUACAUGAAUAUUAAAAUCGACUGACAUGGUAUGGUAAUGGAAUGAGCGUAUGCAUAUGCAUGCUUAUUGCUGAAUAGAAAGGUGUGAGAUUAAAACCACAUGUCGAUGCAAUCAACAUGGAAUACAUGGAAUUUGAAGACAACAGUUUAUGCAUAUGCAUGCUUAUUGCUGAUAUUACAUGUUUAGCUGCCGAACAACUUUUUUAACAAACUGAAACAGAAUUAAAGCCGAGGAUGGAAAAUCAAUUGUGUUUUGUGCAUAAUGUAUAUGACUGACUGACUAACUACGAGUUUAGCUGCCUGCCACAUUAGCAUAAUAUAACACAUAACUAAUAUCAUUCCGCGUCGAGCAUGUCGUCAAGAUCCCCCUCUUGAAAGGAUUCCACUUACCACCUAAAUUCCAAAGCUAGAAGACUUGGUGCUGUAAGUCAAUAAAUAUUCUAUUAUUAAUUAAUUACACACCAUAUUCAACUUCUAUAAAUAGUCAUUAUAUCUCUCUCUCUUCUUGUGAUUUCAUCAUCCAGAAAAGAAAAAGAAAAAGAAAAUGGGUUAUAUCACUCAGCCUUAUCAACUUUUUAUUUGCCUCCAGUUAUUGCUCUUCUAUUCUCAGUAUUCAGCAAUACUUUGCUCUCACGACCAAAGUUCUGCUUUACUCCAAUUUAAGCAGCUCUUUUCCUUUCAAAAACAUUCUUCGCACCGUUGUGAAAUAUCUCGUCCAAAGAUGAUGUCUUGGAAAGAGGGCGCUAAUUGCUGCUCCUGGGAUGGAGUAACAUGUGAUUCGGUGACGGGUCACGUGAUUGGCCUCGACCUCAGUUGCAGUUGGCUUCACGGCAACAUCCCUUCCAACACUAGCCUUUUCUUUCUUUCUCGCCUGCAAAAGCUCAACCUGGCUUACAAUGAUUUCAAUUACUCUAAGAUUUCCUCUGGUUUUAGUCAAUUUCCGAGCUUGACACUCCUUAACCUCUCUUCCAGCAAUUUCAUGGGGUCAAUUCCUGCCUCACUAGGUAACAAUAUUACACAACUUGCUUAUUUGGAUCUUUCGUAUAAUAAUUUUAGUGGUCACAUUCCAGCAUCUUUUUCAAAUCUCCAGCAACUUCAUCACUUAGAUCUUUGAAAUUCCUGCAUCACUAGGUAACAAUAUUACACAACUUGCUUAUUUGGAUCUCUCAUUUAACAGUUUUACUGGUCAGAUUCCAUCAUCUUUUUCAAAAAUUCAGCAGCUUCAUCAUUUAGGUCUUUCGUACAAUCACUUUGUUGGUGAAAUUCCUGCUUCACUUGGUAACAAUAUUACACAACUUGCUUAUUUGGAUCUCUCAUCUAACAGUUUUAGUGGUCAGAUUCCAUCAUCUUUUUCAAAUCUUCAGCAGCUUCGUCAUUUAGAUCUUUGGGGCAAUAACUUUGUUGGUAAAAUUCCGGAUAUGUUUACCAACCUAACCCAACUUUCUAUUUUAGGCUUGGCAGAUAAUCAACUGAUUGGCUCGAUUCCAAGUUCAAUCUUUGAACUUGUUAAUUUGACAUUAUUCUCUCUUUCUUCUAACAAUUUCAGUGGCAGCGUUGAGCUUUACGAUUUUGCAAAGCUCAAAAAUCUUAAAUAUCUUAGUCUUUCUAAUAUUAGUUUAUCAGUUAGCACCAAAUUAACAGUCGACUCGUCUUUCCCUAAUCUUUCGUAUUUAGCUUUAUCGGCUUGCAAUAUAACUGAGUUUCCAGUCAUCUUGAAAACUGAACAUCAGUUAGUGUGGUUGGACCUUUCUAAAAACCAAAUCCAUGGUAGGAUUCCCAGUUGGAUGUGGGAUAUAGGAGUACAUACUUUGCGAUUUCUAAUUCUUUCACAAAACUUCCUGACAAGCAUAGACCAUCUUCCGUGGAAAAAUCUCGUAUAUCUUACCCUUGAUUCGAACCUACUUCAAGGAUCACUUCCAGAUCUACCACCUCACAUGGUACAGCUUUCAAUUUCCAACAAUAAUUUGACCGGAGAGAUUCCUUCAUCAUUUUGUAAUUUGAAUUCCAUUAAAUCUUUUGACGUAUCCAACAAUAGCUUGAGUGGACAAAUCCCAGAGUGUCUUGGAAACUCUACACUUCAAACUUUGGAUCUCAGAAUGAACAACUUCCAAGGUACCAUCCCACAGACAUAUGCAAAGGGCUGCAACUUGACUUCGCUUCAGCUGAGUGGCAAUCACUUGGAGGGACACAUACCACCAUCUUUGAUUAACUGUGUCAAUUUGAAAUUUCUUGAUGUUGGGAAUAACAACUUGAGCGCCCCAAUUCCAGAAUGUCUUGGAAACUCAACACAUUUGUCAUUUUUUGAUGUUGGGAAUAACAGCUUAAGCGGGCCAAUUCCGGAAUGUCUUGGAAACUCAACACUUGAAAUCUUAGAUAUGAGAAUGAACAAGUUUAGUGGCAGCCUCCCUCAAACAUUUGCAAAAAGUUGUGUUUUGGUAAGUCUUAACCUUAAUGGCAAUCGGUUGGAAGGACCAUUGCCUCCAUCUUUGGUUAAUUGUCGACAUUUGGAAGUUAUAGAUGUUGGGAACAAUCAGAUUAAUGAGACCUUUCCCCACUGGUUAGACGUUCUUCCCGAAUUGCAAGUACUUACAUUGCGUUCUAAUAGAUUUCGUGGUCCCAUUGGUGAUAUCAAAACAAGAGUUCCUUUCCCCAAGUUGCGAAUAAUUGAUCUCUCUUACAAUCGAUUCACCGGUCUUUUGCCAAUAUGGUAUCUGAAUGGUUUUAAAGCCAUGAUGCACGGGAAUGACAAUAAUAUUGAAUUCAAUUAUAUGAGGUCGUUGAAUUUUUCUUACUAUGAAUCAAUAUCUCUGACUAUGAAAGGCAAUGACAUACAAAUGGAGAGGAUUUUAACCACUUUUGCAACUAUUGAUUUGUCGAGCAACAGAUUUCAAGGGGAAAUAUCAGAAGUGUUGGGAAAGCUUAAUUCACUCAAAAGUCUCAACAUUUCUCACAACAACCUGACAGGUGGUAUUCCAUCGUCGCUAAAAAAUCUGACAGAGCUUGAAUCUCUAGACCUCUCUUCAAACAAGCUUGCUGGACGUAUCCCAACACAACUGGCGAGUCUCAAUUAUCUUUCGGUGUUGAAUCUUUCAAACAACCAGCUCGAGGGACCCAUACCAGGAGGACCCCAGUUUAAUACAUUUGGAAAUGAUUCCUAUUCUGGUAACUCGGGGUUGUGUGGAUUCCCAUUAUCAAAAAGCUGCAGCAUUGAUGAGGCACCAGAGCCAACAACACCAACAGGAUUUAUCGAAGGAGAUGAUGCUUCAAGCUGGUUUGAUUGGAAGCUCGCUAAGUUGGGCUAUGCAUCUGGAGUGGUGAUCGGCUUGUCCAUCGGAUACAUGGCAUUUGUGACUGAAAGGCCACAAUGGUUAAUAAGAAUGAUCGAAAGGAAGCAAUCCAGGAAGUUGAGAAGGGUGAUCAGACGAGGCAGAGCAAGUAGAAGAAGUUUGUAGAUGCAUCUCUAAAGGCCCAGGUGAGUAAUUAUUAGUUUUGCCUUUUGGAAUUAUAAGCUGGUUUCUACUGUUCUUUAAGUAGAUAGCAUGCCGAUAAUGUCGUAAUCUAACAGUUGACUUGCAAAAAGCACAAUUCUAAUUAAUUUCAAAUUAUGCUUAUUAUCAACAUCUAUAGUGAGAAACAAAAUGAGGAUAAUGUAUAAGAAAGAAAUUUUAACUGAAUUAUUGAUGCGAUUGUUUUCUUCAGGAAACAAUUUAAUCGUGACAUAGCUGCACUUGAGAACGAAACAGUUGAUGAUGAGUAAUAAUGUUUGGAAUGACGCCGCAGGAAAUAAAGUAGGAAGAGCUUUCAAGUUAUGUACUUUCUUUUCUAUUAUUUUUUAUGUUAUUUAGUUGCUUUAUUAAAUAUUUCUUUUAAAUUCAAGGUCACACAAAUUAAGAAUGAAAUAAAAAACAGUGGGAAAAAAAUUAAUGUCCAAUUCCGUUGCGAAAUUAAAUUUUUGUUGAUUGAUAAAUUCUCUUCUGUUCCAGUCAACUCAUGGCAGAUUCAAUUGAUCAAGCUUACAAAUUCAGCAUAUAUAAUCCAUAAUUAUGUAGAUUACACAUUUUAAUUUGUAGUAAAGUAAUUAAUCAAAUUUAUUCUUAAUCAGGUAUUUAUUUUUCCUAAUCAAAUUUAUCAGAAAACAAUGACCUCGGGAUUUGGUUAUACAAUAAAUGUAACUUAUGUAAUAUGAUCAUGGCGUUAGGGUUUGGUUAUUGUAACUUAUCCGAUGUGGUCUAAUUGAAUUUUGUAGAAGGUUUUGAGAGAAAAUUAAGAGAAAAUAUGAUACUAACUUUUAAGUAUCUACUUGGAAUAUAUUAAAAAAUUUCAAAUUUUGAUAUCGAUUAUAAAUCAACAUUCAAUUUUCUACAAAUGCCGUAUGUGUCAUUUCUUUUUUAUGAUCAUAUAUUUUCGAUAUUACAUAAAUAAAAUUGGUACACUAAAUUACAAAUAUAUAUGAUCAUGAUCUGACCCAAUAUGGGAAUUUGCUUCUUCUUCUUCUUCUUCAUAUUUAUCACCAAUGUUCUACAAACAUGUGAUUUUAUUUGAAGAUGAUUUGAACGCUAUACAGUAUAAUAGCUGUUUAAAUGUGUGUGUACAUAUAUGAUUCAGCAGAGUACUCCUAGUCUUAUCCAUAAUUAAUUGAAAAACAUUCUAAUUAGAUGAGAUUACAAAUAUGAUCAAUGUUUAAUAAUAUCCAUCAUAAAAAAAUGAAGUCCUAAUUAAUGACUUUCAUUUUUUGAUCCUUCCUAUGAGUUCACAUAUAGCCGUGGAAAAGAAGCUUAAGUAUAUAGUCUGCAAUUUUACAAAACUGGCGACAAAUUAAUGCACCAACUAGACUCCAAAACAAGAUGACGAGUUAUAUUUAGUAACAAGGCUUGAUACUGUAAGUCUAAAAGUAUAAUAUUUAUUAUUACUAUUUUUUGUUAAAAGUGUUGUAUUUAAUUAGAUUCCCCUGUUUUGGUGUGAGUUAAAGAGAUGGCUACGAUAAGUUUUUUACUCUUGUAAGGGGGACUUGAAUAAAGUGCUCAUCAUUAUUGGCUUUGAGAAAGAAAGACUUGUCCUAUAUAUCCCUCUUAAUUUGAACAAACUUUCUUCAGCAACUUCCAACCUUUUUUUAUCCUUGCCAUGGGUUUCAUAGACGUGAAAAAGGAGUUAAAGCAGUUUGGAAUUUUAUUAAAUUGGCCACAAAUUCAUGCAACUUUCAACCUUUUUUAUGUUUUCCAUUGGUUUCAUAGCGUGGAAAAGAAGUUGAAACAGUUUGAAAUUUUUUUAAGUUGGCCUCAAACUCAUGACCUACUAGAUUCCAAACAAUAUCAUGAGGCUCUCAAUAACAAGACCUGGAGCGAGCUCUAAGUCUAAAUGAACUAUAAUUAAUUAAGACUAUUCCGUCUUAAUUUCAAAAGGUAGUAUUGAUCAAGCUUUUGAAAUUAAUAUUAAACAUAUUAAUUUGUAGUCUGACUAAUUAAGAAGUAAAUGGAAGGAUGUUAGAGUGCAAUUUAUGCACUAGUUUUGCAUUGUUUACUUCCCUUAAUAUCGAUGUUUUGCACUUAAUAAUAAUAUCUAGGGUUUCUCAACCAGAAAAAUAAGUUUAGUUCUUCAUAGAGAGAAGAGAAAAAUUAGAUCUAGGGUUUCUUUAUUUUUCUCCCAAAAGUCCUUUUUUCACAAUAGAUUCCUCCCUUAAAUACUCUCUCUCUCUUCUCUUUUAGAAUUCUAUUUAAAAUAAAAUACUAAUAUCUGAAAUAUUAAAUUCGUAAUUACAAAAAUAACCAAAAAUAUAAAACACGUUAAACUAAAAACUGCAGGUCCGCAGUUGACAGCACGCGCCCACGCCUUAUCAACAAAGUUCUUCUGACUCUCUAAAUUUCUCCAAGAGAACAAUCAUCUUUAAACAUCAUCUUAUAGCUCAAUUUUAUCACAAAUAAAUAGAAUUGCACCUACAAAAGUAAAACACAAGUAAAUCAUUAUUAUUAAGUGCAAAACAUUGAUAUUAAGGGAAGUAAACAAUGCAAAACUAGUGCAUAAAUUGCACUCCAACAAAUUCCCCCACACCAAGAUGAUGCUUGUCUUCAAGCAUAUAACUCAAGACUAAUCCCAAAUCUCCACUCAAUUUUCAUCUCAACUCAUCCAAAAACAAUUUUAAGCAAGCAUACCUCAAGAAAUUAAGUUGAUCAACAUUCGAGAGACAAGGAUUUUAAAGCAUAGAAUCUCAUAAGAUAGAAUAAGAACAUUCAACCACCAAGAAGAUCCAUUCAAAAUUCAAGUGCAACAAGAUUUAAUAGCCCUCUCAUUGACCUCACUCCAUGCACUCAAAGUGUUUAGGGUAUCAUUUAUGCACUCAAAUCAAAUCAAAGAAUGCUAUUACCAUAAGCUUGCUGAUAUAUCACAUCUCAAUCCACAAAACAUGAAUAAAAUGCAAAAAUCUAAGGGUCUUAAAAGGGUUGUAAUGGGGUUAAAUAGGUUAAAUGAAAAAGAAAGGUCUAUGAAAGAAAAAGAGAUCAAAAUGAGAAGAAUGAACUCAUUGAAUGAACUUAUGAUAUCAAAAUGCUUAUUUCUACUCAAGUCACCAAGAAUGCAAACUUUUUUUUUUCGAUUUUUUUUUCUUUUUGUUUUUUUUUGUUUUUUUUUCUUUUUUAAUCAAACAAAAGAAACGAACCUUGCACAAUUUAAUUCAAGCAUAAUGCUUGUUGAUCUAAUUGAGAAACUUUAAUACAAGGUAGAAAAAGAAAAAAAAUAUAUCCACACAAUGAGUCCAAAAAUCUCCUUAAAUUGAGGCUCAAAAAGAAGAAAAAUGGUUAAGUAGACGGAGAGAAUUAGAUGGGUAAUGGUUAAGGCUCAAACAAAGGUAGCAAAUAAAGGUCUUCGGGUAGAGAAAAAAAAUGCGAGAAUAGAAAAAUGGUAAAUGGUUUGCCCUUAUCAUUUUAAUGCAUAAAAUCCCGUAAUGUGGCUUCAACAUGCAUAAUAAAGAAAGUUCUAGAAUAAACAAACUAGGAUUGAUAUUCACAUAACAAAAAUAAUUAGAGCAAAGUGGUUGCUCAUAGGCUCAAAUCCUCACAAUUUUGGUAAAUUUGCCAUCAAAUCAUGUACACUCUUCAAAUGAAUCAACCAUCAAUAGUGGUGUAGAAUGAGAAGAAGGUAUGAGUGAGAUAUAAAAGGAAAGGUAAAAAAAGAUAAUAAGCGAGAAAGAUGUAUGUAGUAAAAAAAUUGAAAGAUAAAAUGUGAAAGAUAAAAUGUGAGUGAUGAAAGAAUAUGAUAGAAAAACAAUAGAUGUAAAUAAUUUGAGAUAGAUGGGAAAUGAGUAGUGAGAGAGAAAGGAAAAGAAAAUUAAUAAUAUAUUAAGCAUACUAACUCAAAAAUCAUUUAAGGAUGAGUAGAGUGAAAAUAGAUGAGUAGAGUGAAAAUAAUAAUUCCAGGCAUCAAUAAUGCAAAAAUCCCUCCCCCACACCAAGAACUUACAUUGUCCCCAAUGUAAGAUAAUCAAAGCUCACAUAAAAAUUAAAGCGUAAGGAUAAAAGAUUAAAGGCAAAAAGAAACUUCCCUGAAUUGUGAGCUUUGAUCCACAUAACGUCUAUGGGUUUGGCGGAAAUUGUGGGGAAAAUCCCACACUCUCGAAGUAUGCGGCAAAAUUCUGCUCCAUCUUGUUCAGCUUGUGCUCCAUUUUCUCUAACUGAAUGCUCAAAGGUGGUGCGAAUGUAGAAGGAAUAGUUGGCGGGCCAGCAGUGUCGUCGUCAAACUCGUCAUCAGAGGUAGCACCACUCCUAGCAUAAAGCUUCUUCGAAGGUUGAGUGGGUCCUGGUUCAGUAAACUGAAAUCUCCCCUCCUUGAAUUCGACCACACCUCUCUUUCUCUUGUUGAGUCGCGAAUGCGAGGCACCCUCCAAGAUUGGAUUCCGCAAGUGGCAAAACACUCAUGCCUUUUCCAUGUUUUGAUCUUUAUCUCAUGGCUUGGCGUGAAUAUGAAAUUGUGUUCCAUGGAACCGUAGUGGGAGCGGCAAUCUUAGAUUUCUUUGCGACGGGUGUCUUUUUAGAUGACUUGGAAGUAGAUGCUUUCCUCUUCGGCAUUGUUACAAUGAUUACACUCACGGAUUUUGAUUUACCCGGCUGGAAUACAAGGAGUAGGCUGGUUGCGUUGCGUUGCUGCUCGGUUGGAGCUUGCUGCGCAGGUUGGGGCUGGUUGCGCGCUGCUGCUGGUUGCGUUGCGCGAUGCUGCGUGUUGAGUGUUAGAAAAUGUAUAUUUAUAAAGGAGAAAAUCGUCAUUUUACACUACAAGUUUUACUAACACCUUUACUUUUAUGAAUUUAACCUUCUUUUGAUUUAAUUCCGUGUGUUUUAUUUUAAUUAAGUAUUUUAUGUAUUUUAGGGGCAUCAUAGUCAUUUCACAAUAAACGAGAGAUCAGAUGGCAAAACGGACAUCACUUUUGAACUCAGGACGGUCGAAAACCUUAGGAGGAGCAUAAAAGGAAAAAUGGCACUGUUCACAUGUACGGUACUAUUCACGUGUACGGUACUGUAUACGUUACUGUUCACGACAAUGUUCACAUAGACGGACGAUGACGUGGCAUUGACCGAUGAUGUGGCAUUGACUGAUGAGGUGUCACGAUCCUGUUGGACUAAAAUUCUUAUGUACUGUUGAUGGUGACGUGGCAGCAUAUCAGUGGACGAAAAAUCUCGCGUACGGUACAUGCAUCACACAGGAUUAUUUUCAACCAAACCGCGUCACUGUUCACACGGGUCAAACCGUGUUACUGUUCAUCCACGUGGUCAAACCGCGUACUGUUGACUGAUGACGUGGCGCAAUCCUGAGCGUCCAAACUGUUUUUAAUCCGAUGGCCAUGAUUUACUCCAUGUAUCUAUAAUUUGAUAUCUCUGAAUCCAUUUUUGGACUCUAUUUUCUGUAAUUCCUUCUCCAUCUUGUAUUUUCUACGUAUUUUAACAAAUUCCCAUUUUACCCCUAGUUCAAUUAUGAGUGGCUAAUUUUCUUUCAAGCUUGGGUUGAAGGUGAAGUCUCAACAUGUGUCAUGGGCUUUAUUUGGUAAAUUUAUUUUCUCUUCCCAUCUAAUUUUUGUGGAUGUUUUGACUUCUCGUCGACAAAUAAUACUAAUCUUGUCUAGUACCGCCUUGGUUUCACCGGCCCCCUAGUACAAGGUUAUUAUUAUUUGGCACGAUAAGCCCUUAGCACCAUAUUGAUUAGAGCGUGGUUCAUGAGGUGUGGAUUCCCCCCUCAUAAUUUAAUUGGCAUUAAUAAGGAUUAUUUAGCCCAUGAUGCAUGUUGAUACGGAUCCAAAUACCCAAGUACGUCAUUUCAAUAGAAUUCUCUUCAAUUUAUUCUCGCCAUUUUAAUUCCAAUUUUAGAAUUUAUUCUCACCAUUUUAAUUUAAGUUUUAGCAUAUUCCAAAUCAUUUCCACCACAAAUCCAACCACCCAUUUACAAAAUUAAUUCUAUACACAAUUAAAAUCCACCUCCUCGUGGGAUCGACACUCGUCACCAUUAGUCUAUACUACAAUAGAUUCGUGCGCUUGCGAGUUCAAUAAAAUUUGCACAACACUGCGCUGCAGGGCUACGUUGCGCGCUGAUGGGUUGCGUUGCAGGUCUGUUGCGCAGGUUGGGUUGCGUUGCGGGUCUGUUGCGGCUGCUCGUCUGUUGCUGCUCUGCUACGUUGCGCGCGCGGGACUAAUGCGCUGCGCGAUGGUGAUGGCUGGAUUGAUUUGCUCUGCGCGCGCGGUCUGGAGCUGAGGAUCUGCGUUGCGGGGGCUGGAUCUGCCCACUGCUGUGUUGCGCGCGAGAGCUGCUGCUGCGUGGCUGUGGCUGCGGCUGCUGCGUGGGCUGCGGGAAAGAAUUAGGGAUUUUGUGAAUUAGGGAUUUUUUUUUUUUUCAACAGUGAUUUUUGAAAUUUUUUUUAAAUAAAUAAAUAAAUAUAUAAAAGAAAGAACAAAAGCAAAUCUUUUUUUUCGUUUUUUUUUAAUAAAUAAAUAGAUAAAAAUAAUAAUUUUUUUUUUUUUUUUAGUGAUGAAUCACUUUGAGACACUAAAAAUUUGAGAAGUACUUUUUUAAUAAGCACGUGGGCAUGCCUUAAAAUCAUUUUAAUUUAAAAAUCACAUAAGUACUUAUUAGUUAAGAUGUGGGCACGCCUUAUCGAGAAUUUUCUUCUGAUCAAAAUAAGCAAACACAUUAUUUUUAAAAAAAAUCUGAAUCAAAAUUAAAAGAAGAUAUAACAAAAACCAAAAUAAAUAAAUCAUUUGGGUUGCCUCCCAAAAAGCGCCUUUGUUUUAUGUCUUUGACUAGACACAUUUAUGCAUCAAUCUCCAUAAUUAGGACUCUCGAGAGCCACAUCCUCCACAAUAUUCACCGAAAAACCUUCAUAAAAAUGUUUUAAGCGAUGACCAUUAACCUUAAAAACUUUGUCAGAGGUCAGACUCCAAAUCUCAACUGCACCAUGAGGAAAAACAUUAGUAACAAUAAAAGGUCCAACACAGCAAGAACGUAAUUUACCCGGAAAAAGUUUAAGCUUAGAAUGAAAAAGAAGAACUUUUUAACCAAUAGAGAACUCUUUUCUCAAAAUCAUUCUAUCAUGAAAUGUCUUCGUCUUUUCCUUGUAAAAAACUUCCUGCGCUAUAGGGUUAAUAACAUCCACAGAAAAUACCGAAUGUUCCUCACUAGGAUAUUUCAUGGCAUCAUUCAUAUUGAAUUCUAUAACCUCUCCAUCAAACUCCAUAGUGAGAGUCCCUUUAUGUACAUCCAUUUUAGUCCUAGCAGUCUUAAGAAAAGGUCUUCCUAGCAAAAUUAGGAUAGAAUUAGAGGAGUUAUCAUCUUCCAUAUCAAGUACAUAAAAAUCAGCAGGAAAAACCAACUCAUUAACUUGUACUAAGACAUCUUCUAAUACCCCAUCAGGAUAUGCAUUAGACCUAUCAGCUAGUUGAAUUAUCACGCCAGUUUCUUUUAAUGGACCAACAUUCAAAGAUGAAUAAAUGGAACGAGGCAUGACAUUAAUAGAAGCUCCUAGAUCUAACAUAGCCUUUUCAACUCUAACACUACCAAUUUUACAAGGGAUAGUAAACAUACCUGGAUCCUUGCACUUAGGAGGUAGUUUCUUUUGGAGAACUGCUGAAACAUUCUCCCCCAUGUGAACUUUUUCAUCUCCUCUUAAUUUUUUCUUAGAGGUGCACAGUUCCUUAAGGACUUUAGCAUAUCGAGGUAUUUGUUUUAUAGCAUCUAAUAAAGGAAUAUUUACCUCAACCUUGCAAAAUGUCUCAAGGAUGUCUUUCUCUUGUUCCUCCUUCUUGGAUUUUGCAAACCGGCUUGGAAAAGGAGGAGGUAUCACAAUAAGUAGAGGUUUCGCUCUGGUGGGUUGUACAUCUUGAGAUUUAGGCAUCAAUUCAUUCUUCUCAAGCUCAUCUUCUACAUGCUUUGUCACUUUCUUACUAGGCUCUUGCAACUCCUUCCCACUUCUAAGGAUGACAGCACUAACGUUUUGCUUUGGAUUCACCUCAGAUUGUGAAGGCAAUCUCCCUAAUACUUGAGACUCCAGACGGCUCACUGUAGUCGCCAAUUGACUCAUUUGGUUCUCCAAAUUCUGAAUGCUUGCUGUAGUUGCCUGCUGAAAUUGUUGAGUGUUAGUCGCAAGUGAUUUAACAAUUUCUUCAAGAGAUAUACCUGACUUGGAGUUUGACUGUGGAGGUGCUGGUUGUCUUGAUGGAUACUGUUGUGGGAAUCCUGACGGUCUAACUCCAUAGCUGAAGUUGGGAUGAUCCUUCCAUCCCGGAUUGUAUGUUUGUGCAUAAGGAUCAUACCUCCUCUGAGGCAUGCCUGGAAAUCCUCCAACUGCAUUGGCUUGUUCAACGGGUUCUUCUUGAAGUGUAGGACACAUAUCAGUUGAAUGACCCAUAUUGUAACAAAUGCCACAAGUCUUCACCUGUUGCACAUUACCUACAACAAACUUUUUCACAAGAGAAGUAAGUUUAUCUAAACGUUGUUCAACAGAAGAAAUAUUUACCUCAUUCACCUUCCUUGAAGUGAGAUCUUGCCUGCUGCCAAAUUGGUGUGCGUUGGCAGCCAUAUUUGAUAUCAGCUCCCUUGUUUGAGUAAGGGUCUUGUUCACCAACACGCCUCCACUAGCAGCAUCUAUCAUACUCCUAUCCAUCAAUGACAGUCCUUCGUAAAAAUAUUGAAUAAGAAGUUGAUCAGAAAUCUGAUGCUGAGGACAGCUGGCACAUAAUUGUUUAAAUCGCUCCCAAUACUCAUACAAAGUCUCCCCAGGAAGUUGUCUGAUCCCACAAAUGUCUUUUCUGAUUUUAGCAGCUCUUGAAGCAGGAAAGUACUUCUCGAGGAAUUGCUUCUUCAAACCAUUCCACGUUGUAAUUGAUCCAGGAGGCAAGUAGUACAACCAGUCUUUAGCUAGUCCAUCUAAAGAGAAAGGAAAAACACGCAGCUUAAUCUGCUCUUCAGUCACGUCUUGUGGUCUCAUACUUGAACACACAACAUGAAACUCCUUAAGAUGUUUAUGAGGAUCUUCACCUGCAAAACCAUGAAACUUGGGUAAUAAAUGAAUAAGACCAGACUUUAAUUCAAAAUUUACCUCCAAGUCUACAUAUUGAAUGUAGAGUGGUUGUUGAUUCACGUCUGGUUCAGCUAACUCUCUAAGAGUUCUUUCUACAGGUGCAGGUCUAUCCAUCACUUGUUCUUCUGAAUCGCUAGAUGAUUCAACUAAAUCAGGCAUUGUAUCUGUUUCAGAAAGCAAAGGCGACGAGGAUCGUUGCUUAGCUCGCUUCGUCUGCUAUCUCAGCUGGCGAGCUGUCUUCUCAAUUUCAAGAUCAAACGAAAGUGUACUUGUACGAGAAGAACGAACCAUACACCAAGUAAAACGUAAAAAGGAUUAAAUAAAUGACACAAAUCCUCGGCAACGGCACCAAAAUUUGAUGGUUGGCUUCGACAACCAUCAAAGUCUAACAACUUGCUUAACAAACUGAAACAGAGUCAAAACAGGGGAGGAAAAAUGAAUUGUUUGUUUUUUUUUCCUUAAUGACUAACAAUGAUCUAGCUCGCUGUUACAUCAGCAUAUAUGACAAAUAACUUACAUCUCACUAAACUAUCUUUUUACAUGAAUAAAUUACUGCCAAAAUGGUUACUAAUUGGAUGCAGUUUCAGCUUUCGUCUGGUUUGUACAAAUUGAAAAAAAAUUUAAAAAAAAAAUGCUAAUCUUGAGGAAUCAAAGUUUGCUCUAUAAGUAAACAAAGGGGAUGAUCAAUAAAGAUAACCCAUGAAUGUUUAAUUACUUUCGAGUAUGCCGAUUGCUUCAUAAAGAGAAAGUGCUAUUGCCUUCAUAAAAACAAAUUCUUAAGUGUCUUGGAAACUUUACACUUGGGCAUUUGAAUCUAAGAAUGAAUAAUCUUCAUGGUAGAAUCCCACAAACGUAUGCAAAAAACUGUAAUUUGUCUGCUUAGGCUAAAAGACAAUCACUGGAGGGACCAUUGCAACCAUCUUUGGUUAAUUGGACCUGUUUAGUGUUUAUGGAUGUUGGGAAUAACAACUUGAGCAGCCCAAUUCGACAACUUCUUAGAAACUCAACACUUAUUAGGGGUCUUGGAUAUGAGAAUGAACGAAUUUGAGGCAGCAUCCCUCAAAUGUUUGCAAAGAGUUGUGACUUGAGAAGUCUUAACCUUAAUGGCAAUCAAUUAGAAGGACCAUUGUCUCCAUCUUUGAUUAACAGUCAAAUUUGAAAGUUUUUUAUAUUGGGAAUAAUCAUGUUAGUGAUACAUUUCCUCAUUGGUUAGAAAUUCUUCAUGAAUUGAAAGUGUUUAUAUUACGAUCUAACCGAUUUCGAAUCCAAUUGGUGAUAGCAAAAGAAGAGAAAAUGGAACUCUUGUUUUGGUACCCCGAAAUCGUUAGAUCGUAAUAUAAGCACUUGCAAUUUAUAAAGAAUUUUUAAUCAAAAAUAGAAGUAUCAUUAACAUAAUUAUUCCCAAAAUCAAAAACUUCCAAUUGCUGACAGUUAACCAAAGAUGAAGGCAAUGAUCCUUCUAACCAAUUACCAUUAAGGUUAAGACUCAUCAAAUCACAGCUCUUUGUAAACAUUUGAGGGAUGCUGACAUUGAAUUUGUUCAUUAUCGUAUUCAAGAUGUUAAUAAAUAUCGAGUUUCCAAGACAUUGUGGAAUUGAGCUGCUCAAGUUGUUAUUUCCAAAAUUAAUAAACAUCAAACCGAUACAAUUGACCAAAUAUGGUGGCAAUGGUCCCUCCAGGUGAUUGUUAUUUAGGUAAGCAUACAAAUUCUAGCCUUUUCCAUAUGUUUGUGGGAUUCUACCAUAAAGAUUGUUCAUUCUAACAUCUAAAUACCCCAGUGUAAAAUUUCGAAGACAAUGUGGAAUUUUUUCCAUUGAAGAUAUUAUUGGACAUAGAUAUGGCAAAUGGGUAGGGUUGUAUGUGUGAGUAUGUUUUAGUAGGGUAUGUGGCAUGGUGUGCACACAAACAAAUUGAAUUGGGCUGAGAAUUUUAAGCACAUGGUCCUUAAAAUCACGCCCUUCUCUACAUGCAACAAUGCCUGGGGAUGCUGCAAUCACUUUUUAUUACUAAAAUUUUUUAAAUUGGAAUAAUGUAUUAACGGAAUAAAAAUUUUCAUAAUCUAACAAUUGAUUUACAACAACCCGAGUCCUCAUUAAAUUCAAAUAAUAAUUAUAAUCAACAUCUAUAGGAAAAUGGAAAACGAGAAUCAUAUGUAAAAAGAAAUCAUUUCGUAUGCCCAUUACCGUAUUAUAUUUGUACAUUAGAAAUUAAUAUAAAAUAAUAAUUUAAUAAUUAAUUUAAUAUAAUGAAUAAUAAAGCAGUAAUAAAUUUAAACAAUAUUAAUACAAAAUUAAUAAAGUAUAAUCUAACAUUAAAUACUAUACAAUAUUAUUAUAAUAAAAUACUAAUUCAAUACCACAUAAAGUAAUAUUCUUGCAUUAUUUGGAACUGGCAUAAAGUUCAUAAUCAUAAUUAAUUAUGAUUCAUUUAAAUUUACAGCAUGCACGAAGUCUAUUUCAUAUUGUUAAGAAAAUGUUAGACCUUCCAUUUACUGCAUUCUUCAAAAGGUGCAUUUUCCAGCAGUUUGUAAAAUUUCAAAUACCCAAAUAAAAGAGGUAUCAGGAGGAUGGGUGUUUAUUCUUCGAAGUCCUGCCCCAACAACCUUCAACAGUUUAUGCCUGUCCUAGUUGAAGCUAAAUACAAUAGUAAAGAAUCAAUAAGAGACAUGGAAAUAUUAAUAAUAGUGAAGGAAAGCCUAAACCAAGAAUUGAAGCAAAAUAAUAAUAAUUUAAGUGAUCAAGUCGGUGAUCGUACUCCUGUUAAUUCUAGAUAAAUCUGAUUAGUUUGACGACUUUUACCAGUUCAAAUGCUCUUCUGAUUGCUAAAUAGAAAGUUGGACGCAUUCUUGAAUUGAAUUUAUAACAUCGUCUGACCUCUUCGAAACCUACUAUGAAAAUGAUACAAAUCAUUAAAAAAUAAAAGCAUGACCUGGAUGAUCAUCAUGCAGGUCAGUUAUACAAUUACGAUUACAAAUCAUUGAAUGAAGUAUGAACGAAGAAUGAUCAUCAUCCAGGUCAUGCUUUUAUUUUUUAAGAGGAACUUGACUAAAGCGCUCAUUAAUUAUUAAUGUGAUUUGAGAAAGAAAGACUUGUUCUGUGUAUACCUAUUAAUUUGGGCAAUUUUACAUCAGUAACUUUCAACUUUUUGAUCAUUCCACAUGUUUCAUAACUGUGGAAAAGAAAUUCAAGUAGUUUGGAAUUUUACAAAACAAUACCGUGAGGCUCAGUAUAACAAAAUUAACCCGAUUUGGUGCAUGCUCUAAGUCUAAAUGAAUUAUAAUUAAUUAAGACUAUUCCUUCUGAUGCCUAACAAUUAUAAAUGGAGUAACAUUAGUUCAAAAUUAUCUCAAACUAGAGAAAAAGAUAACAUUUUAAUAGAGCCUAACUGUGGAAUGCUCAAUGUUGAUUUGGGGUGAGGGUUUGAGAUCUACAUUGAGUAUUGAUCAAGUAAUGAAAUUACGUACACAUAUAUACUAAACAAUUAAGAGUAAAUGGAAGGUCUAGCAAGUAAUUGGAAUUUGACAAAACUGACGACAAAUGCACCAAUAAACUAGACUUCAGAACUAGAUUAUGAGGAAAAAAGUAGAAAAGUUAGAAAAAUUAGAGAUAAUAGGUAAUAAUCCAAUUAGAAAAGUUACUUUAACUUAUAAGGUGGACUUGACUAAAGUGUUCAUUAAUGACAUGACGUCGAGAAAGAAAGACCGAUGAACAAAUUCAGUGGCAGCCUUCCUCAAACAUUUGCAAAAAGUUGUAUCUUGACAAGUCUUAACCUCAAUGGUAAUUGGUUGGAAGGACCGAUGCCUCCAUCUUUGGUUAACUAUCGGCAUUAUAAGCUGGUUUAUGUAUUGUUCAUGGAGUAGAUAAUCAGCUGAUAUGUUUCAUACUCUAACAGUUGAUAUACAAAAAUCCCAAUCCUGAUUAAAUUCAAAUUAUGACUGACUAACUAACUACGAGUUUAGCUGCCUGCCACAUCAGCAUAUAUAACACAUAACUAAUAUCAUUCCGCAUCGAGCAUGUCGUCAAGAUCCCCCUCUUGAAAGGAUUCCAUUUACCUCCUAAAUUCCAAAGCAAGACUUGGUGCUGUAAGUCAAUAAAUAUUAUAUUAUUAAUUAAUUACACACCAUAUUCAACUUCUAUAAAUAGUCAUUAUAUCUCUCUCUCUUCUUGUGAUUUCAUCAUCCAGAAAAGAAAAAGAAAAAGAAAAUGGGUUAUAUCACUCAGCCUUAUCAACUUUUUAUUUGCCUCCAGUUAUUCCUCUUCUAUUCUCAGUGUUCAGCAAUACUUUGCUCUCACGACCAAAGUUCUGCUUUACUCCAAUUUAAGCAGCUUUACUGGUCAGAUUCCAUCAUCUUUUUCAAAUCUUCAGCAGCUUCAUCAUUUAGGUCUUUCGUACAAUCACUUUGUUGGUGAAAUUCCUGCUUCACUUGGUAACAAUAUUACACAACUUGCUUAUUUGGAUCUCUCAUCUAACAGUUUUAGUGGUCAGAUUCCAUCAUCUUUUUCAAAUCUUCAGCAGCUUCGUCAUUUAGAUCUUUGGGGCAAUAACUUUGUUGGUAAAAUUCCGGAUAUGUUUACCAACCUAACCCAACUUUCUAUUUUAGGCUUGGCAGAUAAUCAACUGAUUGGCUCGAUUCCAAGUUCAAUCUUUGAACUUGUUAAUUUGACAUUAUUCUCUCUUUCUUCUAACAAUUUCAGUGGCAGCGUUGAGCUUUACGAUUUUGCAAAGCUCAAAAAUCUUAAAUAUCUUAGUCUUUCUAAUAUUAGUUUAUCAGUUAGCACCAAAUUAACAGUCGACUCGUCUUUCCCUAAUCUUUCGUAUUUAGCUUUAUCGGCUUGCAAUAUAACUGAGUUUCCAGUCAUCUUGAAAACUGAACAUCAGUUAGUGUGGUUGGACCUUUCUAAAAACCAAAUCCAUGGUAGGAUUCCCAGUUGGAUGUGGGAUAUAGGAGUACAUACUUUGCGAUUUCUAAUUCUUUCACAAAACUUCCUGACAAGCAUAGACCAUCUUCCGUGGAAAAAUCUCGUAUAUCUUACCCUUGAUUCGAACCUACUUCAAGGAUCACUUCCAGAUCUACCACCUCACAUGGUACAGCUUUCAAUUUCCAACAAUAAUUUGACCGGAGAGAUUCCUUCAUCAUUUUGUAAUUUGAAUUCCAUUAAAUCUUUUGACGUAUCCAACAAUAGCUUGAGUGGACAAAUCCCAGAGUGUCUUGGAAACUCUACACUUCAAACUUUGGAUCUCAGAAUGAACAACUUCCAAGGUACCAUCCCACAGACAUAUGCAAAAGGCUGCAACUUGGCUUAUCUUGGGCUGAAUGGCAAUCACUUGGAGGGACCAUUACCACCAUCUUUGAUUAACUGUGUCGAUUUGCAAUUUCUUGAUGUUGGGAAUAACAGCUUGAGCGGCCCAAUUCCAGAACAUCUUAGAAGCUCAACACUUAAAGUCUUGGAUAUGAGAAUGAACAAGUUCAACGGCAUCCUCCCUCAAACAUUUGGAAAAAGUUGUGUUUUGGAAAGUCUUAAACUUAAUGGCAAUCGGUUGGAAGGACCAUUGCCUCCAUCUUUGGUUAAUUGUCAGUAUUUAGAAGUUUUAGAUGUUGGGAAUAAUCAGAUUGAUGACACCUUUCCCUAUUGGUUAGACGUUCUUCUUGAAUUGCAAGUUCUUAUAUUGCGUUCUAAUAGAUUUUGGGGUCCUAUUGGUGAUACCAAAACAAGAGUUCCCUUUCCCAAGUUGCGAAUAAUUGAUUGCUCUCACAAUCAACUCACCGGUGUUUUGCCACUACGGUAUUUGGAUAGUUUUAAAGCCAUGAGGCAUCGGAAUAACAAUAGUGUUGAAGUCGAUUAUAUGAGGUUGCAGGAUUCUUCUAAUUACUAUGAGUCAAUAUUUCUGACUAUGAAAGGCAUUGACUUACAAAUGGAGAGGAUUCUAACAACUUUUGCAACUAUUGAUUUGUCCAGCAAUAGAUUUCAAGGGAAAAUUCCAGAAGUAGUGGGAAAGCUGAAUUCACUCAAAAGUCUCAACAUUUCUCACAACAACCUGACAGGUGGUAUUCCUUCAUCGCUGAGAAAUCUGACAGAGCUUGAAUCUCUAGACCUCUCUUCAAACACGCUUACUGGACGUAUCCCAACGCAACUGGCGAGUCUGAAUUAUCUUUCGGUGUUGAAUCUUUCGAACAACCAGCUCAACGGACCCAUACCACUAGGACCCCAAUUUAAUACUUUUGGAAAUAAUUCCUAUUCUGGUAACUCAGGGUUGUGUGGAUUCCCAUUAUCAGAGAGCUGCAGCAUUGAUGAGGCGCCAGAACCAACAACACCAUCAAGAUUUCUCGAAGGAGAUUAUGCUUCUAGGUGGUUUGAUUGGAAGUUUGCUAAGUUGGGUUACGCAUCUGGAGUGGUGAUCGGCUUGUCCAUCGGAUACAUGGCAUUUGUGACUGGAAGGCCACAAUGGUUUGUAAGAAUGAUCGAAAGGAAGCAAUCCAAGAAGCCGAGAAGGGUGAUCAGACGAGGCAGAGCAAGUAGAAGAAGUUUGUAGGUGCAUCUCUAGAGGCCCAGGUGAGCAAUUAUUAGUUUGUCUUUUGGAAUUAUAAGCUGGUUUCCACUGUUCUUUGAAUAGAUGGCAUGCUGAUAUUAUCGUAAUCUAACAGUUGGCUUACAAAAAUCACAAUCUUACAAGUUCAGCAUAUAUAAUCCAUAAUUAUAUAGAUUACAAAUUCUAAUUUGUAGUAAAGUAAUUACGAAGUAAAUGGAAGGUCGUAAAAGUAUUAAGGUUGUAAAAAUCUUAGUUUCAAAUAAUAAUAAAAUCUAAUUGUUUUAUGUUUAUUAAAUGAUUAAAUGAUAUCAUGAUUUUAACAAAUAAAAUUAUAAAUAUCAUGACUUUAUAAAAUGACAAAUCUAAAGUUUUACAACUUCAAUAUUUUAUUUAUGAAAUCAUAAAUUAGUCAGAAGAAAUAAGCUUCAUUUGCAAACGAAAUAUUUUUCACCAUUUAUACACAAAAAAUUAAAAUAAAAUAAAAGUUGUAUUUUCAUUCAAUGGAGUUAAAGUGCAAGUAAAAUAUUAAUAGUUCAAAUAAAAAUACAUAUCAUAUGCAUCAUUACAAUUGACAGUACAUCUCAACUAGGUUGGCACCCACUAAACCAUCUAUCAUUUGCGAAAUUAGAUAAUAUAGUUGUGUUAAUAAAAUGUUAAUAAUUAUAUUUUAAUCUAAAACUUGUAAACAUUAAUGUUAUUACAAAUUAUCAUUUACAACUUUAUAUAAGUACAAAUUAGCAAUUAAAUGUUAACCCUUCAGAAAAAUUAUUUAUUAUUAUUGUUAAGAAGGGAAAUUAUCAUUGCACCACCGUUCUUUUGCCUUAUGUUCAUCCAACCACCAUAAAAUUCUAACAUGUUCUCAGCAACACCUUUCUUUUGAAAUUUGUAUUAAUUAGCUACUUUUGCACUAACAACGUUAAAUAAUUUAAACGAAAUAACAAUUUUACUCCUAAAUAAAUUAAAAGACCAUUUUAUCUUAAAAACUUGGAAAAUAAAAAAUUAUAAUUAUAAAAAUACCCCUAAAUUAAAAAAUAAAGCCAAAAUGGAGGUGCUCAGUUGAUUUUUAUUAAAUUUAGAUUUUACAAAAUUUUAAUCAUUAUUUUUAUUAAAAAUUUAUAAUUUUGCAAAAUUCAAUAAAAAAUAAAUGAAUUUAUUUAUUAAAAAGUUAUAAUUUUGCAAAAUUUUAUUAAAAUAACUGAAUUUUUUAUUAAAAAAUAAAUCCCAAAAUUUUAAUAAUUUAGGGGAUUUUUAUUAAAUCCCAAAAUUUUGUAAUUUUUUUAUAAUUAUAAUUUUUUAAAAUAAAUUUUAUUAAAAAUAAAUAUUCUUAAUUUUUGGAUUUAUUUCUUUAUUAAAUGUAUGGGUAUUUUUAUAAUUAUAAUUUUUUUAUUUUCAAAGCUUUUACAAGAUAAAAAGAUCUCUUAGUUUAUUUUGGGGUCAAAUUAUCAUUUUUUUUAAAUUAUUCAACGGUAUUAGUGCAAAAGUGAUUAAUUGAUACAAAUUUCAAAAGAAAUAUGGUGCAGAGAACAUGUUAGAAUUUUGUGAUGAUUGGAUUAACAUAAGGCAGAAGAAAGGUGGUGCAAUGAUAAUUUCCCUUAUUAAGAAUUAUCCUAUAUGUAUUAAAAAAAAAGAAAUGGGGAUUUUUUUUUUUAGCCCAAAAAAGGAAAAAAGAAAAAAGAAAAAGAGGUACAGGCGGUGCGGCCAAUUGGCCUUCUCUAUAUGUGAAAUGGGGAAUAACAAAUGGGGAGAUUGCCAAUUUCCCCCCUACAGUAAUCAACAUAUACCAUUUUCUCCUCUGCUGUUUUUAUAAUGGCCAAAAACCUCCCUGAUAGCAUAAGUUUACAAUAUUAUCUUUAUUUUCAACUACUCUUUUAUUUAUAUUUAUUAUAAAUUAAAUAAAUCACAUGAAUAGAAACUAAAUAAAAAAUUAAGCAUUAAAAAUAAGAAAUAUAUGUUUUGAUAUGAGAAGAAAAUUAAUAAUAAAAUUUUUUUCUUGUACUUAUUUAUUUUGUGAAAUUUUUCUUAUAAUAAAUAUAUAAGAAAGUUAUUAUAAAAUGAUAAAAAAUUAUUAUAAGAAAAUUUGAAUGACAAAUAAAAAUUUAUUAUAAGAUAAAUAAUAAAAUAUUUUGCCUAUACUUUUUACAUUUAAUUUUAAAAUAUUACAAAAUGUUUAUUAUAAGAAAAUGUUCACAAAAUAAAUAAUUACAAAAAAAAUUUCAUUAUUAAUUUUUUUGCUCAUAUCAAAACAUAUAUUUCUUGUUUUUAAUACUUAAUUUUUUUAUUUAGUUUCUAUUCAUGUAAUUUAUUUAAUUUAUAACAAAUGUAAAUAAAAGAGUAAUUAAAAAUAAGGAUAAUAUUGUAAACUUAUGUUGUCAGUGGGGUUUUUGGCCAUUAUAAAAACAGAAGGAGGGUAAAUGGUAUAUGUUAAUUAUUGUAAGGGGGAAAGUGGCAAUCCCCCUAACAAAUAAUCUUGACUCAAUUAAUUGUAACAAUAACGAUUUGGAACACGAUGUGGGCUUAAUUUGGGUGUGCAUCUUCAGUUCUGUAACCUGAAUUUGGGUGUGCAAAUUGUAAUAUUACCCUUUUAAACUCACAAUGAGAUAAUUGAAUGGGGUGUAAAAGAAAAUGGAUUUAAAUAAAUGAAAUAUGGUAUGUCCAAAAUCUCUGACCCUGUAUCAUCCUUGUUCAAAUGGCUCAGUAUGUAUGUGCCAUGUCAAAAUGUGAGAACUCAUCCACGUCACCAGCCUCAACACCCUCGCCACGUCAUCACUCAACCGGUGUUAUAACUGAUGAUAAUUUGGAUAAGAUAAACAGUUAAAUUGUGAGUCUUCACUCUUCAAAGAGAAACCAAAAUGGCGCGAGCUUUGCUUCAUUUGAAUAGCACAGCCACGGCCAUAAUGGCCAGUGCUACAAGUGCUACUAAAGAAACAGUUCUUGUCAGGCUCUCUUCAGGCUCUGCCCGGCCUUCAGAUUGUAGUUGGCUCUCGAAACAGGUGAAAUCAUUAAUACUCUUUUCUUUCUUCUAGUUGUUUCCCGAGAAAAUGCAAGAAAUAAAGGGAAAAUUUUUUCAAGCUUUGUUACUUAAUGUUAUUUUUAUGAUUACUAUGUUUCUUUGGUUCUUUUAAAAUUUAAAUUCAAGUAUUAGUCUGUCUUUAAGUAGACCGCAUGAUGGUAUUUUUCACUAUCUGAACUAGUAUUUGAACAGUAUAUUAAUUUGAUGUGUUUUUUGUUCAGGAAUUUUAUUACACUCAUGGAAUCGAAGCAGUGGAAGUCAUAUAAUCCUGCAGGUACAACAAUUUUCUUUGCUUUAUUUUCCAAUCCAUAUUAAUAUGCUAGGACUUAUUUUUUGUUGGCAAACUUGAUCAAAACUCUUGAGGAAAAAAAAUGAUUUGAAGAAAUAAUAAUGUUGAUGUAGGAAAUGGUGUGGGCAACUUUUAUUUGUUUGUCUUGGGCCAGUAUGUUGGAUUUGGAAAUAUUGGAAGGUUGCAACGAUACAAGAAUCAUUCACCGCCUGCAGACAGCUAUGAUCCAUAUAUGCGAUUUUUGCAAUGUUUAUUUUUCAUAAGAAAUUCAAAUGCUACUUCAGAUUUUUUUAAUAAAUCCCGAAUCCUUGUACAUCCAAAUUUCAUUGUUUCAUGAUUCAUCAUAAUCCAAUGAAGUCUUGAAUGCUUGUACCAAUUCAAAGGUUAGUUGUGGAUCAACAAAAAGAAAUAAAAUGUAUGUGGGCUGGACACAGGUCCUAUAUAUAUAUACCAGUUAAUUUUUUUGCCAAGAUAUCUCCACUGUUGGUUAUCUGCUUGAGUCUGAAGCAAUAACAGAAAAAAAAAAAUAAUAAUAAUAUGACUAGUUAUUAUUAAAUUAGUCGUUAAAAUAUUUAUUUAUUCUUAUUACGAUAAUUGAGGCAAUAAAUUGCAUAUUCUUGUUUAAUUUUGAGUUCUUCAUUGAUAACGUUCAAAUUUUUAUUUUUUAUUUGAUUUUUUUCUAAUUUUAGGGGGGAGAAAAGGUAAAGAAUGAGAGAUUAUUUAACAAAUUAAAUUUAGAGCACAAGCACAGAAGCAUUAAGCUCCUGCUAAACUGUUGUUCGACUUGCAAGUUUUUGGAUCAAAUAAUAAAGUUUGUGCCUUGAGAAGUUAGCUCAUGGCUGGAAUGUUAUUUCUAAUCUAGAGCUAGCGUCCUGAGAAAAUUUUGCAUCCUUGCAGGGAAAAAGGUGCUGCAAUUGUGUCUACAUUGUUGAAGUUUUCUGAAUUUUCUGAAGUUAAUUGGUAGACAUUAUUCUUUUACACUAAAUAUGCAAUUGAGUUCACAGCUAUCCAAAAAAUGGGGCAGUUUUUAUAUUUAAUUACAAAAUUAUCCUUAUUGAAACCCAUAUAAGAGUAUUUACAUUAAUUAGUUAUAUUGCUUCUUCAACUAUCAUCAAAUUCUUAUUCGAGUUCAUCAUUUAAGGAAUAAAUGUGUUAUCUAAAUAAUUACAAAUGAUGUACUAAGCAAAUAUUUUGAGAAAUAAGACUCAUUAUGGCUCCUUUCAUUAGUUGUAUCUUUAAUUUCUUAUUAAUGAAAUUCUCUCGCAUUGCCCAAAAAAAAUGUUGUUAGCGUCACCAUUGAAAGGGGCCAAAUUAUGUAUUGUCUGACUAGUGAAACUGUUAUCAUAUAUGCUAAUAUGCUGCUUCUGGAUCCAUUAUUCUGGCUUUUUAUCAUUUCCAUGGCAGUGAUGGGAGCAGCGCUUGUUCAUAUUGGUAGAAGUGAAAGCAAAUUAAGGAGAGACACAUAGACUAAGGUAAUAAUGUCCACUAAGUUUAAUAUGGUGAAGUCCUGGAUCAGUCGCUUUGCUGAAAUGAUUUCAAGUAAUCGCCCACAGUGAUUGGCAAUUUUCUCUUAUUUAAGUUUUGGUGAAAGUGAAGCUCAUCCACAGAAAAUAAUUGACAGGAAGUGUUAAGGAGAAAAGAUCAGCCUAAUUCAAUGGCUAGGGAUGUUACAAUCAUUUUUUUGUUACUAAAUAUUUUUAAAUUAGGAUAACGUAUUAAUGGAAAAAAAAAAAUUCAUAGUCUAACAAUUGAUUUACAAAAACCAGAAUCCUGAUUAAAUUCAGAUAAUAAUUAUAAUCAACGUCUAUAGGAAAAGGGAAAACGAGAAUCAUAUGUAAGAAAAAUUAUUUCAUGAUGGAGGAAACUUUACCUUAAUUAUCGAUGUGUUUCUCUUCAGGAAUUUUAAUCUCUUCGUACCGAAAUUUAUUUUUGCUUUAAUUUAUUUCUAUAGCUCAUAAGAACUUGCUAUCACAGAACAUAUGUUUUGAUGGUAAACUUGAUCAAAUUUUUAUGGGAAAAAAAAAUUGAAUUGAAAUAAUAUUAUAUUGUUGCAGGAAAAAAUAUGUGAGGGCAACUUUGAUUAGGUGUAUCUUGGGCCACGUACGUAUCAGGAAAAUUAUUUUGUUGCAGGAAAAUUAUUUUGUUGCAGGAAAAUAGAUUUUCCAAAAAUCUGUCCUUUGGCCGACCGAUCCUAUAUGAUCCUUGUUCAAAUUGGCCCCGUAUGUGGCACGUCAACACUUCAAAACUCGGCCACGUCAUCAACUUCGCAAAAUUCUCGCCACAUCAUCACUGAACUGGUUACGACGGAUGAUAACCUGUUGAAAAGUCAAAGAGUUUUGAGCCACAUGCAUUGCUUCUGUUUUUCAAAGUUGGCACCAAAUUGCAAGCUGUAAAAUAUUUGGCUUUUGACAAUCCUUCACCAAAUGAAGAAAAAUGAGAAAGGUUAGCAAAAUUUGUCAAAUUGACAGAUAGGAGAAUUGAAAAAUUGCAAAGCGGAUGGUGCAAUAGUGCAACGUUUUUUGCUACAAAUAAAGAUGCAUUCUUCAUUUGUAAAGCAUCCCAAAAAAUUUGUUAAGCUUAUAAGUUUCUAAACUUUUGAGAGUUCUGCGAGUGUGAGCAAUUGGAGAGUGUGUGUGAGAGUAUUGAGUGUAUUUGGGUUCUGGGAAAGUGAGAUUUCUUUACUCGAAUUUGUACUCAAAUAAUUGUUAAUAAUACAAGUAUUUUUCUCUUGCUCCCGUGGACGUAGGCAUAUUGCCGAACCACGUAAAUUCUUGUAUCCUUUAUUUUUUUGUGAUUAUUCAGUGCGCUUGUUUCCGCAUUCCAUGCACAACAAGUGGUAUCAGAGCUAAUGGUUCGUACUUGGGGGGAUACGGUACUGUUCACGUAUAUGAUACUAUUCACGAAUAUGGUACUGUUCACGAAUACGGUGGAGACGGCCAUUUGUACUUGGGAGACAGUCUAUUAUAAGUAGUGUGUAUUUUUGCAUGUCUAGGAAAGUUCUGUCAACAAAGGCGAUAAGAGUCUAAGGAUUCUGGUUUUUAAUUGGGACCGAGUUCCCGUCUAGUUUCCUGAAAACUUUCCUGGUGCAUUUAUUCACGCAAAAUUAACAUCAUAGAGACUGUUUUUUCAAGUGGAAAUAAUUCAUCGAGAAAAUGGUAGAAGGUGAAACUUCCAGAAUUGGGGAGAGAUCUACCUAGGCUAUUUCAGGAGACACUUCAGGUGGGAGGCGAGAUUUGUCAAAUCGCUAUUCAGCACCUGUUAUAGGAGGCCGGAAGAUCGAUGUUGAAAAGUUUUAUGGGAAAAUCAACUUCGGCAUGUGGAGGCGCGAAGUUAUGGAUGCCCUUAUUCAAAUCGAUCUCGAUGUUGUUCUGAAAAAUAAAAGACACUUGUAUGAUGAAGAAAUUUGGGAUCGUAUGAACGAGAAAGCUUAUGGUCAGAUCAGAUCUUGUUUGACCAAGGAGGCGAAAUACUUGGUGAAAGAUGAGGAGUGUGCUGUGACUUUGUGGCGUACAUUGGAGGAGAAGUACCUGCUGAAAAGUCCUGAAAAUCGUCUUCAUGCAAUGAGCCAAGUAUAUGGCUUUCGAAUGAAGCCUGGGGUGUCAAUGCACGAUCAUGUCUCAAGAUUUGAAAAGUUACUUGCUGAUUUGAAGAAUCUUGAUCAAGAUAUUAAGGAUGAAGUCAAAGUUAUGAUUCUGUUACACUCAUUACCAGAGGAAUAUAGCCAUUUUAUGACUACCUUGAUAUAUAGGAAGAGUGUGAUCGUCUUCAAAGAUGUUUACACAGCAUUGACUAACUUGGAGAUUCGGAAUAAUGAUAAAAAUUUCUGAAUGAGCAUCGUCUAAAGCUUUGGUGAGUAGAGAUUGGGCGAUGGAGAAAAAGAAAAAGCAUGGUGGAAAGAAUUCUCGAUCCAAAUCGAGAAGUAGAAAUCUAGCUCGAGAUGAGUGUGCCUUUUGUCAUGAAAAGGGUCAUUGGAGGAAAGAUUGUCCAAAGGCUCAAAAGAGAGAUGAGAAGAAACCAGCAGCAGCAAACAUGGAACGGAAAGAUGAAGACUCUGAUUAUUCACUAAGUAUUACUCCUGCAGCAUACGUGACUAGUUCGAGCGAGUGAAUACUUGAUACUGGAGCAACCUAUCAUUUGUGUCCUAUUAAGGGAUGGUUUACGGAUUUUCGUAAUUUGGAAUCCGGUGCAGUUGUGAUGGGGAAUGAUCAACCUUGUCGCACAAUUGGGAUAGGAACAAUUCGGCUCAAAAUGUUUGAUGGAAUGAUCAGAGAACUCAAAGAGGUUAGAUUUGUUCCAACUUUAAAGAAAAAUCUAAUUUCUCUGGGUGCUUUGGAGCUAAAGGCUACAAGAUUACCAUUGAAGAUGGCACAAUGAAGUUUACACAUGGGGCUAUGGUGAUUUUGCAAGAGGUUUGGCGUCACAAUCUGUACUAUUUGAAGGGAAGUACAACUGAUGAAGCAAAUAUUGUUGAGGCGCACAGUGACACCACCAAGCUAUGGCAUGUACGACUGGGACAUGCUGGUGAGAAGUCUUUGCAAACUCUGAUGAGGCGCGGACUCUUAAAAGGUACCAAAACCUGUGAGUUAAAUCUCUGUGAGCAUUGUGUAGUAGGCAAGAAAACAAGGGUCAAGUUUGGUACAGCCAAUCACGAUACUUGUUGUACAAAUUUUAAUGUACUCGCAAGCGCACGAAUCUAUUGUGGUAUAGAUCAAUGGUGACGAGUGUCGAUCCCACGAGGAGGUAGAUUUUAAUUGUGUAGAAUUAAUUUUGUAAAUGGGUGAUUGGAUUUGUGGUGGAAAUGAUUUGGAAUAUAUUAAAACUUAAAUUAAACUGGCGAGAAUAAAUUCUAAAAUUGGUAUUGAAAUAGCGAGAAUAAAUUGAAGAGAAUUCUAUUGAAAUGACGUACUUGGGUAUCUGGAUCCGUAUCAACAUGCAUCAUGGGCUAAAUAAUCCGUAUUAAUGCCAAUUAAAUCAUGAGGGGGGAAUCCACACCUCAUGAACCACGCUCUAAUCAAUAUGGUGCUAAGGGCUUAUCGUGCCAAAUAAUAAUAACCUUAUACUAGAGAGCCGGUGAAACCAAGGCGGUACUAGACAAGAUUAGUAUUAUUUGUCGACGAGAAGUCAAAACAUCCACAAAAACUAGAGGGGAGGAGAAAAUAAAUUUACCAAAUUAAGCCCAUGACACAUGUUGAGACUUCACCUUCAACCCAAGCUUGAAAGAAAAUUAGCCACUCAUAAUUGAACUAGGGGCAAAAUGGGAAUUUAUUAAAAUACAUAGAAAAUACAAGAUGGAGAGGGAAUUACAGAAAAUGGAUCCCAAAAAUGGAUUCAGAGAUAUCAAAUUAGGGGGGGAGGCCCCAUUUUUAUAGAUACAUGGAGUAAAUCAUGGCCAUCGGAUUAAAAACAGUUUGGACGCUCAGGAUUGCGCCACGUCAUCAGUCAACAGUCCACGGUUUGACCACGCGGAUGAACAGUAACACGGUUUGACCCGGAUGAACAGUAACGCGGUUUGGUUGAAAAUAAUCCUGUGUGAUGCAUGCACCGUACGCUAGAUUUUUCGUCCACUGAUAUGCUGCCACGUCACCAUCAACAGUACAUAAGAAUUUUAGUCCAACAGGAUCGUGACACCUCAUCAGUCAAUGCCACAUCAUCGGUCAAUGCCACGUCAUCGAUCCGUCUAUGUGAACAUUGUCGUGAACAGUAACGUAUACAGUACCGUACACGUGAAUAGUACCGUACAUGUGAACAGUAACAUAUACAGUACCGUAUAUGUGAAUAGUGCCGUACAUGUGAAUAGUGCAAUUUUUCCUUUUAUGCUCCUUCUAAGGUUUUCAACCGUCCUGAGUUCAAAAGUGAUGUCCGUUUUGCCGUCUGAUCUCUCUUUUAUUGUGAAAUGACUAUAAUGCCCCUAAAAUACAUAAAAUACUUAAUUAAAAUAACACACACGUAAUUAUAUCACAAGAAGGUUAAAUACAUAAAAGUAAGAGUUGUUAGUAAGACUUGAAUGCCAGAACGAGGGUAUUAAAAGACAUUUCACGGUGAGACAUACUCCGCAACAGAACGAUGUAGCUGAGCGUAUGAAUCGUACUUUACUGGAGAAGGUACGGUGUAUGUUAUCUAAUGCUGGUUUAGAUAAAAAAAUUUGGGCUGAAGAUGUGAGCUACGCAAGUCACUUGGUAAACCGGUUGCCUUCUGCUGCAAUUGGAGGUAAAACUCCUUUGGAAAUGUGGUCUAGAAAGCAUGCACAAGACUACGAUUCUCUUCGUAUAUUCGGGUGUCCAACUUAUUAUAAUGUCAAAGAUGGUAAACUGGAUCCUCGUGCUAGAAAAGCUACCUUUAUGGGAUUCAAAGGUAGAGUAAAGGGCUUCAAGCUUUGAGAUCUCGAAGAUAAAAAGUUUGUGUGUAGCAGAUAUGUCACAUUUGAUGAAGUUUCAAUGAUGAAAACUUUAAGUUCUCAGCAAGUGGAGAACAAGACCAAAGAGGUAUUACAGCGGGUGGAGUUUAAUGCAACUCCAUAUGUACUAGUUAGUUCUGCAUCAAAGAAUGGUUCAACUAUGGAGGUGACACCUAGAGUUGAAGAAGAGGUUGUUUCUUCUAAUGUCCCACAAAAUGAAGAAACAAUUGAUGAUGUAGAUAAUGAUGAUUUUAUAGCAACAAGGAGGCCAAGAAGAGAGAUAAAGAAACCUAGAUGGCUUACUAAAGAUAUGGCUGUAGCCUAUGCACUUCCAGUUAUUGAUGAUGACAUCUCCAACACUUUCGGUGAAACAUUAUGCAGCAGUGAAAGUGAUCAGUGGAAGUUAGCUGUGGAGGAAGAGAUGAAAUCUCUCCAUCAAAACCAGACUUGGGAACUUGUAAAGUUACCAAAGGGAAAAAGGGCUAUUGGCAAUAAAUGGGUCUACACCAAAAAGCAAGGAUCUUCGAAUCAAUCAACUCCUCGAUACAAGGCAAGGUUCGUGGCGAAAGGUUUUCCUUAAAAGGAAGGUAUUGACUACAAUGAAGUUUUCUCUCCAGUUGUAAAACAUACUUCCAUUCGUAUCCUACUUGCCUUAGUUGCAGAAUAUGAGUUAGAGUUGGCUCAGUUGGAUGUUAAGACUGCAUUCUUACAUGGAGAUUUGGAGGAGGAAAUCUAUAUGAUUCAGCCUUGUGGUUUUAAAGUUGCUGGCAAGGAGAAUCAUGUGUGUAGGUUGAUUAAAUCUUUGUACGGACUGAAGCAAUCGCCAAGGCAGUGGUACAAAAGAUUUGAUCAAUUUAUACAAGGGUAGAACUUCACCAGAAGUGAACACGAUCAUUGUGUUUACUUUAAAAAACUACCAUAUUAAGCUUUCAUCUAUUUGUUACUCUAUGUCGACGAUAUGUUUAUAGCUUCGACGAAUAGAGAUGAGAUCGAAAGAUUAAAGAAGCACCUGGCUUCUGAGUUCGAGAUGAAAGACUUGGAUAAUGCACAAAGAAUACUUGGGAUGAAGAUUCAUGGAGACAAUAAGAAUGGGAGCGUAUGGUUAACUCAAAAGUCUUAUUUUAAGAAAGUGCUGGAAGGAUUCGGUAUGGAUGACAAAACAAAACCGGUAUGUACACCUAUAGUUCCUCAUUUCAAAUUAAACUCUUCUUCAUGUCUUAGAUCUCGAGAGGAGCGCGAAUACAUGACUCGUGUUCUAUAUGCUAGUGCUGUGGGUAGUCUUAUGUAUGCUAUGGUAUGCACAAGACCCGAUAUAUCUCAAGCAGUGAGCAUGGUUAGUAGAUACAUGCACAAUUCGGGUAAAAAUCAAUGGCUUGCGGUAAAGUGGAUUCUCCGAUAUCUGUAUGGGACAGUUGAUGUUGGGUUAUUGUUCAAGAAGGAUUGUGGUCAACAAUGUGUUGGGUAUUGUGGUUCUGAUUUCGCUGGAGACCUUGACAAGUGAAGAUCAACAAUGGGCUACGUAUUCACAUUGAGUGGAGGUCCGGUUAGCUGGAGGUCGAUUUUACAAUCGACAAUUACUCUGUCCACUACGGAAGCAGAGUACAUGGCAACAACUGAAGCUGUAAAGGAAGCUAUCUGGUUGAAAGGCUUGUUAUGUGAUUUGGGAGUAAUCCAAGAGAACAUUGCGGUCUUUUGUGAUAAUCAAAGUGCGAUAUUCCUCGCGAAGAAUUAAACAUAUCAUGCUCAGACGAAGCACAUAGAUGUGAAAUAUCAUUAUGUGAGGGAGAUUAUCGAAGGUGGUGACGUGUUGUUGAAGAAGAUCAAUACAAAAGAUAAUCCAUCAGAUAUGUUGACGAAGGUAGUUUCUGGAGUUAAGUUCCAACAUUGCUUGAAACUAAUUCAAAUCCUUCAAUUGUGUUAAGUUAUGUCCUUCGGGAAUUUUAAAUUACGAUUAGCUUGAUCCCAAUUUUUGGGUACGUAGGCAGUCACAGAGAUGCAGCCACUUUGGGGAUGAUGGUUCAUUGAUAGUCGGCUAAGAUUUGACUAAAUCUUCACCGAGGUAGAGAAUUGUUGAAAAGUCAAAGAGUUUUGAGCCACCUGCAUUGCUUCUGUUUUUCAAAGUUGGCACUAAAUUGCAAGCUGUAAAAUAUUUGGCUUUUGACAAUCCUUCACCAAAUGAAGAAAAAUGAGAAAGGUUAGCAAAAUUUGUCAAAUUGAAAGAUAGGAGAAUUGACAAAUUGCAAAGCGGAUGGUGCAAUAGUGCAACGUUUUUUGCUAUAAACAGAGAUGCAUUCUUCAUUUGUAAAGCAUCCCAAAAAAUUUGUUAAGCUUAUAAGUUUCUAAGCUUUUAAGAGUUCUGUGAGUGUGAGCAAUUGGAGAGUGUGUGAAAGUACUGGGUGUAUUUGGGUUCUGGAAAAGUGAGAUUUCUUUACUCAAAUAACUGUUAAUAAUACAAUUAUUUUUCUGUGAUUAUUCAGUGCGCUUGUUUUCGCAUUCCGCGCAUAACACUACCUACUACUAGAAGAAGCUGUGUCCAAAACAAAUUAGAGUUCCAUUAUUAUUACAAAUUAUAAGUAAACUACACGUUUUAAAAUCGGUAGACAAUAAUAUUGCAGUUUCAAAUCGAGCAAUGCACGCGUAAUCCCUAUUACGACAGAAUAACACAAAAUUAACAAAAGGAAAGCACAUAAUUGACUACUUUGAAAGCUUUUAUUGCAUUUUCUCAUAAACCAAAACAGAAGAAAGAAAGUAUUAACAUUUUCACCUGAUUUCGAGAGCCAAAUGGUCGGAGCAAAGCAACGGAAAGAAAUUGCACCGUUUACGCCAUGAAUGAAAGUGACUUAAUUCUACAAAUAUGACACCAUACACAGUGAUUCUAUUAAUAUGACAAUUUCUUAAUGAAAAGUCAUAAAUAAAUAUCCUUAAAGAGUAUAUUUAUUGAUUCUCCAUUUUUUUAGUUUUUACCUUACCAUUACCCCCCGGUUUUUUUACCUGACCAUUACCCACCCAUGGACUAUAAUUAUUAAAUACUCGACCUUUGUCUAAAAAUUAAGCGACCUUUUAUCUCACUCUUAUGACACUUGCAUUUAUACUCGAUUAUACUUAUUCUCAAUUUUGGAGUCAGAAAUGAAAACUGAGGAACUUGGUAAUUCACAAAUGCAGGUGGAUUUGUCGUAUAUAAGUGAAUAAAUGGAAAGGAAGGGAUGUAUAUUUGGAAGAUAAGCACUUUUGCUGCAUAUAAAAACAAAAUACACGCGUUUUUAAUGAUGUGUAUGGGACUGGGCCAUUUUUCUUUAUAAUUAUAGGCCUACUUUUGUUUCAACUAAAAUUCAAGUACUUGGUUGGUGCAAAUAAGCGGAGCACGCGCCAUUUUGGUCUCUUUUUAGUAUUCUCACCUUGUGAAGAGACUCAAUUCAACUGUUUUGCUUAUACAAAUUAUCAUCCGUUAUAACCGGUUGAGAGAUGACGUGGUGGAGUUUUGACAUGUUGACGUGGCACAUUAUGGGGCCAAUUUGAGCAAGGAUCAUAUAGGACAGAUUUUGGAAAAUCUCUUUUCCUGCGACAAAAUAAUUUUAUUGUUACCCUCACUUCCCUUGUCCGGAUACUGAUUCAAAUCCAAUAUACGUACUUGGCCCAAGAUAUACCAAAUCAAAAUUACCCUCACAUUUUGUUUUUUCCUGCAAUAAUAUAGUAUUAUUUCAAAUUAUUUUUUUUUUCACCCAAAAAUUUGAUUUACCAUCAAAACAUAUAUGUUCUGUGAGAGCAAGUUCUCAUGACCUAUAGAAAUAAAUCAAAGCAAAAAUAAGUUUCGGCACCAAGGGACCAAAAUUCCUAUAGUUGAGGUAUAAAAUUAUGAAAAGGGAUAAUCGUUUUGUGGUAAAUUGUAUUAGGAAAGUCAAAUGCUUGAUAAGCCCAGAGGUCAACAUUGUGAGAUGUAGUAGCUUUUUGCUGGGUUAUUAGGUAAAAAUGAUUUCAGUUGUAUGUUCUCCAAAAUGUGUUAAGAAAAUAAGAAUUGGUUAUGAAAAUAAAAGUAGUAAAGUGCAAAUCUUAGAAAUUUCCCGAAGUGCUGGAAUUUGAAAUAACUUCAAAUGCGAUUUUGAGUCCUGAAAUUGUACAAUUUCGUAAAAGCCACACGGGCAUCAGAGUCAAAGGCAAAUGGGCAACAUUGUUCAUCUUGUUAAUAUACCAUACGCCCAAUUGAAAAAAUGUGGCCAAAAUGGCACCAAAUGAAUUUCACCUCAAAUCAUUCCUACAUCAAAAUUAUUUUUAAAAUAACUUUUUCCUGAAAAAUUUGAUCAAGUUAACCAUCAAAAUGUAAGUGUGUGGUAUCAUGUUCUUACGCUCGAAUGUAACUGAACAUUGAUGGAUUAUCUUUACUGGGAUCCCCUUUCUUUACGUAUAAAGUAGACUUUGAUUCUUCAAGAGGAACACUUUUCAAUUUUUUUCAAUUCCCACAAACCAGUCCAAAAGCUGAAGCUGUAUCCAAUUAAUGACCAUUUAGAUAUUUACUUAAGUUCGGCGAGAUGUUCGUUAUCUGUCAUAUUUGCCGGUGUAACAGCUAGCUAGACUAACAGUCAUUUACACAAACACAAUUCAUCUUCCCUUCCCUGUUUUGACUCUGUUCCAUUAGUUGACUAUCAAAGCGUAAUAACUGGAGGGCAUAAUGAAUAAAUAGCAUAUGGUACAAAUAAAAUAUUCUAAGUAUGUUACAGUUUGUUAAGCUAAGUUGUUAGACCUUCCAUUAGUUAUCAUAUAUGUAUGUAACUGGUCAAAACAAUACAUAAUUUACCAAAUCAAAAACAUAUUCUAGUUUUUCCACGAACCUGUCCAAAAGCAGAUGCGUUUAUACUAAAAGAAACCCCAACUCUCAGAUAUUUUAAGUCAUCAUAUAUGUAUGUAACUGGUCAACUGUAUGAACUUAAGCUGAAAACUUAUGCCAAGUUGCCUGCUCUUUCUUACUACUGAACUUAAAAUAGAAAGGCAUCUUUCCUUCAAUCCCUUCCCCCUAUAAGGCUCUAAAGUGAUCUUUUCUCCUGGUCAAUUGCAUGAAUUGCGGAGCAGUAAUCUUAAUUUAAUAUUUAUUGCCAAUUUUGUAAAACUCCAAACUUCUUUUCCACGGCUAUGAUAGUGAAACUCAUGGGAAGGAUCAGAAAAGUUGAAAGUUAGUGAUCUAAGAUAUGUCCAAAUUAAGAGGUAUGUAUACAAAAACUGAACAAAUCUUUCUUUCUCAAAGUCAUUAAUUAACAUUUCAGCCAAGUCCACCUUAUAAGUUAAGAUAAUUUUUUCUAGUCAUUAAUGAGCAUUUCGGUCAAGUCCACUGAAGAUAUAAGAGCAAUAACUGGAGGCAAAUAAAAAGUUGAAAAGGCUGAGUUAAAUAAUCGUAUGCUCAUCUUUCUUCACAAGUAGAUUACACAUCUUUCUUCACAACUUUUUUAACAAAUUGAAACAGAAUUAAAGUAGAGGAGGGAAAAUCAAUUGUGGUUUGUGCAUAAUGUAUAUGACUGACUAACUAACUACGAGUUUAGCUGCCUGCCACAUCAGCAUAAUAUAACACAUAAAUAAUAUCAUUCCGCGUCGAGGAUGUCGUCAAGAUCCCCCUCUUGAAAGGAUUCCACUUACCACCUAAAUUCCAAAGCAAGACUUGGUGCUGUAAGUCAAUAAAUAUUAUAUUAUUAAUUAAUUACACACCAUAUUCAACUUCUAUAAAUGGUCAUUAUAUCUCUCUCUCUUCUUGUGAUUUCAUCAUCCAGAAAAGAAAAAGAAAAUGGGUUAUAUCACUCAGCCUUAUCAACUUUUGAUUUGCCUCCAGUUAUUGCUCUUCUAUUCUCAGUGUUCAGCUGCAAUACUUUGCUCUCACGACCAAAGUUCUGCUUUACUCCAAUUUAAGCAGCUCUUUUCCUUUCAAAAAGAUUCCUCAUCCCGUUGUGAAGGAUAUCAACAAUCUCGUCCCAAGAUGAUGUCUUGGAAAGAGGACGCUGAUUGCUGCUCCUGGGAUGGAGUAACAUGUGAUUCGGCGACGGGUCACGUGAUUGGCCUCGACCUCAGUUGCAGUUGGCUUCACGGCAACAUCCCUUCCAACAGUAGCCUUUCCUUGCUUCCUCGCCUGCGAAAGCUCAACCUAGCCUUCAAUGAUUUCAAUUACUCUAAGAUUUCUUCUGGUUUUACUGAUCAAUUUCCGAGUUUGACAGUCCUUAACCUCUCUUUCAGCGAUUUCACGGGGUCAAUUCCUGCCUCACUAGGUAACAAUAUUACACAACUUGCUUAUUUGGAUCUUUCGAAUAACAGUUUUACUGGUCAGAUUCCAUCAUCUUUUUCAAAUCUUCAGCAACUUCGUCAUUUAGAUCUUUGGGAAAAUAAGUUUGUUGGUGAAAUUCCUGCCUCACUAGGUAACAAUUUUACACAACUUGCUUAUUUGGAUCUCUCAUUUAACAGUUUUACUGGUCAGAUUCCAUCAUCUUUUUCAAAUCUCCACCAGCUUCGUCAUUUAGGUCUUUCUUUCAAUAAUUUUGUUGGUAAAAUUCCUUCAUCAUUAGGUAACAAUAUUACACAACUUGCUUAUUUGGAUCUCUCACAUAACAGUUUUGGUGGUCACAUUCCAUCAUCUUUUUCAAAUCUUCAGCAGCUUCAUCAUUUAGAUCUUCAAUCCAAUAAAUUUGUUGGUAAAAUUCCAGAUAUGUUUACCAACCUAACCCACCUUAAUUUUUUAAGCUUGGCAUCAAAUGAACUGAUAGGCUCGAUUCCAAGUUCAUUCUUUGAACUUGUGAAUGUGACUGUGAUCCAUCUUUCUUCUAACAAUUUAAGCGGCACUGUUAAGCUGUACGAUUUUGCAAAGCUCAAAAAUCUUAAAUAUUUUUAUCUUUCUAAUAAUAGUUUAUCAUUGAGCACCAAAUUAACAGUCAACUCGUCUUUCCCUAAUCUUCUGGGGUUGGGUUUAUCGGCUUGCAAUAUAAGUAAGUUUCCAGACAUCUUGAGAACUCAACAUCAGUUAGAGUGGUUGGACCUUUCUAAAAACCAAAUCCGUGGUAGGAUUCCCAGUUGGAUGUACGAUAUUGGAGUACAUACUUUGGAAGGAUUAGAUCUUUCACACAACUUCCUGACAAGCAUAGAACAUCUUCCGUGGAAAAAUCUUAGAAUUCUUUACCUUCAUUCGAACUUACUUCAAGGAUCACUUCUAGAUCUACCACCUCACUUGAAUUACUUUUCAAUUUCCACCAAUAAUUUGAUUGGAGAGAUUCCUUCAUCAUUUUGUAAUUUGAGUUCCAUUCUAUAUUUUAACUUAUCCAACAAUGGCUUGAGUGGACAAAUUCCACAAUGUCUUGGAUACUCUACACUUGAAACUUUGGAUCUACGAACGAACAACUUCCAAGGUAGCAUCCCACAGACAUAUGCAAAGGGCUGCAACUUGACUUAUCUUCGACUGAGUGGCAAUCACUUGGAGGGACCAUUACCACCAUCUUUGAUUAACUGUGUCAAUUUGCAAUUUCUUGAUGUUGGCAAUAACAACUUGAGCGGCCCAAUUCCAGAAUGUCUUGGAAACUCAACACUUGAAGUCUUGGAUAUGAGAAUGAACAAGUUCAGUGGCAGCCUCCCUCAAACAUUUGCAAAAGGUUGUGUUUUGGCAAGUUUUAACCUUAAUGGCAAUCGGUUAGAAGGACCAUUGCCUCCAUCUUUGGUUAAUUGUCGGCAUUUGGAAGUUAUAAAUGUUGGGAAUAAUCAGAUUAAUGAUUCCUUUCCCCACUGGUUAGACGUUCUUCCCGAAUUGCAAGUACUUAUAUUGCGUUCUAAUAGAUUUUGUGGUCCCAUUGGUGAUACCAAAACAAGAGUUCCUUUCCCGAAGUUGCGAAUAAUUGAUCUCUCUUACAAUCGACUCACCGGUGUUUUGCCAAUAUGGUAUCUGAAUGGUUUUAAAGCCAUGAUGCACGGGGAUGACAAUAGUAUUAAAGUCAAUUAUAUGUGGUCGCUGAAUUAUUCUUACUAUGAAUCAAUAUCUCUGACUAUGAAAGGCAAUGACAUACAAAUGGAGAGGAUUUUAACCACUUUUGCAACUAUUGAUUUGUCGAGCAACAAAUUUCAAGGGGAAAUAUCAGUAGUGUUGGGAAAGCUUAAUUCACUCAAAAGUCUCAACAUUUCUCACAACAACCUGACAGGUGGCAUUCCAUCGUCGCUAAGAAAUCUGAUAGAGCUUGAAUCUCUAGACCUCUCUUCAAACAAGCUUACUGGACGUAUCCCAACACAACUGGCAAGUCUCAAUUAUCUUUCGGUGUUGAAUUUUUCGAACAACCAGCUCGAGGGACCCAUACCAAGAGGACCCCAGUUUAAUACAUUUGGAAAUGAUUCCUAUUCUGGUAACUCGGGGCUGUGUGGAUUCCCAUUAUCGAAAAGCUGCAGCAUUGAUGAGGCACCAGAGCCAACAACACCAACAGGAUUUAUCGAAGGAGACGAUGCUUCAAGCUGGUUUGAUUGGAAGCUCGCUAAGUUGGGUUAUGCAUCUGGAGUGGUGAUCGGCUUGUCCAUUGGAUACAUGGCAUUUGCGACUGGAAGGCCACAAUGGUUUGUAAGAAUGAUCGAAAGGAAGCAAUCCACGAAGUUGAGAAGGGUGAUCAGACGAGGCGGAGCAGGUAGAAGAAGUUUGUAGGUGCAUCUCUAAAGGCCCAGGUGAGUAAUUAUUAGUUUGUCUUUUGGAAUUAUUAGCUGGUUUCUACUGUUCUUUGAGUAGAUAGCAUGCUGAUAUUAUCGUAAUCUAGCAAUUGACUUACAAAAACCACCAUCCUAAUUAAUUUCAGAUUAUGUUUAUUAUCUUCAACAUCUAUAGUGAGAAAGAAAAUUUUAACUGAAUUAUUGAUGUGGUUGUUUUCUUCAGGAAUUAUAAACUCCUAGAAGCUAUCAGUGGAAGUCAAAUAAUCCUCCAAGUACUCAAAUUGUUUUUACUUUAAUUUCAAUUUCAUGAAAUUGCUUUUACUUUUAUUUCCAUUUCAUUAGAACAUGUAAUCACAGACGUAUGUUUUGAUGGUAAAAUGAUUUGAAGGAAAUUGUGUGGGGGGAACUCUACACUUAUAUCUUCAAAUUUGGGCGUAGAACGUACUAUAUCAAAGUUUGAGAGCGGAAAACAUUCUUAUUAAGUGGGUGCAUUGCCCUCUUUGAGAAAAUGUAUUAAAUGAAAUCCCACACAUCUGCUAAUGGGAUUGUACAACGUUGACGGCACUCACAUCUGAGGGUUUAAAGUAAUUUUCGUAGAUCUUUUAUUGUAAUAUAUGUAUCUAUAUUUCAAAAGGAAGAAACCACCGUCAUCCAAAUUUAAUUAAGAAAAAUCUUCACUUUUUCAUAUAUCAACUUUUUUUCGUUUUGUAGAAACAAAAAUAAUUAUGCGUAAAAUGAAACCAAACUGCCAUUAAAUUUAGAGGGGUUUUCAUAGCGAUGCCAUACCUUAACAGCAGUCCCCACGUACGGCGCGGCCAAUGAUUCCACUUAUAACAUGUUCUUAAGAUAAUUUGAUUGGGUGUAAAAAGAAAAUGGUUUGAAUAAUUGAAAAAACAUUGGUCCAAAAUCUCUAACCUUUUAUGAUCCUUGUUCAAAUGGCCCAGUACGUGCCACGUCAACAUGUGCAAACUCAUCCACGUCACCAGCCUCAGCGCUCUCGCCACGUCAUCACUCGAUGAUCAUUGGAUUAAGAAAAACAGUUGAAUUGGGUCUCGUCAGUCGUCACAGAGGCCGAGCACAAAAGACAAAGAGAAACCGAAAUGGCGCGAGCUUUGCUUCAUUUGAAUCGCACAGCCACGGCCAUAAUAAUUAUGUUGAUUGAUGUGGUUGGACUUUCGUAUGUUAUUAUUUAAAUCCCCUAAUAUGUUAAAAUUUAAAAAACUGUAAAACUUGUUUAAAGUAACAUAAAUAUAAAAAUUACUCUACUCAAAAUCUCAACCAUAAAUUAUAUAAAUAACUAAAUAUAAAUACAAAGUUAAAAACCAUGUCUCAUUCCUUUAAAAAACACACAUUGUGGAAUUGGGCUGCUCAAGUUGUUAUUCCUGAAAUUAAUAAACAUUAAACCGAUACAAUUAACUAAAUAUGGUGACAAUGGUCCUUCUAGGCGAUUGUCAUUCAGCGUAAGCAUACAAAUUGCAACCUUUUUGCAUAUGAUUGUGGGAUUCUACCACGAAGAUUGUUCAUUCUAACAUCUAAGCACCCCACUGUAAAGUUUCCAAGGCACGGCUGAAGCUAUUAUUGGACAUAGAGAUGGCCACUCGCCAAUGCGAGUAUGUUUUAGAAGGGCACGUAGCAUGGUAUGCACACAAAUUAACAAACUAGAUAGGGCUGAGAAUUUUAAGUAUGUGGUCCUUAAAAUCAUGUCCUUCUCUAAAUGCAACAAUGGAAAAUAUCAAAUAAUCGUGACUCAAUUAAUUGUAGCAAUAAUCAUGUAGGAGAUGAUAUGAGCUUAAUUUGGGUGUACAUCUUUGGUUUUAUAAGUUGAAUUUGAAUGUGUAAUAUUAUUGUUCUGAAACUCAAUAAGAUAAUUGAUUGGGUGUAAAAAGAAAAUGGAUUGAAUAAUUGAAAUAACUUAAGUCCAAAAUCUCUGACCUUACAUGAUCCUUGUUCAAAUGACCCAGUACGUGCCACGUCUACAUGUGAAAACUCAUCCACGUCACCAGCCUCAAUAUUAUCGCCACGUCAUCACUCAACAGGUUACCAGUGACGAUAAUUUGGAUAAGAAAAAUUGUUGAAUUGAGAGCCUUCACUCUUCACAGAGAAACCAAAAAAGCGCGAGCUUUGCUUCACUUGAAUAGCACAGCCAUGGCCUUAGUGGCCAGGGCUAAAGCCUACAAGUGCUACUACAGAGACAGUUCUUGAUGGAGCUCAGUUUCAAAUGAAGAACCAAAACACCCGCGUUUUGGUACUUGGAGUUACGGGUCGGGUCGUUGGAUCCACUGCUGUUUCUCUCUACAAAUUCUGCACCAACCUUCAUAUUGUAGUUGGCUCUCGAAACAGGUCAAAUCAUCAAUGUCCUUUUCUUUCUUCUGUUUGGUUUCCGAAAAAAUGCAAGAAAUAAAGGAGGGAAAUUUUUAAAGCUUUGUUAUUUUCUGUUAUUUUUAUGUUUACUAUGUUUCUUUGGUUCUUUUAAAAUUUAAAUUCAAGGUGAUGGCUAAGGGUAAACUGCAAUGCUUUUACAUGAUUCCGAAAGCACAUUUCUAAACAGCCACUCAACUACAAGCGAUUGUCAUGUCCUGCAAUUGUAGAUUAAGGCUACAUUAGGUAGUGGUAUUGUGCGGUCGAGGCUUUUUAAGGCACAUCUACUUUUAAAUGAGAGCUACUGUGAAAUCAAAGUUUUAGUUAUAAAAUAAAAGUUUAUAGUGUUUGGUAAUUUUUUUAAAUAAUAAUUUUGAUAAAAAUAGUAAACCUAACAUAGGUUAGGCAUUUGUGGAUAAAUUUGCUUUAAUUGUCAAACUGUGGCUAUACUAUUUACUAAAUAUUUUAGAGUGCCUAAACAAGCCAUUAUAAAAUUACCAAUUAUACAAAAAAUUGUAAUUCUCUCACUUUUUGGUUUUCAUAAGCAUUCGAAAGGCAAUCAUAUCUUUUUCUUUUUUUUUAUUGAUAUGCUUUGACCACGGUAUGUUAUUAUUUUAGAAUGUUGUCAAACAUGUUAGUUCUUGGAUGGAACUAUAGAGUUGUGAAUUCAAAUAGUUAUGGCUGGAAUGUUUCCUAAUUUAGAGUGUUGCUGAGAAAAUUCUGCAUACUGGCAGGGAAAAAAGUGCCACAAUGGUCUCUACACUGAGGAAGAAUUCUGCAUUUGCUGAAGUUAACGUUGACAAUGAAGGCUCAUUAUUAAUGGCUUUAAUGUUGUGUUUACUUUCUGAAGUGGGAGUAAGGAGUGUGGAUUCCUCCCACUCUAAUGUUCACUUCAACAUUUUAAGGUAGGAUGGGGAGUGGGAGUGGGACUCCAAUGUUCCGCUCCCACCUCUUCCUUUUCUACCCUCUUUUUAUUAAAUUUAAUAUAAUUAUAUUUAAUAAAUUAAUUCCACUCCCACCUCUUCCUUUUCUACCCUCUUUUUAUUAUAUUUAAUAUAAUUAUAUUUAAUAAAUUAAAAUAAAUAAUAUUAUAUUUAUUUAAAUAAUAUUAUUAUAUUUAACUAAAUAAUAAUUUGUAUUGAUUCUAAGUUAAAAUUACUUAAAAAUAAUAUUAUUAUAUUAAUAGAGAAUUAAUAAUAUUACUAUAAACUAUCUUUAUCUGAAAAUAUAAUACUAUUAUAUUUAUUUAAAAAUAAUAGUAUUAUAUUUAUUUAAUAUUAAUAAUUAAUAGUAAUAAAUAGUUUAUUCUAAGAAAAUAUUAAUUUCGUACUAUCUUAAUAGUAAAAAUGUUUUAUUUAUAUUGCCCUUAUCAAUAAUUUUUAAUUUACAUACUUAAAAUUAAAAUUAAUAAAACAAUGUGAUGUACAGAAUUAAGAAUAUUAAGAAUUAUUAUAAUUUUACAAAUAUAAUAAAAUAAAUAUUUACUCAUCAAAUAUAUAUUGUUAAUAACUUUGUAAUUAAAAACUAUAAUUCUUUAAAUAAAGGUAAAAUUAUAAUUUGAAACUAUUUACUCCCAAUUCAAGAUAAAGUAAACACAUAAAUUAGAUUCUUAUUUCCAUUUCAUACUUCCAUUCUGAUGUAAGUAAACAACAUGCUCUCACUCCUACUUUACACUCUCAAUCCUAAAAUUUCCACUUUUCAGAAUUCUUACUUCAAUCUAAAAUGUAAACACUACCUAAGAAGUGUGAUCAUUCCUCUCGUACUAGAUGUAUCUUCUGUUACUCCGCAUCAAUAAUUAUUUUUCUUCUAGGGUCGUGGUAAAGGAAUUUUUUCAGGACAGAUAUUUCGUUAUUGACAAUAUUUUAAUGAUGUUUUAGUCUAUAGUUGAAAUGCUGCAACUUUGCUUCUGCAGAUGUGGAUCUUGUGGUUCAUGCAGCAGAGCCUUUUCAAGAGGCACCGAAAUGCACUGUAUUGGAAUUUGCCAUGGAAACCAAGGUGAGGAAAGGUAAAUGUUGUGUUUGAUUCUCUCUUUUCCAAGUCCAGUUUUCUACGUUUUAUAUAUGUGAUGAUUGAAGUAUGUAUACAACUUUACUAUGUAACCGAGAUGUCAUCUUAUGUGUUCUUUUUGUGUCUCCUAACAGACAGCAUACAUUGAUGUUUGUGACGAUACCAGCAACUCUCAGCCCGCAAAGUCCUUCGAGGUUAAAGCAAUAACUGCAAACAUUCCAGCCGUAACUUCUGAAGGAAUCUAUCCAGGAGUAAGCAAUGGUGAUUUUAUGAACAUUCUUGUCCUGCAAUCUGCACUUCUACUGCAGAAAAUUAAAUAUAUGAUGUGAAGUGAAGAGUAUGGAUGGAUAGAGCACAAAUUCUGCAAUUGAAACAUGUAAAGCCUACAAAUUCUUGCUUUAGAGCUAAAACAUCAUUGUUGGUGAACCCAUAGGCCUGGCUCCAAAGCUCUUAUAUAUUAUGGACAGGAUCCAGCGUGCUUGUGUUCAUAUACAUGAUUUUUGCCACCGGAAGACCUCAGUGUUUUGUAAAGAUGAUUGAACGGAAGCAAUCUAAGAAGGUCACGAGGAGGGUGCAUCCACUGCUCCAAGCUAUUUGUAGGUUGCACGCUGAUUUUGAUAUAUUCUGAACUACUAUUUGAACUGCAUAAUAAUGUGACGUGUUUUUUGUACAGGAAUUUUAGACUCAUGGAAGGUAGCAUUGGAAGUGAAUCAAUCCUCCUGGUGCCAAAUUUGCCUUGCUUUAUUUCCAUAUCUUUAUUGGUAAUUAAAUUUAUAAAAUAUUUGAGGGAAAAAAUGAUUCGAAAAAUUAUUGAUGUGGGAAAUGGCGUGGGCUGACUUUGAUUUAGUGCAUCUCUGGGCUAUGAAAUGUUGAAUUUGGGCGUACUUGGAAGCCUGCAACAAGAUGAACAACAUUCACUGUCAUUUAGGAAAUUACCCAUGAGACUAUUGACAAAUUUCAAUGUUUCUGGACUAAAUAUCGCAUUUCAAGUUACUUAAUUUCGAGCACUUUAGGAAUCUUCUAUGAUUUUAUUUUUAUUUUUAUUUUAUAAGAAGUUCAUUUGUUACUUCAGUGUUAUAUCUUUUUCUUACUCUAAUUUCCAGUAUUUUUCUAAUAAUGGUUGGAAUCUGCUGUGUUCAUAGAUUAGGCAUUAACAGGCUAUAAAACCUCAAGGCUAAACAAUUUUUAUCAAUUAAACAUAUUAUUCGGAAACUUUAUUUCUUCUUUUCGUCUCACUUUAGAAAUAUUUAUAAGCCCAACGAAUUUGCCCGUUUAACAAAUUGUUCUUUGUAUGCGCCAUGGGGAAAAUCAAAUAAUAUUUAUAGGCUAACUUCAAUGCCUUCUUGCAUAUAAUUGUAAGAUUUGGGCAUUUAAUAUGUCAUUUGAAGUACGCAAUGAGAUGGAUAAAAAUCUUUUCCUUCUCGUGAUGUAUGCGAGACUUUUUGCCAAAUUCCAAUGCCUUCUUGCAUUAAAAGUGGGACACAUUAUUUUGUAUUAAAACGAAUUUGCCAGUUUAACACAUUGUACUAAUCAAAUAACUUUAUUUGAUUCGCUAUUCGAUCAUAAGGGAUGUAGGUGUUAUAACAUAUAUAUGGAUACAGUCUAUUCCUCUACCUUAUAUAAAACAAUAAUAACACCAACUGGAGUCUAGGCGGCUGCCACAUCACCAUGUACGACAGACAACUAACAUUUUUCUUAUCUAUAUAUCGUUUGAGCUUUAAUUUGGACUGGUUCAUGGAAAUUGAAUAAUCAAAGUCUACUAAAGACGUCAAGAAAGGAAACGAGUAAAAUACAAACAUAGUCUAUCAAUGUUUAAUGCUUAAUGUAACGUUACGUGUUGGCUGUAUUAAUAGAAAUUCUCCGCAUCUGCCAAUAGGCUCGUAGCCCCUUGACAACACUCAUGCUCUCAAAUCUUGAGAGCAAUUAAUUCGUGGGACUCACUUUUUUCUGUCAGUAUAAUUAGAUAUGGGUAGAUUUUUUCCACUAAUAUAAAUAGAGCAUAUAUCCCUAACAAAUUUACGAAAUUAUCCAUCUGACUUUUAGGAAAUUAUACCAUUUCAGGACCCAAAAUUGCAUUUGAAUUUAUUUUAAAUUACAGCGCUGAGGACCAACAAAGUGUUGGCUCCACUGGCAAUGGAGUCCCCUUAAGUGGCUUGACUGGGUUUGCUCCCCAGUUCGAGUCGCAGGGAAGUCGCCUUUGUUGGGAGAACAUGUGCCUCCCGGUUCGAGCGGGGACUUCUAGUCUGGGUUGUGGUACGGGCUUAAAGGUGUCUCCCAUAGUUGGGGCCCUCCCCAGGAUACCUCGUGAUUAUAUCAAAAAAAAAAUUACAGCGCUGAGGAAACUUCUAAGAUUUGUACUUUUAUUUUCAUAACAAAUUGUUAAGCAACUUCCGUUUGUUGCGUUUUUAAUUAAUUUCAAUUUAAUCCUUAAUCUUCUCUGAAUUUCUUUUCUUUUUUUUCAGCUUAGGAGAGCAUAUUAACGCCUACAUAAAAGAAGCUAUAUACCACUGUAAAUAGAGUACUAUUAGUACAAAAUUAAUUCAAACUAGUGAAAAAGAUCACAAAUUUAUAAAGCCUUACUGUGGAAUGCUCAAUGUUGACUUAGGAAAAGGGUUUAAGAUCUAUAUUGAGAAUUGAUCAAGCAAUUUCAGCAUAGAGAUUACACACAUAUAUAGUAAACAAUUAAGAGUAAAUGGAAGGUUGAAUUUUACAAAACUAGCGACAAAUGCACCAAUAAACUAGACUUGGUGCUCUGACUCUAAAGGUGUUCUAUUUAAUUAGAUUCCCCUGUAGUGGUGUGAUUAAAAGAGAUGGAUAGAAAAGGUUAUUUUAACUUAAGAGGUGGACUUGACUAAAGUGUUCAUUAAUGACAUGACGUUGAGAAAGAAAGACUUAUUCUCUACAUACCUCUUAAUUUGGGCAAUCCUACAUCAGUAACUUUCAACUUUUUUUUAUUCUUCCCAUGGGUUUCAUUAUCAUAAUUGUGGAAAAAAAGUUGUUGUUUGGAGUUUUGCAAAAUUAGCCAUAAGUUCAUGCAUCAACUAGAUUCCAAAACAAUAUCAUCAGGCUCAGUAUAACAAAGGACUUGGUGCAUACUCUAAGUCCAAAUGAAUUAUAAUUAAUUAGAUUAUUUCAUCCUCAAUUUUAAACGUUAGUAUUGAUCAAUCUUAAAAGUAGAUUACCCAUAUUAACUUGCAGUAAACUAAUUAAGAAGUAAAUGGAUGGUCGAACAACCUGCUUAACAAAUCGAAACAGAGGAGGGAAAAAUAUGAGUCUAGCUGGCUGUUACAUCUCUUUUUACAUACAUAAAUAAAUAUCAAAAUUAUUAUUAAUUGGAUGCAGCUUCAGCUUUGGUGCUGGUUUGUGAAAAUUGGAAAAACUGGAAAAUUGAUAGCUCUUUCUCCUUUUGAAGAAUCAAAGUCUACUUUAAAUAAUAAUCCCCAUCAAUAUUUAAUGCUUGUUAUUGACUUUAAACCAGCGGCCGCUUUCAGAAAGAAAGACUUCAAUCGAAAAGUAAAUAGAUUCCCUCCUUUACUUCCACUUCAUGAGUUACAACUAACCAUUUCACUUCUAUAUAUGGUAAUUUCUCUUCUUGGGAUUUCAUCAGGAGAAAAAAAGGAAAAAAAGAAAAGAAAAGAAAAGAAAAUGGGAUAAUAUCACUCAGCCUUAUCAACUUUUGAUUUGCCUGCAGUUAUUGUUCUUGUAUUAACGAGGCUAUGUAUCAUUCAAUUAACUAAACACAUUUUGGUGAACAUACAACUGAAAUCAUUUUCACACAAUAACGUAGCAAAAAGCUACUACAUAUCACAAUGUUGACCACUGGGCUAAUCAAGCAUUUACCUUUCCUAAUACAAUUUAUCACAAAACGAUUAUCCCUUUUCAUAUUUUAAGUUCAGUAGUAAGAAAACAGUGUCCGUUUCAUAUUUUCAGUUAUUGCUCAAUCCCUUUACAAAAAAGUAUGUACAUUUACAAGGGAUAGAAGAUUUUGGUUUGACUUUGAUAUGACCAUAAAUACUAUUGAAAUUACAAGCUUUAGAAGUUCACAAAAUAAAUAUUGUAAAUUUAAGGGGGCUAAAUCAUAAGCUUUACAAAUAAGUGGAUUCAAUUUUAGUUUGUACCUUUAUCAGUUAAUCUAAUUUUCCAAUUUUCAAACCAAAAUUUAGUUUUUAAUUUUUUGAUUAAAUUUCUUUAGAAAAUACUCAACUAAAUACUAUUUAUAGUUAAAUAUUAGUUUGAAUGAACACAUUCAUAGAUAAUUGUGUAAGCAAUUUAUUUGGUUAAUUAAUGGUUGUAAUCUUUAAAAAUGAGAAUUACUAAUUUUAAAAAAUUCCAAUGGUUACUGUAUUAAAAGUAUGUUUGGAACAUAGCAUUGCAUAGUAUUAUAAUACUAUUCAUAUUAAUUUAUCGCUAACCUAUGUUUGGUAAUUUUAGAAGCCACAUUGUGGUGCAUGUGCACCAGAAUGUGCCAACUGUUGCCUCAAUUGAGAUGUUGAACAUAUUCUAAUUAUCAUUUAAUAAUAAAUAAAAUAAAAUAGAAGUUAAAUUAUAAUGUUUUUAUUUAAUAACACAAUAUUACAUUAUAUUUAUACAUUAGUAAUUAAUAUAAAAUAAUAAUUUAAUAACUAUUUUAAUAUAAUUAUUGGUAAAGUAAUAAUAAAUCUAAAUAAUACUAAUUUAAUAUUAGUACAAAAUUAACAAAGUACAAUUUAACGCUAAAUAUUAUACAAUAUUAUUAUAAUACAAUUCUAAUUCAAUAUCUCAUAAAGUGCAUUAAAAGACAUGAUACGGUAUAAGUGAAGAGUAAUGGAUUUUAGUUUGCAUUAACGUAUGCCCAUUACUAUAAACCAAUGGCCCAACACUUGGCAUGUCAAAGACAAAAACUAUCCAUACUGGCGCCACAUCAUCACUCAUUGUAAACUGAAAAGAAAAUUUUUGAUAAGAAAACAGUUGAAUAAUUGAAUUUCGAGUCUUUGGUGGACAUUAUCCUUUUUAUAGUAAAUAUAUCUUUGAGUUAAACAGUUACUAAAACAUUGGGGCUAAUUUUUCAUUUAACUACAAAAUUACUUUUAUUGGAACCCAUAAAACAAUUUUUAAGAGGUUAAUUAGUUAUGUCACAUCUUCAACUAUUGUCAAAUUAUUAUUCGAGUUCAUCAUUUAAGUGGUAAAUGCGUUACUUAAAACAUUUCAAAUGAUAUAUUAAACAAAUAUUUUGAGGAACAAGGCUCAUUAUGUCUCCUCUCAUUAGUUGUAUUUUUAAUUUCUUUUUAAAAAAUUCUCUCAUAUUCAAUUAAAAAAAAUCAGCCACUCAAAAAAAAAAAAAAAUACUUAGCUUCGCGGCUGAAUGGGGCUAAAUUAUGUAUUGUUUGACUAGCAAAACUCUUACCACAUCGGCUGCCCACGUCAUAUGUGCCCACUAAGUUUAUUAUGGUGAAGUCCAUGUCAACAUGUCAAAACUCGGCCACGUCAUCAACUACGUCAUCUCUCAACUAGUUAUAACGGAUGAUAACUUGGAUGAGCAAAACAAUUGAAUUGAGUCUCUUCACAAAAGUAGGACCAUAAUUAUAACUAAUUUAUAAAAUUUAUAUUACUUUAUUUGCAAUAUCGUUUUUAAUUAUGUCUAUAUUAGUAUGAAUCUUAAACUCAAGUUUUGGAUUAAUAGAAUCUAGUAUUAUUAAAGUCCUUUGGGAUAGACUAAUAAUAACUUAAUAUUAAAAAUAAUUUUCAUUAUUUAUGUUACCUUAUUAAUUAUACUUCUUGUUUUAUUUUAUUCCUAUCAGAAGCUAUUUAUUUAUUAUUUUUAUUUUAUUACUAUAUUUAUAUUUAUUUAGGUUAUUAUAAUCAAAGGUUAUAAUAGUUAUUUAUAAGGAGGGUCUAUGUGACCACCUAAGCAAACCUUAGGGCCGUGGUUACGGGGGUGGUCCUUUUUCCCUAAGCAAUAAUGUAUGAAAUGACCUUGAAUGUACUUAAAUCAUAUGCAACCUAUUUACUAUCUCUCUUUGAGAGUUUUUUUUUUUAUUGAAUAUUAGAUAUUGAGAGACUUAAUCAGAUGCGAUGAGCAACAUGUCACCUAAUUAUAGACUGGUGUGUUAAAAGCUUGGUCAAUUAUCAAGUAACACGUGGUAUCACGCACAAUAACAUACACGAUGAUGCACAUCUGAUCAUUCUUUUUGGAUAUCAAUUGAUCUAAGCCUACAAGUUCAACGUAUAGAGUACACGUAUUUACAGUAGAAUACAAAGUGUGUCAACUUGCUUAAUAAACUAAAACAUAAUCAAAAUAGAGGAGGGAAAAUGAACAGUGUGUCUAUGUAUGUGUAAUUGGAGUUUGGAUCUUACGGACUUAGUCGACUAACUUUCAAAUAACUUCAUUUGAUUCGCCAUUGGAUGAUAAAGGAGGUAUGUGUUAUAACAUGUAUAACUUCAGAUUUCGAAUUUCAACCCCAUUCCUAUGGAUGUGGAGAAAUUUGAAUAGUCAUAAAAUUAUAAAUGGAUGUGGAGAAAAUUGUAGUGAAGUAAUUAAGAAGUAAAUGGAAGGUCUAACAGCUUGCUAAGAAGCUGAAAUAGAAUCAAAACAGAGAAGGGAAAAUGAAUUUUGUCUGUGUAAAGUGUCCGUUUAAUGUCAGUUUGAACCAUGAGUUUCAUAGCCGUGGAAAAGAAAUUGAAGUAGUUUGGAAUUUUACUAAAUUGACCACAAAUUCAUGCACCUACUAGAUUCCAAAACCAUAUCGUGAGGCUCCCAGUAUAACAAGACUUGGUGCAUGCUCUAAGCCUAAAUGAAUUACAAUUAAUUAAGAUACUCCUCCUCAAAAGAUAGUAUUGAUGAAGCUUACAGUUAGAUUACACAUAUUAAUUUGUAGUCCACUAAUGGAAGGUCUAACAACUUAGCUUAACAAACUGUAACAGAGUCAAAACAGGGGAGGGAAGAUGAAUUGUGUUUGUGUAAAUGACUGUUAGUCUAGCUAGCUGUUACACCGGCAAAUAUGACAGAUAACGAACAUCUCGCCGAACUUAAGUAAAUAUCUAAAUGGUUAUUAAUUGGAUACAGCUUCAGCUUUUGGACUGGUUUGUGGAAAUUGAAAAAAUUUGAAAAGUGUUCCUCUUGAAGAAUCAAAGUCUACUUUAUACGUAAAGAAAGGGGAUCCCAGUAAAGAUAAUCCAUCAAUGUUCAGUGGAAUAAUUAAAAGUGAUUUUUUAAUUAUUCCACUGCCCAACAUGAGAUUCCAAAGCAAGACUUGGUUCCCUAAGUCAAUAAGUAUCGAGGGGUCCACACGCAUUUCCGCGAGGCAUUAAAUAUAUUUUAAUUAUAAUUAUAAUAAAUAAAAUAUAAAAUAAGUUAUAUUAUAAUAUUACACAAAUAGAUUACACAUAUUAUUCCUCCUCAUCUUUCUUAACAAGUAGAUUACACAUAUAUAUUAUCAAGAAGUAAAUGGAAGGCCGAACAACUUUUUUAACAAACUGAAACAGAAUUAAUGCAGAGGAGGGAAAAUCAAUUGUGCUUUGUGCAUAAUGUAUAUGACUGACUAACUAACUAAAUUAAUGGUGUUGGAUUAAUAGAUGGGAAGACGUUCAAGAAGCCACGUUGUCCGUACGAGAAGGAGCGUUUAGAUGCCGAGUUGAGGCUGGUGGGAAGUUUCGGGCUGCGGUGCAAGAGGGAGCUGUGGAGGGUUCAGUAUGCAUUGAGUCGGAUUCGCAACGCGGCGAGGGAUCUUCUCACUCUGGACGAGAAGGACCCUCGCCGCAUCUUCGAAGGCCAGGCCCUCCUUCGCAGGAUGUUUAGGUACGGCCUUUUGGAGGCGACUCAGCAUAAAUAACACAUAACUAAUAUCAUUCCGCGUCGAGCACGUCGUCAAGAUCUCCCUCUUGAAAGGAUUCCACUUACCACCUAAAUUCCAAAGCAAGAAGACUUGGUGCUGUAAGCCAAUAAAUAUUAUAUUAUUAAUUAAUUACACACCAUAUUCAACUUCUAUAAAUAGUCAUUAUAUCUCUCUCUCUUCUUGUGAUUUCAUCAUCCAGAAAAGAAAAAGAAAAAGAAAAUGGGUUAUAUCACUCAGCCUUAUCAACUUUUUAUUUGCCUCCAGUUAUUCCUCUUCUAUUCUCAGUGUUCAGCAAUACUUUGCUCUCACCACCAAAGUUCUGCUUUACUCCAAUUUAAGCAGCUCUUUUCCUUUGAAAAAGAUUGUUCAUCCGGUUGUGAUAUAUUUCAACAAAUAUCUCGUCCAAAGAUGAUGUCUUGGAAAGAGGACGCUGAUUGCUGCUCCUGGGAUGGAGUAACAUGUGAUUCGGUGACGGGUCACGUGAUUGGCCUCGACCUCAGUUGCAGUUGGCUUCACGGCAACAUCCCUUCCAACAGUAGCCUUUCCUUGCUUCCUCGCCUGCGAAAGCUCAACCUAGCCUUCAAUGAUUUCAAUUUCUCUAAAAUUUCUUCUGGUUUUACUAUUCAAUUUCCAAGUUUGACACUCCUUAACCUCUCUUUCAGCAAUUUCACGGGGCCAAUUCCUGCAUCACUAAGUAACAAUAUUACACAGCUUGCUUAUUUGGAUCUCUCAUCUAACAGUUUUAGUGGUCACAUUCCAUCAUCUUUUUCAAAUCUGCAGCAGCUUCGUCAUUUAGAUCUUCGGGGCAAUAACUUUGUUGGUGAAAUUCCUGCGUCAUUAGGUAACAAUAUCACACAGCUUGCUUAUUUGGAUCUAUCAUUUAACAGUUUUAGCGGUCAGCUUCCAUCGUCUUUUUCAAAUCUUCAGCAGCUUCGUCAUUUAGAUCUUCAGGACAAUAACUUUGUUGGUGAAAUUCUUGUGUCAUUAGGUAACAAUAUUACACAGCUUGCUUAUUUGGAUCUAUCAUUUAACAGUUUUAGUGGUCACAUUCCAUCAUCUUUUUCAAAUCUUCAGCAGCUUCGUGAUUUAGGUCUUGGGGGCAAUAAAUUUGUUGGUCAAAUUCCGGAUAUGUUUACCAACCUAACCCAACUUUCUUCUUUAAACUUGGCAGAUAAUCAACUGAUUGGCUCGAUUCCAAGUUCAAUCUUUGAACUUGUUAAUUUGACUGAGAUCUAUCUUUCUUUUAACAAUUUCAGUGGCAGCGUUGAGCUUUACGAUUUUGCAAAGUUCAAAAAUCUUAAAUAUCUUAUUCUUUCUAAUAUUAGUUUAUCAGUUAGCACCAAAUUAACAGUCAACUCGUCUUUCCCUAAUCUUUGGGUGUUGGGUUUAUCGGCUUGCAAUAUAAGUGAGUUUCCAGACAUCCUGAAAACUCAACAUCAGUUAGACUGGUUGGACCUUUCUGAAAACCAAAUCCGUGGUAGGAUUCCCAGUUGGAUGUGGGAUAUAGGAGUACAUACUUUGUUUCGCCUAGAUCUUUCACGAAACUUCCUGACAAGCAUAGACCAUCUUCCGUGGAAAAAUCUCGAAUUUCUUACCCUUGAUUCGAACCUACUUCAAGGAUCACUUCCAGAUCUACCACCUCACAUGGUACAGCUUUCAAUUUCCAACAAUAGUUUGACCGGAGAGAUUCCUUCAUCAUUUUGUAAUUUGAGUUCCAUUCAAUAUCUUUACUUAUUCAACAAUAGCUUGAGUGGACAAAUUCCACAGUGUCUUGGAAACUCUACACUUGAAACUUUAGAUCUCGGAAUGAACAACUUCCAAGGUAGCAUCCCACAGACAUAUGCAAAGGGCUGCAACUUGACUUAUCUUCGGCUGAGUGGCAAUCACUUGGAGGGACCAUUACCGCCAUCUUUGAUUAACUGUGUCAAUUUGCAAGUUCUUGAUGUUGGGAAUAACAACUUGAGCGGCCCAAUUCCAGAAUGUCUUGGAAACUCAACACGUUUGUCAUUUCUUGAUGUUGGGAAUAACAACUUGAGCGGCCCAAUUCCAGAAUGUCUUGGAAACUCAACAAGUUUGUCUUUUCUUGAUGUUGGGAAUAACAGCUUGAGCGGCCCAAUUCCGGAAUAUCUUGGAAACUCAACACUUGAAGUCUUGGAUAUGAGAAUGAACAAGUUCAGCGGCAGCCUCCCUCAAACAUUUGGAAAAAGUUGUGUUUUGGUAAGUCUUAAACUUAAUGGAAAUCGGUUGGAAGGACCAUUGCCUCCAUCUUUGGUUAAUUGUCGACAUUUAGAAGUUAUAGAUGUUGGGAACAAUCAGAUUAAUGAGACCUUUCCCCACUGGUUAGACGUUCUUCCCGAAUUGCAUGUACUUACAUUGCGUUCUAAUAGAUUUCGCGGUCCCAUUGGUGAUACCGAAACAAGAGUUCCUUUCCCCAAGUUGCGAAUAAUUGAUCUCUCUUACAAUCGAUUCACCGGUAUUUUGCCAAUAUGGUAUCUGAAUGGUUUUAAAGCCAUGAUGCACGGGGAUGUCAAUAGUAUUGAAGUCAAUUAUAUGAGGUCGUUGAAUUAUUCUUACUAUGAAUCAAUAUCUCUGACUAUGAAAGGCAAUGACAUACAAAUGGAGAGGAUUUUAACCACUUUUGCAACUAUUGAUUUGUCGAGCAACAGAUUUCAAGGGGAAAUAUCAGAAGUGUUGGGAAAGCUUAAUUCACUCAAAAGUCUUAACAUUUCUCACAACAACCUGACAGGUGGUAUUCCAUCGUCGCUAAGAAAUCUAACAGAGCUUGAAUCUCUAGACCUCUCUUCAAACAAGCUUGCUGGACGUAUCCCAACACAACUGGCGAGUCUCAAUUAUCUUUCGGUGUUGAAUCUUUCGAACAACCAGCUCGAGGGACCCAUACCAGGAGGACCCCAAUUUAAUACAUUUGGAAUUGAUUCCUAUUCUGGUAACUUGGGGCUGUGUGGAUUCCCAUUAUCAAAAAGCUGCAGGAUUGAUGAGGCACCAGAACCAACAACACCAACAGGAUUUAUCGAAGGAGACGACGCUUCAAGCUGGUUUGAUUGGAAGCUCGCUAUGUUGGGUUACGCAUCUGGAGUGGUGAUCGGCUUGUCCAUCGGAUACAUGGCAUUUGUGACUGGAAGGCCACAAUGGUUUGUAAGAAUGAUCGAAAGGAAGCAAUCCAGGAAGCUGAGAAGGGUGAUCAGUCGAGGCAGAGCUGGUAGAAGAAGUUUGUUGGUGCAUCUCUAAAGGCCCAGGUGAGUAAUUAUUAGUUUGUCUUUUGGAAUUAUAAGCUGGUUUCUACUGUUCUUUAAGUAGAUAGCAUGCUGAUAUUAUCGUAAUCUAACAGUUGACUUGCAAAAAUCACAAUCCUAAUUAAUUUCAAGUUAUGCUUAUUAUCAACAUCUAUAGUGAGAAACAAAAUGAGGAUAAUGUAUAAGAAAGAAAAUUUUAACUGAAUUAUUGAUGCGAUUGUUUUUACUUUUAUUGCCAUUUCAUUAGAACAUGUAAUCACGGACGUAUGUUUUGAUGGUAAAAUGAUUUGAAGUAAUAUUGUUGCAGGAAAUUGUGCGGGGGUAACUUUGGUUUGUAAUCAUGUACUUCAAAUUUGGGCGUAGAACAUGUUAUUUCAAAGUUUGUGAGCAGACAACGUUGUUUGCCUUUGGCUCAGUGAUAUCAAUUUAAAAACUCAGAGCUUAAUUAAUAACUCUAUUAAGUGUGUGCAUUGCCCUUCUUGGAUUGACAGCACUCAUCCCACACAUCUUCCCAUGCAAGGAUUUCCACUCAUCAAUUAGCAAAAAUUGAAAAACAUUAUAAUUAAAUGUGUGUGUGUACGUAUAUGAUUCAGCAGAGUACUCCUAGUCUUAAGUUGAACAUCAAUAAUUAAUUGAAAAACAUUAUAAGUAGAUGAGAUUACAAAUAUGAUCAAUGUUUAAUAAAAUCCACCAUCAAAAAAUGAAAAAGUCCUAAUUAAUGACUUUCAUUUUUUGAUCCUUCCAAUGAGUGCACAUAUAGCCGUGGAAAAGAAGCUAAAGUAUAUAGUCUGCAAUUUUACAAAACUGGCGACAAAUCAAUGCACCAACUAGACUCCAAAACAAGAUGACGAGUUACAUUUAGUAACAAGACUUGGUGCUGUAAGUCUAAAAGUAUUAUAUUUAUUAUUACUAUUUUUUUUAAAAGUGUUGUAUUUAAUUAGAUUCCCCUGUUUUGGUGUGAGUUAAGGAGAUGGCUACGAUAAGUUUUUUAUUCUCGUAAGGGGGACUUGAAUAAAGUGCUCAUUAUUAAUGGCUUUGAGAAAGAAAGACUUGUUCUAUAUAUCCCUCUUAAUUUGAACAAUCUUUCUUCAGCAACUUCCAACCUUUUUUUAUGCUUGCCAUGGGUUUCGUAGCUGUGGAAAAGAAGUUAAAGUAGUUUGGAAUUUUAUUAAAUUGGCCACAAAUUCAUGCAACUUUCAACCUUUUUUAUGGAUUCCAUUGGUUUCAUAGCAUGGAAAAGACGACAGACAACUAACAUUUCUCUUAUCUAUAUAUCGUAAGUGUUAUAACAUAUAUAUGGAUACCGUUUAUUCCUGUAACUUGUAUAAAACAAUAAUAACAACAACUGGAAUCUAGGCGGCUGCCACAUCACCAUGUAUGACAGACAGCCACAUCACCAUAUAUCAUUUGACCUUUAAUUUGGACUGGUUAGUGGAAAUUAGAAAAACUCGAAUAAUCAAAGUCUACUAAAGACGACAAGAAAGGAAACGAGUAAAAUACAAACAUAGUCUAUCAAUGCUUAUGCUUAAUGUGACGUUGCGUCUUGGCUGUAUUAAUAGAAAUCCUCCUCAUCUGCCAAUAGGCUCGCACCCUGUUGACAGCACUCAUGCUCUCAAAUCUUGAGAGCAAUUAAUUCGUGGGACUCACUUUUUUAUAUCCAUAUAAAUAGAGCAUAUAUCCCUCAAAAAUUUAUGAAAUUAUCCAUCCGACUUUUAAAUUAUACCAUCUCAGAGCUGAUGAGUGACAAGAUGAACAACGUUACUCAUUGCCUUUGAAUAUCCAUCCGACUUUUAGGAAAUUAUACCAUUUCAAGACCCAAAAUUGCAUUUGAAUUUAUUUUAAAUUACAGCCCUGAGGAAACUUCUAAGAUUUGUACUUUUAUUUUCAUAACAAAAUCCUAAGCUACUUCCGUUUGUUGCGUUUUUAAUUAAUUUCAGUUUACACCUUAAUCUUCUCUUAAUUUCUUUUCUUUUUUUUCAAACUCGCCAAUUGCGUUGCAAUGAUGCAAUCAACCCAAUAAGCUUGUUUGACCAGAGGUCUAAAGAUUCAAGUAAUGUUAGAUUUUCCAACAAUAAUGGAGCGCCACCUAUCAAGUUGUUGUGAGACAUUUGAGUGAAUUAAACUUUCCCACUAUUUACGGAAUUUCCCCUUGAAAUUGAUUGCUCAACAAAUGAAUUGACAUGAAAAUGGUUAGAAUCAUCUGUAUUUGUUGGUCUAUUCCUUCCAUGAUCAAACUUAUCAAUUCAUAGUAGGAGUUGAAAUCUUUAAGCCUCAUAAAUUUUGCUUAAUGAUCAACACAAUUGUUAUCUCCAUAUAUCAGGCUUUAAAAUUAUCAAGAUACUGAAUUGGCAAAACACGAGUCAGUUGAUUGUGAGAGCGAUCAAUUAUUUACAGCUUUGAAAUAGGAACUCUUGUUUGGGUAUGACCAAUGGGACUGCAAAUCAGUUAGAUCGUAAUAUAAUUACUUGCAAUUUAGGAAGAAUUUCUAACCAAUGAGAAGAGGUAUCAUUAACAUGAUUGUUCACAAUAUCAAAAAUUUCCAAAUGCUGAUAGUUAACCAAAGAUUGAGGCAAUAGUCCUUCCAACUGAUUGCUAUUAAGGUUAAAACUUAGGAAGUCACAGCUUUUUGCAAACAUUUGAGAAAUGCUGCAAAGAGUUGUAAUUUGAGAAAUCUUUAACCUUAAUGACAAUCAAUUAGAAGGAUUAUUACCUCUCUCUUUGGUUAACUGUUGGCAUUUGGAAGUUUUUGAUAAUAAAAAUGAUCAUGUUAAUAAUAUCUUUCUUUAUUGGUUAGAAAUUAUUCAUAAAUUGUAAGUGCUUAUAUUACGAUCUAACCAAUUUCGUGAUCCCAUUGGUCAUAUUAAAACAAGAGUUCCCUUCCCCAAGUUGGGAAUAAUUGAUCUCUCUCAGAAUUAACUCACUGGUGUUUUGCCAACUCAGUAUCUUGAAAAUUCUAAAGUCAUAAUGCGUGGGGAUAACAAUAAUGUUGAUUUCAACUCUUACUAUGAAUUAAUAAUUUUGACCAUAGAAGGAACCGACCAACAAAUGGAGAGGAUUCUAAUCAUUUUCAUGCCAAUUGAUUUGUCGAACAAUCAAUUUCGAGGAAAAUUUUAGAAGUGGUGAGAUAAAUUAAUUCACUUAAAUGUCUUAACAUUUUUCACAACAAGCUGACAAGUUGCAUUCCAUCAUUGUUGGGAAAUCUGUCAGAGCUUGAACGUUUUGACUUCUUCUCAAACAAGCUUAUUGGGCUGAUUCCAAUGCGAUUGGCGAGUCUGAAAUUUCUUUUCUUGCUAAAUUUUUUGUACAGCCAGCUUGAGGGACAUAAACCUCAAGGACCUCAAUUAACUACAUUUUCAAACGAUUUUUAUACUGUAAACUUGAGGUUGUGUGGUUUUCAUUAUCACAAAGCUAACAUUGAGACAUUAGAAUUGUUACUAACAAGAUUGGAUAAAAGAGAUAGUAAUUCGAGCUGGUUUGAUUGGAAGUUCGCUAAGAUGACCAAUGAACCUGGUGGCCUAUGGCAUGACACAUGUACAACACAUGGCAUAAUACAGGCAGAGUUUCAGUAGGGCACCAGAACGACAUGUGUCCGUACAACACGGUAUGAGCACAUUUUGAUAGGGCAUGUGGCACGACAUUACAUGGCACGUACGCGGGUUGAGCUAGGCUGGAUUAAUAAUUUUAGGUACAUGUGCUUAACAAGCACAAUACGAUUAGAGAUAGUAUAAAACACAACACAUGAAAAGGUCCGCAAUAAGAACGUUUAUCUGUUGGGCUAGCAUACGGCUUGCAGACCAUCAAUAACAUGUGGGCCAAUACAUAUUUUAGUAUUUUUUUUUUAUGAAAGUAAAAUUGAAAUUUUAUGAUUUUACAAAUAAUUUAAAUUUGAAUCUUUUUAUCUAUUUCAUUAGCAUAGUUUUUUAAAAAUUCAUUUAAUUCUUAGUUUUAAAAAAAUACUCUAAUUGUUUUACAUUUAUAAUUUACUAAAUGAAUAGAUGAUCAUGAUUUUAAAAAAUAAAAUUAUAAAUAUCAUGAUUUCAUAAAUGUAUGCAGUAAUGUGAUUAUUGAUACGAAAAUAUAGAUCAGCAAUAAGAGUUGAAAAAAAAUUAUUUACUUAGGGAACAAGUUGAGAGAGUUUGAUAUACUCAUAAUUGCCAUUAUUGAGAGUGAAAAGCUUGAUAAUCGGAAUUUUUUAAAACAAUAAGCCAUCAGGAUUCGCUUGGGGGUGUUAUCGUUGUAGACCCUCCGAUACUUAAGUUAAAGAUUAAAAAUAACAUGAUAAUAAAUAAAUAAUAAGAGAAAAAAGAGAAUAAGAGAAUAAAUAUUGUCAUACAAUAUACAUAUUUCGCAUGUAUCUUUAUAUGUAUACACACACACAGAGACACACACCUUUGAGUGAUGAUCUCUUUAUAUAAGAGUGCUAAUAAUAAAAAGUGUUUAAAUUUUAAAUUAUAAAUACCAUGUAAAUAUUGAAUUAAAAAAUAAAAUUAUAAAUACCAUGUAAUAGCAUUGCAGUUUCGUUGGCCAUCGCCUUGAAUUUAAAUUUUAAAAGAACCAAAGAAACAUAGUAAAUGUAAAAAUAACAUAAAAUAACAAAGCUUGAAGAAGUUUACUUCUUUACUUCUUGCAUUUUCAAACUCUACUAUUUUAGGGCUCAAAAUCACUUUCUAUUCUGCAUUUUAUAAAACUAGAAAUUAAAAAUACAAAAUUCUAUGGGAAUGUCGUGUGAUGCGUGGACACUGGGUAGAUAUUCACUGUUUAUAUCUCAGUGCCUUUUUCCUCACCCCUUAUGAGUAAGCUUUGAAUUAGGUACCCAAUUUGUCCAAGAGUUAGCGAGCCAAUGAUCACUCAUUCACUCUAAUUAGAUAUUUAGUGGAUGAAAAUUGAUUGGACGUAAAAGAAAAUGCAGAUGAAUAAUCGAAAUAACUUUCAAGUCCAAAAAAGCUUUGACUUACUUGAUGAUGUCUUGUUAUGAUCACCAAAUGGCUCAGUCUGUGCCGCGUCAACAUGUGAAAACUCAUCCACGUCACCAGCCUCAGCGCUCUCGCCACGUCAUCACUCAAGCGGUUGUAACUGAUGAUAAUUUGGAUAAGAAAAACAGUUGAAUUGGGUCUCUUUUCAACGGGAGAGCACCAAAGACAGAGAAACCAAAAUGGCGCGAGCUUUGCUUCGUUUGAAUAGCACGGCCACGGUCAUAAUGGCCAGUGCUACAAGUGCUACUAAAGAGACAGUUCUUGACGGAGCUCACUUUCAAAUGAAGAACCGAAAUGCCCGCGUUUUGGUACUUGGAGGUACGGGUCGGGUCGGUGCAUCCACUGCAGUUGCUCUCUCGAAGCUCUACCCCGACCUUCAGAUUGUAGUUGGCUCUCGAAACAGGUUAAAUAAUUAAUACCCUUUUCUUUCUUCUGUUUGGUUACCAAAAAAAGCAAGAAAUAAAGGAGGGAAAAUUUUCAAGCUUUGUUAUUUUUUAAUUUUUUUUGCGUUUACUAUGUUUCUUUGGUUAUUUUAAAAUUUAAAAUUCAAGGUGAUGGCUACUGGUAAACUGCAAUGCUUUUACAUGGUUCUGAAAGCACAUUUCUAAACAGUCACUCAACGACAAGUGAUUAUCAUGUCCCACAGUUGUAGAUUAGGGCUCCAAUUGGUAGUGAUGUUGUGCGGUCGUGGCUUGUUAAGACACAUCUACUCUUAAAUGAGAGCUGCUGUGAAACGAGAGCUCUAGUUAUGAAAUAAAAGUUCAUAGUGUCUGGUAAAUGCUACCUUAAAAUAAUCAUUUUGACAAAAAUAGUAAAGCUAAUAUAGGUCAGGCAAUUGUGGGUAAAAUCGUCAUAAUUUUCAAACUGUGAUUGUGAGUGUUUACCAAAUACUUUAAAGUUGUGAUUAGAUGGUAAUAAAAAAAGAGAACCUAAACAGUCCAUAAUAAUAUUGCCAAUGAGGCAAAAAUUGUAAUUCUCUCUCUUUUUGGUUUUCCUAAACAUUUGAAAGGCUGUUUUUGUUGAUUGAUAUGCUUUGACUGUGGUAUGUUAAUAUUUAGAAUGCUGUCAAACAUGCUAGUUCUUGGAUGGAACUAUGGGGACAUGGAGUUGUAAAUUCAAGUAGUUAUGGCUGGAAUAUUUCCUAAUUUACAGUGUUGCUGAGAAAAUUUUGCAUACCGCCAGGGAAAAAGGUGCUGCAAUGGUCUCUACAUUGGGGAAGAAUUCUGAAUUUGCUGAAGUUAACAUUUACAAUGAAGGCUCAUUAUUAAUGGCUUUAAGAGGUGAGAUCAUUCCUCACUGACUAGAUGUAUCUUCUAUUGUUCCACAUCAAUAAUUCUUUUUCUUCUAGAGUCGAAGUAAAGGGAUUUUUUUUUUAUUUUGCAGCGGAUAUUUCGUUAUUGACAAUAUUUUGAUGAUAUUUUAGUCUGUAUGUUAAAUGCUGUAACUUUGCUUCGUCAGAUGUGGAUCUUGUGGUUCAUGCAGCAGGACCUUUUCAACAGGCACCGAAAUGCACUGUAUUGGAAGCUGCCAUAGAGACCAAGGUGAGGAAAGGUAAAUGUUGUGUUUGAAUAUCUCUUUUCCAAGUCCAGUUUUCUAUGUUUUGUAUAUGUGAUAAUUGAAGCAUGUAUACAACUUUACUAUGUACCCAAGAUGUAAACUUAUGUGUUCUUUUUUGUGUCUCCUAACAGACAGCAUACAUUGAUGUUUGUGAUGAUACCAUCUACUCCCAGCGUGCAAAAUCCUUCAAGGACAGAGCAAUAGCUGCAAACAUUCCAGCCAUAACCACUGGAGGAAUCUAUCCAGGAGUGAGCAAUGGUGCUUUUAUGAACAUGAACAUUCUUGUCCUGCUAUCCGCACUUCUAGCACUGUAAAUGAUACGAUUAAGUGAAGAAUAAGGAUAGAGUACUAAUUCUUUAAUUGAAACAUGUGCAGACUACCAAUUCUUGCUUUAGAGCUAAAACUUAAUUGUUGGUAAACUCAUCGACCUGGCUCCAAAGUUCUUAUAUAUGGGUGCACAUAUUGGUUUGACAGAUAGCUUUAGUGACUUUAUAUCAUUAACUUGAGUAUUGCAACUAAGAUAAAGCUCAAAGCUUUCUUUGACAAAGUCUUCAAAAUCUUGAGCUACUUGCACGACAUAAUGAUUUGAAGAAAUAAUAAUGUUGAUGUAGGAAAUGGUGUGGGCAACUUUUAUUUGUUUGUCUUGGGCCAGUAUGUUGGAUUUGGAAAUAUUGGAAGCUUGCAACGAUACAAGAAUCAUUCACCGCCUGCAGACAGCUAUGAUCCAUAUAUGCGAUUUUUGCCAUGUUUAUUUUUCAUAAGAAAUUCAAAUGCUACUUCAGAUUCUAUUAAUAAAUCCCGAAUUCUUGUACAUCCAAAUUUCAUUGUUUCAUGAUUUAUCAUAAUCCAAUAAAGUCUUGAAUGCUUGUACCAAUUCAAAGGUUAGUUGUGGAUCAACAAAAAGAAAUAAAAUGUAUGGGGCUGGACACAUGUCCUAUAUAUAUAUACCAGUUAAUUUUUUUGCCAAGAUAUCUCCACUGUUGGUUAUCUGCUUGAGUCUGAAGCAAUUGUCAACAUUAUAUUGUCUCCAAUAAAUACCUUGAUUGCAUAAAUCAAGCACUUGAUUACUAGCGUAAUCUUGGGGCUAGCUGUAUACUUAUUGUAAAAUACCCAAAUUAUUGGGAUUGAUUAUUCUACUUACCUUGUACAGAAUUAUUUUACAACUAUAAGAACUGGUAUGUCUCAACAAAUUGGGAGAACCUUUUUUCCAAAAAUUAUUUGUCUCUUUUGUUCUCUUUUAUUUGAUAUGGUAUCAGAGCUAUGCAUGUAUAAGAGAAAAUCUUGAAAUUUCUUAUAACAUCAUAGCAAGUUGUUGUGUUGUUCGCGGAUAGAGAUAUCAACUUUCAUUCGUGGAAAUUGAGAUCUUAUUGUUGCAAUCUUGAUUGAGAGUUUGAAUCGUGUCGGUGGGACAUCUUGGGUAAGUGAACAUUUUCUUUAUUCUAGUGUUUAAAAUGUCACAAUCAGAAACCUUGGGUAUCAAAUUAGAUGGGAAAAACUAUUUCUCUUGGGAAUUUCAAUUUCGCAUGUUUGUGAAAGGAAAAGACUUGUGGGGUUAUGUUGAUGGGUCUGAUUCUAGGCCACAAGAAGGAACUGAUAGUGUGAAAAUAAAGGAAUGGGAUUCAAAUAAUGCUAAAAUAAUUAGUUGGAUUUUGAGCUCUGUUGAUGCUCGUAUUGUUCUUAGUUUGAGGCCUUUUCGUUGUUCUAAGGAUAUGUGGAAUUAUUUAAAAAAAAUUUACAAUCAAGAAAACUCUGCUAGAUGUUUUCAACUUGAAUUAGAGCUGUCUGAAUAUAGUCAAGGGAACUUGUCAAUACAAGAUUAUUAUUCUGGUUUUUUAAAUCUAUGGGCUGAAUACCAAGAAUUGGUUUAUGCUACUGUUUCACAAGAGGGGCUGUCUACUUUGCAACAAGUGCAUGAAGUGUCUAAACGAGAUCAGUUUCUUAUGAAAUUAAGGCGUGAUUUUGAACCUAUUCGUGCCAAUCUAAUGUCCAGAAUUCCUUCUCCAUCUUUGGAUAUAUGUCUUGCUGAACUUCUUCGUGAAGAACAACGAUGUAUAACUCAAUCUGUUCUUGAAAUAAAGAAUAAUCAGGUAUCUAAUCCAAUGGAGGUGGCAUUUGCAUCGCAAGCACAUGCAAGGGACAUGAGCAAAGUGCAAUGCUAUAGUUGCAAAGAAUUUGGACAUAUAGCCAAACAAUGCAAAAAGAAAUUUUGUAACUAUUGCAAGAAACCUGGACAUGUGAUUGAUGAAUGUCGACGACGGCCUCAAAAUAAAAAUCCUCAAGCCUUGCAAACUACUAGCUCAAAUUCACAUUCAGAACCUAGUUCCACAAGCCUUACUCCUGAAGUGGUACAACAGAUGAUUUUUUCAGCAUUAUCAGCUCUUGGUGUUUCAGGUAAAAAUGCUUCUUCAUCUCAUUGUUACAUUGAUUCUGGUGCUUCCAACCAUAUGACACCUUCAUCCACAUCUCUUGUCAAUGUGAAACCAUCCUUGGGAAAUUUAGAAAUUCAAACAGCAAAUGGAGAAAGUGUUCCUGUUAAAUCAAUUGGUGAUAUUCCACAUACUUUGCCUUUAACUAAUGUAUUUCAUGUGCCUUGUUUAACUUCGAGUCUUAUUUCUGUUGGGCAAUUGGUUGAAGAUAAUUGUACAGUUUUUUUUUCAAAAUCUGGUUGUAUUGUACAGGAUCAAGAAACGGGGAAAGUGAUCGGGAAGGGACCUAAAUGUGGAAGACUGUUUACUCUAAGCUUGCCUGGCUAUCUCAAGAAUAAAGCCUUGUUCUCUUCACAUUAUUCUACUUUCAUUUCUCUUUUUCAAUUGUGGCAUAAACGUUUGGGUCAUCCAAAUACCAAAACUUUGUUAUCGUUGAUAAAGAGUCGAUUGAUUUCUAAUAAAGAUUUUGUUAAUUCUUCAGAUGUGGUAUUUAAUUGUGAUAGCUGUAAACUUGGUAAAAGUAAAACACUGCCUUUUCCAGUACAUCAAAAUAAUGUAAAAAGUUGUUUUGAUUUGAUUCAUACAGAUGUUUGGGGACCAUCUCCUUUUCCUUCUCAUUCUCGUAAGAAAUAUUUUGUUUCCUUCAUUGAUGACUAUAGCCGUCACACAUGGAUUUAUUUUUUACAUAAUAAAUCUGAUGUAUUUGAUGCCUUUAAACGUUUUCUUGCAUAUACAAAAAAUCAAUUUUCCACUUCUAUCAAAAUCUUAAGAUCUGAUUCUGGAGGGGAAUACAUGUCUAAUGAUUUUCAAAAUUUUCUUCAAAAUGAAGGAAUAAUAUCUCAAAAAACUUGCCCAGACACUCCUCAGCAAAAUGGAAUAGCUGAAAGAAAAAAUCGACAUCUUUUGGAUGUUACUCGUGCUUUGCUUCUUGAUGCAUCUGUACCUUCUCAUUUUUGGGUGGAAGCCUUGUCUACAGCUGCAAACUUGAUUAAUUGUAUGCCAUCAUUUAACCUUUAUAAUGAGUCUCCAUAUUUCCGUUUGCAUAAUAAACAUCCUGAUUAUACUCAAUUACGUGUUUUUGGCUGUCUUUGUUAUUGUCAUCUUCCUGCAUCAGAUAGAAAUAAAUUGACUGCACAAUCUGCAAGAUGUGCAUUUCUUGGGUACGCAUCUGAUCGCAAAGGUUUCCUUUGUUAUGAUCCCAAAGCUCGUCGUACUCGCAUAUCUCGGAAUGUUAUUUUUGUUGAAAAUAUUUAUUUUUUUCAAAAUACCCAUGUCACUACUUCUUUAUCUCCAUGUUCUAAUCUUCAUGACUUUGAUAGUGAUAUUCCUAACAAGGCAAGGUUUAAUCUUGGGAUAGAAAGUGAGCAACGAGACAAAACUAACAGUGAAGAAACAGAGGGUCCUCAGCGAGAAUCUUCCUUAUCUCUUGAUCCAAGCCCUGAAACACAUGAUCCAAGUCUUGAAACACAUGAGUCAAACACAAUAUCCGCUGCACCUCCAUUACGAAGAUCUAGUAGACAAAUCAAACCACCUGACCGCUUGUCUCUUGUGGCCACAUUGUCACCUAUGAGUAUUCCAAACUCUUAUUCCCAAGCCAAACAAUAUUCACAUUGGCAGGUUGCAAUGGAUGAAGAGCUAGAAGCGUUAAGAAGAAAUCAUACAUGGGAUAUUGUCUCUUGUCCCGCUGGUUGUACACCAAUCGGGUGCAAAUGGGUUUACUCUAUCAAACAAAAAGCUGAUGGUUCUUUGGAUCGUUAUAAAGCUCGUUUGGUUGCUCUUGGGAAUUGGCAAGAAUAUGGUAUAAACUAUCAUGAGACUUUUGCUCCAGUGGCCAAAAUGACCACAGUUCGCAUUUUGUUAGCGAUUGCGGGUUCACAAGCAUGGCCUCUUUUUCAAAUGGAUGUAAAAAAUGCAUUCUUGCAUGGAGAUCUACAAGAAGAAGUCUACAUGAAGCUUCCGCCUGGAGUAAGCUCUAAUUCAAAAGCUCAAGUAUGUCGUCUACGACGUUCUCUUUAUGGGCUUAAACAAGCACCACGUUCAUGGUUUACAAAGUUUGGUCAAAUACUGCAUCAGUUGGGUUUUCACCAGAGCUCUAAUGAUCCUUCUAUGUUUAUUCGACGUUCAGCUGCUAGUAUCAUUAUUCUUCUUGUUUAUGUAGAUGAUAUAAUUAUUACGGGGACUGACACAUUUGGUAUCCAGCAAUUUAAGGAGUCUUUGCAUUCAUAUUUUCAAAUGAAAGAUCUUGGCAAUCUCACUUAUUUUCUUGGCCUUGAGGUAUAUCAUUCAAGUGAAGGCAUCUACGUCCAUCAGCAUAAAUACACAAAAGAUUUAAUUGCUUUGGCAAGACUUGAAGAUUCAACGGUCAUAAACACUCCACUUGAGAUCAAUGUUAAAUAUUCGAAAGAUGAUGGUGACUUGCUUUCUGAUCCUACACUAUAUCGGAAACUAGUUGGGAGUUUGAUUUAUUUGACGAUUACCCGACCAGACAUCUCUUAUGCAGUGAACUUAAUGAGCCAAUUUAUGCAUGAGCCUCGACAUUUACAUCUUUCAGCAGUUAAAAGAAUAAUCCGUUAUUUGCUUGGGACUCCUAAUCGUGGACUAUUUUACAAGGCUAGCUCCCCUCUUGUUCUCAAAGCUUAUAGUGAUGCUGAUUGGGCUGGGUGUUCAGACUCUCGUCAAUCAACUACAGGUUGGUGUAUGUAUCUUGGUGACAGUCUUGUCUCUUGGAAAUGCAAAAAACAAGAGAGGGUGUCUAAAUCCUCUACUGAAGCCGAGUAUAGAGCUAUGUCGGGUGCUUGUUCUGAAAUCGUAUGGCUACGACGACUUGUAUCUGAAUUGGGUUUUCCUCAAGCGUCUCCAACGCUAUUGCAUGCUGAUAACAAGAGUGCCAUACAAAUUGCUGAAAAUCCUGUAUUUCAUGAAAGAACUAAACAUAUUGAGGUUGACUGCCACUAUAUUCGAGAUGCUUAUGCUGAUGGUACCAUUCAAUUACCUCAUGUGUCCACAACAUUUCAAAUUGCAGAUAUAUUUACAAAGUCCCUGACCAAGAUACGGCAUCAGUUCUUGGUUGGCAAAUUGAAGCUUGUUGAUUCACCAGCAUCAAUUUGAGGGAGGCUGUCAACAUUAUAUUGUCUCCAAUAAAUACCUUGAUUGCAUAAAUCAAGCACUUGAUUACUAGCGUAAUCUUGGGGCUAGCUGUAUACUUAUUGUAAAAUACCCAAAUUAUUGGGAUUGAUUAUUCUACUUACCUUGUACAGAAUUAUUUUACAACUAUAAGAACUGGUAUGUCUCAACAAAUUGGGAGAACCUUUUUUCCAAAAAUUAUUUGUCUCUUUUGUUCUCUUUUAUUUGAUAGCAAUAACAGAAAAAAAAUAGAAAAGAAAACAAUGACUAAUAUGACUAGUUAUUAUUAAAUUAGUCGUUAAAUAGUUAUUUAUUCUUAUUACGAUAAUUGAGGCAAUAAAUUGCACAUUCUUGUUUAAUUUUGAGUUCUUCAUUGAUAACGUUCAAAUUUUUAUUUUUUAUUUGAUUUUUUUUCCUAAUUUUAGGGGGGAGAAAAGGUAAAGAAUGAGAGAUUAUUUAAUAAAUUAAAUUUAGAGCACAAGCACAGAAGCAUUAAGCUCCUGCUAAACUGUUGUUCGACUUGCAAGUUUUUGGAUCAAAUAAUAAAGUUUGUGCCUUGAGAAGUUAGCUCAUGGCUGGAAUGUUAUUUCUAAUCUAGAGCUAGCGUCCUGAGACAACAGAAGUUAACAUUAACAAUAGAAGACUCAAUUGGUAGACAUUAUUCUUUUACACUAAAUACACAAUUGAGUUCACAGCUAUUCAAAAAAUGGGGCAGUUUUUUAUUUAAUUACAAAAUUACCCUUAUUGAAACCCAUAUAAGAGUAUUUAUAUUAAUUAGUUAUAUUGCUUCUUCAACUAUCAUCAAAUUCUUAUUCGAGUUCAUCAUUUAAGGAAUAAAUGUGUACUAAAUAAUCUCAAAUGAUGUACUAAGCAAAUAUUUUGAGAAAUAAGACUCAUUAUGGCUCCUUUCAUUAGUUGUAUCUUUAAUUUCUUAUUAAUGAAAUUCUCUCGCAUUGCCCAAAAAAAUAUUGUUAGCGUCACCAUUGAAAGGGGCCAAAUUAUGUAUUGUCUGACUAGUGAAACUCUUAUCAUAUCUGCUAAUACGUAUCAGGAAAAUUAUAUUGUUGCAGGAAAAUAGAUUUUCCAAAAAUCUGUCCUUUGGCCGACCGAUCCUAUAUGAUCCUUGUUCAAAUUGGCCCCGUGUGUGGCACGUCAACAUGUCAAAACUCGGCCACGUCAUCAACUUCGCAAAAUUCUCGCCACAUCAUCACUGAACUGGUUACGACGGAUGAUAAUUUGGACAAGCAAAACAGUUGAUAAUUACAAAGAGGGAACACUAAAGGCAGACCAAAGUGGCGCGAGCUUCGCUUAUUUGUACCAAGUAAAUGAAUUUUAGCUGAAAAAAAAGUAGGCCCAUAAUUAUAAAGCAAUGGCCCAGUACUAUACACGUCAUUACAAAAAAAAAAAAAAAAUCGAAACAGAGCUCAAUUUCAAACGAAGAUCCAAAACGCCAGCAUUUUGGUGCAGCCGUUGCUCAGAGUUUUUUCUUUUUAUAUGCCGAAGAAGUGCUUAUUUUCCAAAUAUAUAUCCCUUCUUUCCAUUUAUUCACUUAUAUACGACAAAUUCACCUGCAUAAAGAUUGAAAUACUCUCAUUUGUGAAUUACAAGUUGCAAAUUUUCUAUUUCAAGAUGAAGUUCAUUUACCUGUUCUUUACCAUCUUCAAAAUUUUCCUCUCAUUUUUAUUUCACUUUCUCAACUUCAAAAUUUACCUGCAUAAAGAUUUCUGAUUUCGAAUUAGAAUUGUGAUUCUUCACUUUCUGAUCCUUCCUAUGAGUUUCAUGGCUGCGGAAAAUGUAGAAGUACUAGUUUGAGAUUUUAUAAAUUGUUCAAAAAACCUCUGUCCAAUAGAUUAUAAGGAUAAGCAACAAGACUUGGUGCUCAAAAGUCUAAAAGUAUUAUAAAGACUUGGUAACUCUCUUAUUCACCUGCAUGGCAUAUCUGUUCUUGUGCCUUCAAUAAGAAAAAAGAUAGUAUGGAUUAUUUAACUCAGCCUUUUCAACUUUUGAUUUGCCUCCAGUUAUUGCUCUUAUAUCUUCAGUGGACUUGACUGAAAUGCUCAUUAAUGACUAGAAAAAAUUAUCUUAACUUAUAAGGUGGACUUGACUGAAAUGCUAAUUAAUGACUUUGAGAAAGAAAGACUUGUCAAGUUUUUCUAUACAUACCUCUUAAUUUGGACAUAUCUUAGGUCACUAACUUUCAACUUUUCUGAUCCUUCCCAUGAGUUUCACUAUCAUAGCCGUGGAAAAGAAGUUUGGAGUUUUACAAAAUUGGGAAAAAAUAUUAAUUAAGAUUACUGCUCCGCAAUUCAUGCAAUUGACCAGGAGAAAAGAUCACUUUAGAGCCUUAUAGGGGGAAGGGAUUGAAGGAAAGAUGCCUUUCUAUUUUAAGUUCAGUAGUAAGAAAGAGCAGGCAACUUGGCAUAAGUUUUCAGCUUAAGUUCAUACAGUUGACCAGUUACAUACAUAUAUGAUGACUUAAAAUAUCUGAGAGUUCGGGUUUCUUUUAGUAUAAACGCAUCUGCUUUUGGACAGGUUCGUGGAAAAACUAGAAUAUGUUUUUGAUUUGGUAAAUUAUGUAUUGUUUUGACCAGUUACAUACAUAUAUGAUAACUAAUGGAAGGUCUAACAACUUAGCUUAACAAACUGUAACAGAAUCAAAACAGGGGAGGGAAGAUGAAUUGUGUUUGUGUAAAUGACUGUUAGUCUAGUUAGCUGUUACGCCGGCAAAUAUGAUAACGAACAUCUCGCCGAACUUAAGUAAAUAUCUAAAUGGUUAUUAAUUGGAUACAGCUUCAGCUUUUGGACUGGUUUAUGGAAAUUGAAAAAAUUUGACAAGUGUUCCUCUUGAAGAAUCAAAGUCUACUUUAUACGUGAAGAAAGGGGAUCCCAGUAAAGAUAAUCCAUCAAUGUUCAGUUACAUUCGAGCGUGUUGACUACUUUUAGGAUGAAAGACUUCUAUUGUCCCAAGGAGUUUUACGAGGUCCAUACACAGAGCUGCAAACAGCGUAAGUUACACUCCCCUUAUGCAACAUUCAAAUGAAAUCCAUACAAUCAUGCAAGUCAAAUCAAUACAUACUGAAUAGCUUACCUCAGAAUCUUCACCUGCUGACGCGAGAAUGUUUAGAACCUUUGAGGAUGCAAGGCCAGUUACACUCCCCUUAUGAACAAAUUCAGUGGCAGCCUUCCUCAAACAUUUGCAAAAAGUUGUGUCUUGACAAGUCUUAACCUCAAUGGUAAUUGGUUGGAAGGACCGAUGCCUCCAUCUUUGGUUAACUAUCGGCAUUAUAAGCUGGUUUAUGUAUUGUUCAUGGAGUAGAUAACCAGCUGAUAUGUUUCAUAUUCUAACAGUUGAUAUACAAAAAUCCCAAUUCAAAUUAUGUUUAUAAUCAGCGUCUAUAGUCUAUAGAGAGAAAGAAAAUGAGGGUCAUACAUAAGAAAUCAAUGAUAGGACGUGUUCUCUUGAUCAGGAAUUUUAGACUUUUGGAAGCUAGUAGUGGAAGUCAAAUAAUCUCCAGGUACCAAAAUAUGUUUUGCUUUCAUUUCCAUUGCAUAAGAACAUGAUAUCACACACUUAUAUUUUGAUGGUUAACUUGAUCAAAAUUUUCAGGAAAAAGUUAUUUAAAAAUAAUUUUGAUGUAGGAAUGAUUUGGGGUGAAAUUCAUUUGGUGCCAUUUAGGCCACAUUUUUUCAAUUGGGCGUAUGGUAUAUACUUUUUCAAAGCUGGUGACAAGAUGAACAAUGUUGCCCAUUUGCCUUUGAGUCUGAUGCCCGUGGGGCUUUUACGAAAUUGUACAAUUUCAGGACUCAAAAUCCCAUUUGAAGUUAUUUCAAAUUCCAGCACUUCGGGAAAUUUCUAAGAUUUGUACUUUACUACUUUUAUUUUCAUAACCAAUUCUUAUUUUCUUAGCACUUUUUGGAGAACAUACAACUGAAAUCAUUUUUACCUAAUAACCUAGCAAAAAGCUACUACAUAUCACAAUGUUGACCUCUGGGCUAAUCAAGCAUUUGACUUUCCUAAUACAAUUUAUCACAAAACGAUUAUCCCUUUUCAUAUUUUAAGUUCAAUAAUAAGAAAGAGGAGGCACCUUCCAAAUGUAUGCACCUUUUUUAGUUUUAUCCCACAAAACUUUAUCACAAAACAAUGGCCUUUUCAUAUUUUGAGUUAUUGCUCAAUCCCUUUACAAAAAAUUAUGCACAUUUACUAGGGAUAGAAAAUUGAAAAGAAAAUUUUCGAUAAGAAAACAGCUGAAUAAUCGAAUUUCGAGUCUUUGGUGGACGUUAUUCUUUUAUACAAAAUAUAUCUUUGAGUUAAACAAUUAUUAAAACAUUGGGGCUAGUUUUUCAUUUAACUACAAAAUUACUUUUUUUGAAACCCAUAAAACCAUUUUUAAGUGGUAAAUUAGUUCUAUCACGUCUUCAACUAUUGCCAAAUUCUUAUUUGAGUUCACCAUUUUACUAGUAAAUGCGUUAUCUAAAUAAUUUCAAAUGAUGUAUUAAAUAAAUAUUUUGAGGAACAAGACUCAUUAUGUCUCCUCUCAUUAGUUGUAUUUUUAAUUUCUUUUUAAAAGAUUCUCUCAUAAUCAAUUAAAAAAAUUCAGCCACCCAAAAAAAAAAAAAGUAUUUAGCUUCGCGGCGGAAUGGGGGCUAAAUUGUGUAUUGUUUAACUGGUGAAACUCUUACCACAUCGACUAAUAUGCUGCUUUUGCUAGUGGCAGUGGUGGCAACAGAGCUUGCUCAUAUUGGUAGAAGUGAAAGCAAAGGAGAGACAGAGAGACUAAUUAAGGUUUAUUAUGGUGAAGUCCUGGGUCAGUCGCUUUUGCUGAAAUGAUUGCAAGUAAUCUCCCACUAUGACUGCCAUUUUUAUCUUAUUUAAGUUUCGGUGAAGCCCAUUCACAUAAAAUAAUUGGCAGGAAGUGUUAAGGAGAAAAGAUCGUCCUAAUUCAAUGUCUGGGGGUGCUGCAAUCACUUUUUAUUACUAAAUAUUUUUAAAUUGGAAUAAUGUAUUAACAGAAUAAAAAAUUUCAUAAUCUAACAAUUGAUUUACAACAACCCGAGUCCUGAUUAAAUUCAAAUAAUAAUUAUAAUCAACAUCUAUAGGAAAAUUGAAAACGAGAAUCAUAUGUAAAAAGAAAUCAUUUCGUAUGCCCAUUACCAUAUUAUAUUUGUACAUUAGAAAUUAAUAUAAAAUAAUAAUUUAAUAAUUAAUUUAAUAUAAUUAAUAAUAAAGCAGUAAUAAAUUUAAACAAUAUUAAUACAAAAUUAAUAAAGUAUAAUCUAACAUUAAAUACUAUACAAUAUUAUUAUAAUAAAAUACUAAUUCAAUACCACAUAAAGUAAUAUACUUGCAUUAUUUGGAACUGGCAUAAAGUAAAAUUAAUAAAGUAUAUCAACGCACAUGGAAAAUGCGACUUUUGAAGAAUGCAGUAAAUGGAAGGUUAAAUAGACUUCGUGCAUGCUGUAAAUUUAAAUGAAUCAUAAUUAAUUUCAAAAGGUAGUAAAUGGAAGGCCGAACAACUUUUUUAACAAACUGAAACAGAAUUAAAUCAAUUGUGCUUUGUGCAUAAUGUAUAUGACUGACUAACUAACUAACUACGAGUUUAGCUGCCUGCCACAUCAGCAUUAUAUAACACAUAACUAAUAUCAUUCCGCGUCGAGCAUGUCGUCAAGAUCCCCCUCUUGAAAGGAUUCCACUUACCACCUAAAUUCCAAAGCAAGAAGACUUGGUGCUGUAAGUCAAUAAAUAUUAUAUUAUUAAUUAAUUACACACCAUAUUCAACUUCUAUAAAUAGUCAUUAUAUCUCUCUCUCUUCUUGUGAUUUCAUCAUCCAGAAAAGAAAAAGAAAAAGAAAAAGAAAAUGGGUUAUAUCACUCAGCCUUAUCAACUUUUUAUUUGCCUCCAGUUAUUGCUCUUCUAUUCUCAGUGUUCAGCAAUACUUUGCUCUCACCACCAAAGUUCUGCUUUACUCCAAUUUAAGCACCUCUUUUCCUUUGAAAAACAUUCUUCAUGGUUUUGUGAAACAUUUCAACUACAAAUAUCUCGUCCAAAGAUGAUGUCUUGGAAAGAGGACUCUGAUUGCUGCUCCUGGGAUGGAGUAGCAUGUGAUUCGGCGACGGGUCACGUGAUUGGCCUCGACCUCAGUUGCAGUUGGCUUCACGGCAACAUCCCUUCCAACAGUAGCCUUUCCUUGCUUCCUCGCCUGCGAAAGCUCAACCUGGCUUUCAAUGAUUUCAAUGGCUCUAAGAUUUCUUCUGGUUUUACUAAUCAAUUUCCGAGCUUGACACUCCUUAACCUCUCUUGGAGCAAUUUC
rnacentral:lncRNA from 1 species